AAAAUAGCAUCUUUCUAAGUUUCUCCUUUGAAAAUUUUAAUUUUUUUAUUUUUCAAAAUUUGAAAUCUUAUCCCCUAAACCUCAUUUCUCAACUCUAAACCCUAAACCCUAAACCUUAAACUCUAAACCCUAAACUCUAAACCCUAAACCCUAAACCCUAAAAUCUAAACCCUAAACCCUAAACUCUAAACCCUAAACCCUAAACCCUAAAUCCUAAACCCCACCCUUUAACUCUAAACCCUAAGUUUGUGACUUUCGAUAAAACAUUAAGUGCUAUUUUUGUGACUUUUUACCUUGAGUGCUAGUUUGGGAACAUAAACUUGAUUUAGUGCUAUUUUUGUCUUUUUCUCUUUUUUUUUUGUUCUAAAAAAACCUUUUAACAUUUGUAAACACUUCGACGUGUUCGCACAUUUUUCAGCUUGAUUAAAUUUUUCUUUUACCCUUCAAAAUUUAUUAGGAAAAUUAGAGCAUAUGACCUUAAGAGAUUAUUACAAAAACUAACCAUAUCAACAUAUGUGCUACAAUAUAUUACUAGAUCUCGAUCCGCGCAACCGCGCAAAUUUUUGUUUUCAUUUAUUUUUAUAUAAAUAUUUUGUUUUCAAUUCUAAAUUGGUAUAUAUUAUAAUAUAUAUGUGUUUAUCAAUUUUUAAAACAUAAUAAGUUUACUGUAUAUUUUUUUCAUUGAAUAGAUUGUUUCAAACUUUAACAUGUUUAAAAAAUAUACAGUAAACUUAUAUAUAUUUUCGGAUUAUUAUUUCAUUAUUAAAAUCGUAACUAUAUAUAUAAAGAUUAGUAAAAUAUUAUUUUAUUGUCAUAUUCAAAGAUAUUGUAACAUUUCACAAAUUUAGAAAGUUUUUAAAAAAUUAAACUUUUCGCUUCAUUGAUUUAUAUUAUCGAGUAAAUAAUUAAAAAUUUAGUUUUUGUUUAAUUUUUAAAUAAAUUAUAUAGUUUAAAAUUUGUUUUCAUUGGUUUAAGGUAGUAAAGAUUAAUCAUUGUUAGAUAAUAUGAUUUUUGUUAUUUAAAAAAAAAAUCUUUAGAAUUUUAAAAGUUAACAUCGACAAAUAUUUAAAUAUUUAGCAUAUAAAGGUAUAGUAUUACAACAUUAAAUUAUAUCUAUUUAAUUUAUAUUAUCUAUAAAUCCAAUGGAUCAUCUAUUAUUUAAAUUCAAUUAAUGAUAGCCCAAUAAAAUUUUUUGGUAGGCCAAAAAUUUAAAUGAUAAAAGUAGAUAUUAAAUGUAAUAUGAUUUUCUAAGAAUAUGUAUAUUAGGUCAAUUUUAAAAAAAUCACAUAUGAAUUAAGCUUGUUAUUUCUGUUUUAAUAUAUAAGAUAUGUGUGUACAAACACAGACAAAAAAAAUAUCAGUGGUGAAAUUUAGUGUUUAGGAUCGUAGUUGAACAUAAAAAAAAAAACUAAUUCAUAAAAUAAAGAAAAAAUGAAAUCGAUGAUAAUUGUGAAGGUGUGGUUCAAUUGAUUUUGCUGAGGAACAUGUCGAUCGAGUGUGAAUGUGAAAUUAAGGUUACAGCGGUGCUAGACAGAGUACAGCGGUGCUAGACAGAGUACAACGGUGCUCGGCAGAGUACAACGGUGCUCGGCAGAGUACAACCGCGCACGAUAGGAAGAAACUAGUGAUGAAGAUUUAAAUAUGGUCAGAUCAGAGAUAGUAAAGUUGUACCUCAGAUCCAAUGGUAAGGAAAACAAUAAUGGUGAUUUUAAAGACGAAUAAUUUUGCUUUGUCGCUAAUUAGACUUUACCAAGUAGUUGUAGUUCUGGCGGUGAGUAUAAAUAACGUAAAGAAGAUGAAAUGUAAUUGUACAUAAUGUGCCAUACUAUUUUAUCUAGAUAAAUCUAUAAUAUAGUAUACAAUAGAUUGUGGAGUUAUUACCCAGUGGGCCUCCGACGGAUAGGGUAUCGGGGUAAUUUUGAGGUAUCUCGAUCCAGAUUCUUAUCCGGUGGAUCCAUAAUUUUACUAUCUUUAUUCGGAUUCCGAGUUCUCGGAUAUCCGGACGUCGGAUAUCUUUCUAAAUAUUGUAAUAUCCGGAUCCGGAUUUAGAUCCUUAAAAAAAAAUAUUAAUAUAUAUAUAAAAUAUUAAUAAUAAUUUAAAAAAUAUAUAUAUAUAAUUUCUUUAAUUAUUUCUAAGUAUAAUAUUACAGAAUUUACAUACAAUUUAUAUAUACUAUUAUAAAAAUGAAAAUAUGCUAAAUAAAAUUAAUUUUUACAUAUAGAUAUUAAUAUUUUGAAAUAUUUAUUAAUAAAACUUACGGAUCCAGAUAUUCGGACUUAAAGAUUAAGAUAUCCGGAUCCGGAUCCGGCUUUGACGGAUCCAACAUUUUACUAUCCAGAUCAAGAUUCAGCCUCUCUGGAUAUCCGGAUUUUUGGAUCAGAUCCGAAUCGAAUCUCGGAUCGAAUCCGGAUUUCGGAUAAUAGUCCCAUGCCUAGUUAACACACUAUAUAAAAUAAAUACUGUAUAAUAAAAUAUGCUUCUAUAUCAUUUUGAUAAUGGUUAUCUUAUUUAUCAAUAUAGAGACAUAUUUGUUAUCCCAACCACUGCUAUUGCUAAUGUCAUUGAACCUAUGCGUCUACCAAUUAAAUCUAAAAUAUCCUCCUCUCCUCCAUAUACAAAGAUCAGAGAAGAUGAAUAAUUGACUUUUUAUAUGUUCUAUUUUAUUAUAAAAUUAUAAAACAGAAACAUAAUACAUUUUUUGAGUCAAUUGGCUCAAAACAUAUAAACAUCACCACUAUUGGUUGUUUUCUUGCUGUCAUCAAUUUUCUUUUCCACCAUUGUUAUCACUGUUUAUAAACCUACAUAAUAGAAAUGCAAUACAAUAUGUAUUAUAUUUUUUGUUAUGUUAUUACUAUGAAUCUAUCGUUCGAUAUUAUUUAUUUCGUAAAUAAUAGUAUAGUGUAUAUAAUUAGUUAAUUUUAUUAUCAUGCAAGGAAAAGAGAGAUUAGUCCACAUUCGCCCGAAAUUGUCACAUCUCAAGAUCACUUUAAUAUAUGGUUAAUUGGUAAAAAAAAUUUGCCUAUGUGUAUUUCACUAAUUCACCCAAUUUAUAACUACAUAUGUCCUUUUUGAGCACCUAACUACAUCUGUCCAAAAAAAUAUACUUUAGACCCUUUUCACAACGAUACUUUUUAAUAUAUUCUUUUUCUUUCAUGUUUUUAUUAAUUUUUAUGUAAGUAAAAUUUAACUACUUUGUUGUGUGAUGAUGUAUAGUUCUUUGUAUCUUUCUUUUUUCUGAAAUCUAUUUUCCUAUUUUUUUAUUUUGAAUAAUAAUUUAAAACUAUUUAAUCUGAACAACAUCUUAUCUAUCUAUAACAAUAAAGUAGAGGUUAGUCUCUCCUCCUUACGCCAAGUCACCAUGGAGAUAGGGGCUUUGCCGACACGUGUCAGCACCUGGUCGAUCUGCGUUUUUUUUUCCGACCCACAAGCGCAUUAGGGUUUACCCCAUUUUCUUCUCGCGGCGCGAACUCACCAACGAAACCACUGUUCUGUUAACUUUAUCGUCAAAAGAUAUCAUCAUUUUGAUCUCAAUGAUUCCAUUAGAACUUCAUAUCGUCUCAUCGGAGGAUUAUUCAAAUCCAAAAGAUUCCAUUUUUCUCAUUUUGGUAUAUGAUUUUUACAAAGCAAAUAAAAGAAAGAAAAAUUAGGUUUUAAUAUAUUUUUAUAACUUCUCUAUGUUCAUUCCGAUUCCAGAAUGCGAAGAUGACGACUUCCACGAAGAAAGACAGCAAAACAGAGCAACACCAAGCAGCGACGGCGGCUCUUCCGCUACUCCAAGUCGCCGCCACAACCGCCGCAGUAACGAGAACUACCAACACACUCUAACGCCUCUCCACCACAACGGAAAUAGAAAACGACAUGACUCCGACGACGAAUACGGAGGAGCAGUCUCCUGCAACAAGUGUCGUCCUCACCACUCUCACCGCGACAAUUCUCCGUUGUGCCUCUAGAAAGCCACAACAACAACAACCCUUCCUUCAUCUCAAGCCCCAACCUCAUAAUCAAAUCCACCUUCCAAUCGGAGAAGCCCCAAACCCUCUUCCGCCGCGGUCUUCCUCCUCCUCCGCCUCCGUCGCAGACGCUUCCAGAGAAGAGCAGUGGCGGUUAGCCGUGGCGGAGCUUUCUCAUAAACUGAUCCAAGCCACGAAGAAGAAAGAAGACGCCGUCACGGAAGCUUCUCGGUUGAAAACGUCCAUGACGGAGCUAGAGAAGAAGCUCAACAAGCUCGAGAUCUACUGCCACAACCUCAAAUCGGGCCUCGACGAGUGCAGCAGCAACAACAAGAAACAGAGCGUCCCUGUUCGGUUCAACGAUGGGAUCAUCCAGCAGUUCCUCGUCUCGGUGCUCUUCGAUCAGAGCCCUGAGCAGAGCUCUCGCGUCGUAGACUCGCAGCUGCGUACCGUCGGUGGGAAAGUCUACGAGCGGCUCUCUCUCCACCUCCAGUCUUUCGAUGUCAAGAUCAACUCUUUCGCGAAGAACCCGAAAAGCCUGAUCUUUUACCUCGAAGCGAUCCUGAGCAGAGCCUUCUUCGAGAACUUCGAACUUCGAAGCUUCCGGGUUUUCAGAAAAUGGGUCGACCCGGAUUUUGAACCCGAGUGAUCGUUGCGAGUCCAAUUACGCUUCGUUUAACGUCUUGAUGGAGCUCACGUGGGACGAGGUGUUGAGCAGAGGAACAAAGCAUUUCUCUGAGCAGUUUAGCCGGUUCUGUGACCGGAAAAAUGAGUGUCACGUCGCUUCCAUGCUUUGCUGGAACCGAGCGUGGCCUGAACCACUUUUACAGGUAAAGUAGUUAACCGAACAGUUUAUUGGAUUAUGAUUUGGUUUAUUGGAAACCAUUUAAACUGUUCUUCUUUUUCUUUUGUAGGCUUUCUUUGGUGCGUCGAAGAGUGUUUGGUUGGUUCAUCUCUUGGCUAAUUCGCUGAACCCGGGUUUGCAGAUUUUUCGUGUAGAGAGAGAUGAUCGGUUUGAUCCGGUUUACAAGGAGGAAACUGGUGGGGACAGGUAUAAGAGUGUGGUUCGAGCUAUGGUUCAACCUGGGUUUUAUGUGUAUGGCAGUGUAGUUAAGUGCAAGGUGGUUUGCAAGCAUUGCGGCAGCGACUAGGAAGAGACGAUAAGCAUUUUUAGCCCAUUAGGAGUCUAAUUUACGUUGAUUAAGGAAUUAUAAAAUUGGUGAGUUUUGAUUUGUUUUGUUUUUGCAACUUGUACUUAAAAAAAAUGGAAUGAUCUUUGCAAGUAAAUAUUUUAAAACUGGCUCUUUUAAAAAAUAACGUUUUUGUUGGUUUUUUUUCAAACUGAUUUAAUAAAAAGUCUAUUGGUGUUUUGUUUGAUUUUCUUUUUUCUUUGGCAAGUUACUUCUGCUCUUUCACAUGCUGGUUUGGAGCCCUCGAAUCUGGUAUUGAUGUCCCCAAAAGAAACAAAUGGACAGGUUAGACAAGUUAUGAUCUUUAUGUAUAGCCAAUCUUUAAGUUUAGAUUUAAAGUAAUCUACUCCGAUAUGAAAGGUGACUGGUGAUUUGAUUUAGGGGUGAGAUUAUUUGGUAGGAAUAGCCUGCAUUACAUUGGAACAACUCCAAACCCUUAUCAACAAGUUAUUUUCAUCAUUGGAAAGACUUUAUUUGUUUUCGUUGAAUAUAACUUGAUCCCAUGUUAUUGAUUCGGUUCGGAGUUCGUAAUAACCUCAAAGAUCUGGUGUUUUAUCAUUUAACUGCCAAGUUUUUAUUUGGUCUGUGGUUACAGAAAAAUUAGUUUCUUUGGUUUUGACUUUCCAGCUACAACACAUGAUCAAGCUGUCUUUAGUUUCAAUUCCAAUAAUACAUAUUUUGUUACGGGUUUGAAGAAGUUCUCAUGUGUUACAGCGAUAUUGUUCCCCAACUGCGCCUUGCAGUUUGACAACUGUCUGUGUUCUUACACUUCCUCUACUUUUUUUUCUUGAUUUUUUCUGGUUUUGUAACAGGUCUGACAUCUUUCACUUAACUCUGCUGUCUUUAGGCAUUUGCUAGGUGAGCCGGUAUGGGAGUGGAUGAGCUUGAGCAUCUAGAAAUUCAAGUAGAUACAUCAAUAAGGCAAAUAAGAUCCACAAAAGGUAUACACAAUUUCAAGAAAUUACAAGCUUAUAUCUGAUUUGGUCCAAAGAGAAUUUAGAACAAUACCAAAUCUUGGAUUUGUUUUCUCAUUGCCAGGCCCGAUCAAUGUUUGAUCAACUGUUUGACCUCAAAACAAAGGUACAUAAAGAUCCUCACAAAGUUCAAUAAUCUCAAUACAACCCUCAUUGGAAACAACAUAGAUCUUAAGAGAAAGUUAGUGCCAUCAAAAUCUUAUAGCCCAAGAAAUUAAAUCAUUUGAGAUCUUUUACAACAUUGAUGCCUUUCUCUCUCUAUCUAUCUCAGUUGGGGGAAAGUGAUGCAGACCUUAAUCGAUCACUAUGUGGAGAUUCUUUUUCCGCAGAACAUCAUCAACGACAACAAUAAGGCAUGAGCCCUUAUCAAGCAAACGUUCCGAGUAAGAAGUGGGUUUCUUCAGACCUUUACUGGGCAAUGUAACACCGCAAAUGAGGUAUUCAUCACAGAGAAACAGUAAAGACCCAAUGAAUUGACUUUUUUAUGGUCAGCUAGACUUAUAAUUGAUUUUUAUGGAACGAUCAUUACAGUCACUGGUGUGCCUAAUGCAAGCCACUCUGCAACAUCACAUAAUGUUAUUAACAGGUUCUUCCCUGGAUGGAUGGUCUGAAAAAUACAUAGCAAUCUAUACGUAUCUGUGUUCUAUAGAUAACAUAUCAUAGUUGUGCCAUUUGGUUUUUCCAAGAGAACAAUAGUUCAUGAUUACAAAACACUGAUAUAGUGAUAUAUAAUUAAGGCUGUAAACACUCCGUUCUUUCUUUUUGCUCCUAAAAUACAUAAAUAUUUCUGAACUUUUUAAAAUACAAAAUUUUGUAGGAGCAUUCUUUUAAUUAUUUUUAAAAUAUUAUUGAAACUUAGUUGGAUUAUGAUUAGAUUCUCUGGAUUAGAAUUAAAUGGUGAAGCAAGUUCUCUGCAUUUUUAUAUCUAUCAAGGUAUUAUUGAUUUUUUAAGAUGUGUUUGUACAUAUAUAUAUUCACAUGUAGUGAAUUGAAUUCCAAAUAAUUGGCUUCUAAAACUUCCCAUUACAGCACACUUUUGAAAUCAAUUGGAAAGUAAACUAUAUUCUAACAAUCAAUACUUCGAAAUGCAUACCCUCGCCGCUUUGAAAAUAUAUUUUAACAGAGAUCAAGUAGGUAAUAUUCCACACAGAGAGACCACUAGAGCAGUCUCAGAAGAAUAACUUUAUCAAAUCAAUUGCACUUGGAAUAUCAAGUGUUAAUCCUGUUUUGAUUUCGCAAAAUAAGUCACAAUUUCCCAUUCUCUCUGGCUCUCUCUAUACUUGAAAUAUUGGAUGCACUUGAAUGGAAAACAUAUAAACAAUAAUAUAUGCACAAGGUCUAUUCAUGGAGUGAGAGUCACUUGACUGACCAAUUAUAGAUAUAAAAGAUCAACAAUAAUACGUUACUGGUCCAACAUAAAUAAUCCCUUUGACACAUGCUAUAAUUAUAAGUAAAUGGCAAAACUUAUUUUUGUUAUUUAUGUGAAAUAUAAAAAAUUAUGUUCUACAAUACUUUUUCCCUUCUGCUAACAAAAAAAAAAGAUUUUCCGAUUAACACUAUACAAAAACAAAACUCGAGAAGAUAAAAAUGCUAGAUUAGCCAAAAACAAUGUGAUUAGCCAAAAAAAUGUGAUUUUAGUAUUUGGUUAAGAAUUUUUUUGAUAAAAGCAUUAUUAUAGACACCCACAAUCACGGACAAGAUACAUUCAGAUAUACCACAAUCAAAUAUAAAAUUUUAACACACAAUUAAAAAUAUAUUAAAAUACUGUACAUAUAAUUUCAUACAAACGCAAAAAAGGAAUGUAUUUCCAUUAAAAAUAUAACUGAAAUAAGUACUGAAAUUAAAUUAAUACAAUGUCAUAAAAUAUAGUUGAUAACAAAUAAAAAUCUAAACACGUAAGAAAUUACAAACUAAGGUCAAAUGUUAAAAUAAAUAUAUAUAUAUAUGACCUAAUUAGAAAAUAAAUUAUAUUUAUUAUAUUUAAUUUAAAUUAAUUUUUUAAUGUUUUAUAAAAUUAAAAUACAUUUUUAACAUAACAUAAUUUUAAUGUAAAAUCACCCGCCCGUAGGGCGGGCAAACCCCUAGUUAGCUAUAUACGUUGGAUAAGUUGUGUAAACAAACUACUAUGCAUGAUUUAGUAUUUUGUGAUAGAAACAUGAAUUGUGUCAAUAGUUAUUAUAUAGAUAUUUUAUCACAAUCUCAAGACUUAAUGAUACCUGUGUUCAUCAGGUUGAAUCGUUUUUUUUUCCAUCUUUUAUUUUAGAAUUGUGUAUCUACUUGCUUCAUAUGAGUCGCUUGUCCAGUCACAUUCUAACUACAUAUGACUAGGCACCAAACAACCCAACAGUGAUCUGCCACCGACCCACGCCAUUCGUCAAAGUUUCGAAACAUGACCGCUUAUGUAGCUUUAUAAUAUUUCUUUCUUUUUUCUUUUCUCUUCCUGCAAUGAAACCACAAUGGGUUUGUUCUGGUUUAGUUUAGUCUGGUGUAUAAGCAAGAAGAAAUUCAAAAUAUUGGACAUGAUAAAACCAAAAUCAGUAAUGGUACUUCAUGUGAGAACCUUUGGAAACAUUUCUUCUUCUUGAUACCUUUACUUCACCAUUCCUAAUUCUAUUUCUCUGACGUAUCUCUUACGAUUUGCCAUUCAACACCAAGCACUUGUUCUACCAUUUAUCUCAUCGAGUUGCCACCAUGCUCGUCUUUAAGUAACAAGAAACCAAUUCAAUAUUUCCCACUAGGUCAAACCAUCUCCAUCUCCCUCUAAAUGAGCCUAUUCGAUCCCGAACUGCGUAUCAAUGUGAGUAGCCAACAGUGUAGGAGCAAUUAGUGAUAUAGCGUCUAUAGUUUCUUUCUCGCCACAGUGAGUGCACCGUUUCUUAGAAUAUUGAGUGCGGCUAAAAAACGGUUUUGCAGCCAUAAGAAUAGUGAUUCAGAUUUUGUAGCCAUUCACUCGAUUAACACGAUCCAAAGAGGAUGGUUAAGUCGGAUAGGUUAAAUUGUUACCGGUGUAGUGGACUUUUUGAAAGUCUACAGUGAUAUUUUUGUUGUUGUUUAUUCUUUACUGUUUCAGUAGUUUUAAUAUAUGAUUUAACAAUUUCUUUCUUCAUUGUCUUAAUAGUAUUAAUAUAUGAUUUUAUAAUUUUUUAAUCCCUACAAAAAAACUAAAAAUAAUUUAAAAUUAAUUUAACUUUUGUAAUCUCAAAAUUUAGUAGACUACAUAAUAAGUUUACUAUACCCAAAAUCAAGUAAUUUUAGUGUAGCUUAGGUGGUUACGACUCCAGAGUAUUGGUACCAUCAUUAACUCAUUGUAAAAGGCAAAACAAACCUUCUUCAAGUCAUUUCCUCCCUUGGCCAACCUAUAUUUAUAACUAAAGAGAUAUUCCUGCGGGACUGAGCCCUCAUGCCAUGUCGGUUCAGCUCUUGUAGGACCGACUUUUGAGUGUUGGUAGUUAUAAUUAAAGAGCUACUUGGCCCUGAUCCAUACAUUGCAUUUAGUAGAUAAUUGUGGACUGAUCUGCAAAAAAAAAACUGAAAAGGAAUAAGACAGCUUUAAAUAGAACAUAAAAUCAAAUUUCGCUUAAUAUAUAUAUAAAUUCUUUUUCGCUUUUUAGCGGAUAGAGCCGGUGUUGUUCUAAACAUUGAUAAUAUCACAUAAUACAUAGAAGUCAAUAUAAAUAAUACAGAUCGUUAAGUUCUAAACGUAUAGAUAAAGAUAAUGCAAAUGGUUGACACCUUAGAGUAAAAACGAUCAAAAUCAAACAAAAAAAAAAUUAUUAUAUUUAGUUAACCGGUUCUAAAUCAAACAAAACAAUAAUCUAGUAUAAAUGUUCUGAACUAUAUAAAACUAAUAAAUAUGAAAAUUAUAAACAGAUUUGAUUUCAAUUUUUGUAAUCAUAGAAUGAAAACAAAAGAACCGAGUUUUGUACCCCACGUUUCUCCAUGGGGAAGUGAAGAAUAACAACAUCAGAAUGAGGAACAAAAGAGGUCCCUGGGAGAGAUACCUUGCCAAGGAAGGAAUGUCCAUAAGUAGGUCUGUUUUGACUAUAAGCAUGACCUUCAAGAGUGAGAUAGUGAAGCCCAAUUUAAUGACGGAUUAAAGAAUCCGGAAGACGUUAUGGCUCGAGAAGGGGGUGGUGUUUCGUCGGUGUGUGGGUUCGACGAAAAAUCAGCCGGAAGAAGAAGAACGAUGAAGAUCCCUAAUUCAAAUGGGCCACAAAUAGGAAACGGACUCAAUUUUUUUAAAAAAGGAAGUGAUGCCCAAUUCUAACCAGCAUUUCACCGCAACAGAACGGAUCGCGCGUGAACGGUAGGGAUAUCAACGCGUGAGAAACACCAUUAUCACAGAAUGUCGACACGUGUCGCGAAAUGCCUCAUCUCCAUGAUGACGUGGCGCAAGGAAGAGAGAGUAUAGUCUACUUUAUUGUAUAAGAUUUGGUAUCAGAACCAAUCUAGUUGUAUUCUUUACGAGGAAUAAUUUACGUGUACUUAGCGAGGAUCACACACGAACUCAAAAAUCACACACGAACUCAAAACCACACACAAACUCACAAAUCACACACGAACUCAAAAAUCACACCCUAUCUCAAAUUACACAACUCAGCAAAAUGCUUUUCAAAUUAGAAAUAUUUGAAAAAAAAAGGAAGAGAAGAAAGAUAUUGGAACACAUGUGGGCUAGACUUACGUAAGUCUCGCCACAUGUGAUUCCAGUAUCUUUCUUCUCUUCUCUUCUUUUUUUUUUCUAGUUUUUAUUCUACGAGGAAUUAGCAAGGCCAGCUUUUUUUUGGUUACUAGGUAUUUACGACGAUUUGCGCUUACGUGAAAUUAACGAGCCCCGCGUUCUUUAUUUUUAUAUUUCGUCGUUAUUUCCUCGUUGGCUUACGAGUGCUUUAUGACGAUUUCUUCUUACGUGGAAUUAACGAGCCCCACGUUCUUUAUUUUUAUAUUUCGUCGUAAUAUCCACGUUUAUUUAUGAGGAAUUAACGAGUAUUAUGUUUAAAUCCCUAAAAUCCGAAACCCCAAACCCCAUCUUCCUUAUCUUCUACUUCAUAUAUUCCAAACCCCAAACCCAUCUACCCUUUAAACUCAAUAUAUUCUUUCACCUCAAUCUAUUCUUUCCAUUCCAAACUCCAUUCCUUAACUUAUUAUCUCAAUAUCUUAUUUAUAAAACAAACUCCCACAUUACCUUACACAAAAUCAAAUACAUCAAUCCGAUACAUCGACAUUCUCGUCAUCACUAGAAACAUCAUCAUUUUCAUUAAACUCGUCUUCAACAGCUUCCUCUGUGGCAUCGUCGGUAAGAUUUUCGUACUCGUGAUUAUGCGGAUCAAUGAGAAGGAUGUCAUCAAUUUCUUGUCCAGGUUCCUCGACUUCAUUUAUCUGUUCUUCUUGCAAUGGUGGUUCUUCUCCACUGAUGAUUCGUCCUCGAGGUGUAACUUUGAUCACGACUAACCAAUUUAUACACGAAUCUCUCAUCCGAGGGUAUGGAAGGAAGAUAACUUGGUCUGCUUGUGAAGCUAAGAUGAAAGGCUCGAAUUUGUUGUACCUUCGUCCACCGUUGGCAACAACUACACCGAAUUUGUUAAACCGAACACCUCUGUUGACGACGGGGUCGAACCAUUCACAUUUGAAGAGGACGCAUUUCAGCUUCAAUAUCCCUGGGAAUUCGACUUCAAUAAUCUCCGUCAAGAUCCCGUAGAAAUCUUUUUCCCCUUUCACACAUAUUCCAUAGUUACUGGUCGUCCGCUGUCUACCAUACUCAUAUGUGUGAAAAGUAUAGCCUCAUGUGAAAUACAUCUGUGAUGUGGUGACCUUUACAAGUAGAGAUUGAAUUACUUCAUGUAACCACUUAGGAUAAUCUGCAUCGUCGUCAUAAUCAACCUGCAAAAAUAAAGAGAACGUUGAAAUACAGAUCAUGUAUGAAAAAAGAGUUUGAGUUAAUUAAUACCUGAUUCCUCAACCACUUAAUAAAGUGUUGAUCUUUCCUUUUGUCUACGUCACUUGUGGAUAUACCAAGAAAUGUUUCUUCUACUUAAGAAACAAAUAGGCUGUAAAAUCACAUUUUAUAUGAAUGAAUCUGUCGCAAUUAUAUGUGUUUAGAAGUGUCCCUUUCAAAAUAACGCAUCAAUGGAUCCUUGCAAUUGAGUAGAAAAUAGGUGUGUGCACUAUGAGCGUCUUGUUCACUCGACCACCAAACCUCUUUUGACUUCCCUCCGAGUCGCCCAAUCUGGCUAAAGAGAUCUGGAACACUAGCAACUGCAUAUGUUGGCGCAACACCACCAUCAUCAUAUCUUCUUGGAGCUCUUCUCCGGGUACGUACUUUUGACGCAAAGCAGUACGAUGUGAAGUGAGAAACUUCUUCCGUCAAACUUCCAGCAAUUAUAGAACCUUCAACUUUGGCGAGGUUCCUUGCUUUUCCCUUCAAAUAUUUCAUGGCUCGCUCAUACUGAUACAUCCAUCUGUAAUGUACAGGUCCACGAAGCAACACCUCAUAUGGGAGGUGGACAGCUAGAUGCUCCAUGACGUCAAAAAAUCCGGGAGGAAAUAGCUUCUCCAAGUUGCACAAUAAGAUGAGAAUGUUCUCCUGAAGCUGUUCCACAACUUCUUCUUUAAGAGUGCGUGUACUCAGAUCCCUGAAAAAUGCUCCAAUGCCUUUAUAUUCCAAAAACAAUUAAACACAUUGUUAGUCAUAUAUUAUUUUGCAAACUAAACCGUUAUAAAAUUAUUGCACUAUAAAACACUACCUGCAAGUGCUUCAUGUACAUUUGUUGGAAGUAGCUCCGCAAAUGCAAAGGGCAGUAGUCGUUGCAUAAAGACAUGACAAUCACGACUCUUCAUCCCAGAGAACUUUUGACCCUUUUCAACACAUCUAGAGAGAUUUGAAACUUACCCAUCGGGGAACUUCACUUCUGAUGCCACCCAGUUGAACAACACCGACUUUUUUUCCGAAGACAAUCUGAAUAUCGGAACUGGAACUUGUCCAUUGCUUAUUAUAUGUAACUCACUUCUUGAGAAAAUAUCUGGCAAGUCCAACCUCGAUUUUAUGUUGUCUUUUGUCUUCCCUGGGACAUUCAAUAUUGUAUUCAUGAUGUUCUCAAAGAAAUUCUUCUCUAUAUGCAUCACAUCGAGGUUGUGGCGCAGAAGAGAUCCUUCCAAUAUGGAAACUCCCAAAAUAUACUCUUCUUGUGCUAGUUGUGAUGAACACCGUAAGAAUCAGGCAUAUUACGAGGGACAUGCCAAUUACCACCCCAACGAACUGUUUCUUUAGCUCCGUAGUAGUCGAUUUGCGCUUCAAUUUGUUCUCCAGUUAGAUAUGGAGGAGGAGUGUCUCUCACAACCUUUUUGUGCCUAAGCAAAUUCUUGUUUCUUCGGUACGGAUGGCCAAUAGGAAGAAAUCGACGGUGACAAUCAAACCAACUUGUCUUCCUACCAUUCUUCAGUUGAAACGCAUAUGUCGUUCCAUUACAAUAUGGACAAGCUAAUCUCCCAUGUGUAGUCCAUCCAGACAACAUCCCAUAAGCAGGAAAGUCACUUAUGGUCCACAAAAGCAUCGCUCGCAUCGUAAAAUUCGUCUUCGUUGAACAGUCAUACGUCCUCACCCCUGUUGACCACAAAUCCUUCAACUCUUUUAUCAGUGGUUGUAGGAAAACUUCCAGGGACCUUUUUGGAUUGUUCAGACCAGGUAUUAAUAUGGUCAAGAAUAGCAACUCCCGUUGCAUGUACAUCUCCGGUGGCAGGUUGUAUGGCGUAAGAAAGACUGGCCACAAUGAAUAUUGUCUCCCUGACAUUCCGAACGGACUAAAUCCAUCUGUGCAUAAUCCGAGAUAUACAUUUUGGGUAUUGCUAGCGAAAUCUAGAUGUACUUUGUUAAAAUGCUUUCAGGCUCUUGCAUCUGCUGGAUGAGUCAUCUCACCAUCAGUCUGAGUAUGCUCGGCAUGCCAUCUCAUCUUUCCAGCAGUCUGCUCUGAUUGGUUCAAUCUUUUCAAUCUGUCUGUAAUUUGUAGGUACCACAUCCUUUGGUAUGGUACCCUAUUACGUCCCCGUCCUUGCGGCUUGAAUCGUGGCUUCUUGCAGAAUCAACAUUCUUCUAACUUCUCAUCAUCUCCCCAGUAGAUCAUGCAGUUGUCGAUGCAAACAUUUAUCAUCUCCGAAGGCAACCCAAGACUAUAAACCAAUUUCUGAAUGUCAUAAUAAGAAUCAGCAGACACAUUGUCUUCCGGCAAAUACUCUUUAAACAAGUCUGCCCAUUCGUUCAUGCAACUUUCAGAUAGAUUGUGAUCAGUUUUAAUAUUCAUCAUUCUAGCAGCCAACGACAAAUUAGAGAGACCUUCUCUACAACCACUGUAAAGUGGUUGAUUUGCCGCGUUUAACAUUUCGUAAAACUUUUUUGCAUCUAUAUUAGGUUCUUCGUCUUCAUCAUGAGCUACGAAUGCAUCAGCUACCAUAUCAUGAACCCUAUCAUAAUCUACCAUCUCCUCCUGAUGGUAACUAUGUUCAUUAUGCAAAUGAUGAUCAACCGGUUCUUCCUGAAAAUUGCUAUUACUACUACUAGCUUCAUUCUGAUCAUAAUUAUAACAUUCUCCAUGUUGAAACCAAAUAUAGUAAUUUGGCGUGAAACCUCUAUUUAUUAAAUGCUUCCAAGCAUUUUCACGGUUUGCCAAUUUCGAAUUGUUGCAUUUCCGACAAGGACAGAACAUCUUACCACUUUCUUGGGCGAGCGGUGUUGAAUCUACUUGAUGCAUAAAUUUCUCCAGCCCCGCAAGGUAUUCUUUCGUCACUCUCCCGUUAGCAUCUCUAUGCAUAUACAUCCACUUCUGCAACUCGAAAAUAUUCCCGGAGCCAGCCAUUUUUUUUUCUUUCACGUUUUUUUUUUGUUGGUGUGUUUAAAAUGAUGUUCAAACGUCCCUAGUUAUAGAAAAAUUUUGAGUCUGGUAGUUGUAAUUUUCCUACGAAUUUACGACGAAAAUUAGUUAGGUGGCCGAAAAAAAACGUGUGACAACAAAGUUGGUGGAUUCAAAAAUUCGUCGCUAAGUAGACAUAAAUUAUUUCCUCGUAAAGACCACGCUAAAUUUACGUGGAAUGUACGAGGAAAUACGAUUUCCUAGUAUAAGCCACGUCACUUUACAUCGCCUUUACGAUGAAACUGUUUCGUCAUUACUUUACGAGUAAAUAACGCUAAUUUUAUUUUUCCGCGUAAUUUACUCGUAAAGUCGAGGAAAAAUAAUGAGGAAAAAUAUUUCUCGUUAAUUUUCCUCGUUAAGCUUGUGUUUUCUUGUAGUGGAGAUAGUGUGUGAUUUGUGAUAGUGUGUGAUUUGUGAUAGUGUGUGAUUUGAGAUAGUGUGUGAUUUGUGAUAGUGUGUGAUUUGUGAGUUUGUGUGUGAUUUGAGAGGGAAACUUGUGGGUAUUUAUAGAAAAGCGGGCCACUCUAAUUCCUCGUAAAGGGAGGACUCGUUAAUUCCACGUAAGGCAAAAUCGUCGUAAAGGCCUCAUAAUCUGAAAACGCGGGCCUCGCUAUUUCCUCGUAUAGUAAAACGCGGGCCUCGCUAUUUCCUCGUAUUGUAAAACGCGGGCCUUUGUAAUUCCUCAUAACUUUACGAGAAAAUUACGAGGACAUGUAAUCUCUUAUAUAUACUCCCGAGCGCUCACUCUUUAUAUCGUCUCAAAUUCCUCUCCACUUCCUCUCUAUUUCAUAGCAAUGGUAAGUCUCUCUAAUUCCUCUCUAAUUUGAUUAGUUUAGGAUAGAUUAGGUGGUUAGUGUGUGGAAUUUAGAUAGGUUUACGGAUUUUGAUUAGGUGGUUAGUGUAGGAAAUUUAGAUAGGUUUACAGAAUUUGUUAAUUACUGUUGAUGUUAAUUUUAAAAAUUAAGUUUUUUUUUCCAAACGAUUCGAAAGAACAGACUUACUCCCCAUUACAGAGAGAUGUUUGGUGAGCCUGGUAGUCGUUUAGACCCAUCUUCUUCAGCUCCCGGUUCUUUUUCAGCUCCCGGUUCUUUGGGUCCGGAGACUGUCCGCGAGACUCAGUCUUCUCAGAGAGUCUCUUGGUCGCCUUCUUCUAGUGCACCUCAUGCUCAGUACACUCAGAGAGUCUCUGGGUCUACUUCUUCUAGUGCACCAUCGGCUCCUCAUGUGCCUUCCUCGAUGGCUCAUCCGAUGGCUCCUCCGACGAUGCCUCCUCCGAUGGCUCCUCCGAUGCCCGCCGAGAUUCAUCUCGAUUUGAUGGUGCCUCCGAGUGCUCCUUACUCGCAGUACACUGUCGAGGACCCUCUCCGUCAGCCAGACAGAGAAGGUUUACCAGUCAUAGACCCCGACCGACCGGACGAAACUUUGUUACAUUAAUUUUUUUUCAAGUCUUUUUCAAUUCUUUUAUAACGUUAAUAAAUAAUUUAUACUUUAAAUUUGUUUUUUCAGGUUUGGGGUUGACAAUUGUCUUGCAUCAAACGUAACCGACACAAUCAAAGGUUACUUUUCCAUGCCACAUCCGAACUGUAGAAAGACGCCGAUCUACGUCAGAAAGACGUGGUUCAAAAUUUACGCUGUAAGUUACUUUUAAUUAAUUAUAUGUACUUUUAUUUUUUCAUGAUUUAUAUAUAUUUUCUAAACUAAUUAUUAAUUUAAUUUUUUAUUGCAGCAAAAAAUAUCAUUGGUCGAUGGGGAUCACUGAGAGGGUGAGGAAACAGUUUUACGCGAAGGCAAAAGUUCGCUUGUUGGACACGGUCUCCAACUGGAAGGAUGACUGGAUCGUGAAGGGAUAUGAGCGUGGCAAACCCGCUGAGCUCACCACGGAUGUGUGGGAUGACCUCAUCCGUUAUUGGCGGGAUCUUGAGUCCAUCAGAAUCGCCCUGUCUUGCUCUGCCUCCCGUAACACGGUAGAUGAGCACGGUCACUGGCCGAUGCUUCACUCUACAGGCCAAAAACCCCACGCCGGUGUCCGUUUGGAAAUGGUAAUUAAAUAUUUUAUUUAAUUAAAUUUUAAAUAUAUAUAUAUGUAUAUUCUAACUUUCUUAAAUGUUUUUAGGCCAAAGAGACGGGACAACUCCCGUCUCUUAUGCAACUUUACGAGAUGACCCACAAGAAUAAGGCGGCCUAAUUUCUAGAUGGCAAGUCCGAGCAAAUCUUCAACGACUUGGUUGCUCAGGUUGACGACCGCCAGACCCAGCUGACCCAGCAGUCCACCGACGGAUUACCCGUCACCUUAUCCACACAUGAAGUGGAUAAGAUUUACGAUGACGUAAAUUUUUUAAAAUUUUAAUUUUUUUAUUAUUCAUUUAAUUUAACUUUAAAUUUUUACUAACAAUAUUUAUUUUUUUUGUUUUUAAGGUUGUCCCUAAGAAAAAUGGAUGUACGUUGGGGAUUGGUUCCGUCAACGAUGUUCCGAGAGCAACAUCGUCUUAUGCUCAAACACGGGAAGAUGAAGUCACUGCGCUGCGUAGAGAGUCCGAGCAGCUGCGUAGAGAAUCCGCUCAGCUGCGUAAUGAGAUGGACUCGACGUGAUCUGCGUUCACAGCUCGUAUGGGUGGACUCGAGGGCUUCUUGGAUAUUUUAGCGGCCACAAAUCCGGAAUGGGAGUCCUUAUUGAGGAACUUGCGACGAAAAAAUCCCAUUCCAGGCGAGUCAUCAUCCGACACACAUCCCGAGAUGGAUGUAGAGAGGAGGAGUGAUGAAUUCUACCGGGCGAUGAAUGACUCUUAGUUUUUUUUUCUGUUGUUGAAUUAUAAAUUCAAAACUUAUUUAUAUAUAAAAUAUUUUGGUAUUGAUUUUUUUUAAAAAAUUUAAUUUUAUUAAUUAAUUAAAUAAUUUUAAUUAUUUUUUAAAAUUAUUUUUUAAAAUUCUGUAAAAUAAAAUAACAAAGUAAAUUCGUAGCUAAUUUAUGACCUAUUUACGUGGAAACUUUACGGGGAAAUGACGAGAAAAAAUAAACGAGUAUUUUACGAGGAAACGUUUACGAGGAUAUGACGAGGAUAGAUAAACGAGUACUUUACGAGGAAAUACUUUCAUGGUUAUUACGUGUACUUUACGAGAAAAAUCUUUCGAGAUAUUUACGUGUAAUUUACGAAGAACACGUUUCGAGGUAUUUACGAGGAAAUCUAGCGACCUCCUUACGUGGAAUAUUUACGUGGUCUUUACGACGAAAUGAUUACUUCGUCUUUACGACGAAAUAUUUUUCUCGCUAAUUUACGACUAAUUGGCGAGGAAAUAUGUGUUACGACGAACGAGUAAUGACGAAACGUGUUUCCUCGCUAAUUCCUCGUAAAGCCUCUUUUACGACGAACUCACGAGGAAAACCGCUCUCGUUAAACUUAUGUUUUCUUUUAGUGAUUACUCAUUGUAGCAAAAAUGAAAAAUUGUGUAAAAUCUAAACUACUCAACAUUUAUAUGUAAAUUUAAGUCAAUAAAACAAAAAAAUUCUAAAUCUAACAACUAACCCUAACUGUAAAAUAUAUCUUUCAACCUAUUGUACCAAACCAUAAGUAUUGUACAAACAUGGCUAAAACACCAAUAUAUUUUCUUCAAAUUUUUCUAUAUAACUUAAAUUUUAAUUAUAUAGCUCCUAUUAGUUCAUAUAUUGAUAAUUUAUAACAAAUUUUAUACAAAUAUAUUUCAUUUUUAAAAUAAAAUUAUAUAUCAAAUUACAAAAUAAAAUUCCUGAGAAAACUAAUUAGUAAACUUUUUUGGAAGUAUAUUUAGUAGACUUUUUCAAAAGUAUACUUAGUGGACUUCUUCGGAAGCAUACAUAAUAGACUUCUUCGAAAGUCUCUAUGUAAUAAACUUAUUUCUGUUAAAUUUAGAAUUUAAAUAAUAUGAUCAUAAAAUAAGUUUUCGAUUUUUUGUUAAACUAUAAAAGGUAAAUGGUAAUUUUGCUAACCAUUUAAGUUAAUCUUGCGUUUGAUUGAAUAUGUGGUCAACUUUAAUAUUUCAAAUUAAUUUUUGGAUUAUAUUUGGCCAAUACCUCUUCAUUAAAUAAAAAAAUUGAUUCUUAACAGCUAUCUAGUUGAAAUAGAGUUUAUAAAAUGAGAUGAAAAUAUAUUGUUUUAGUUAUUUGUUAUGAGAUACAUUUUGAUUUUCAUGUAAGUUUUAUAAAUGAAUUUUACAAAAAAAAGUUUUACAAAUUAAAAACUACACUUAAAUAUAAUAUUUAGAUUUAAAAGAAAAAGUUAAAAAUGAACAAUAUAUAUAUAUAUAUAUAUGGAUGACGGAUUAAAAUAUCGUGUUUUUAGUACACGAAUGAACGGCCUAAACUCAACUCGUAAACUGAACAUAAAAACAACAGUUGGUUUCCAGGAUUUUAUAUAUUCUCUUGCUGUUGAUAUUAUUUUGAAAAAAUGUUAAAUAUGAAAUUCAUAUCUAGAAUGAAAUUUGAUAAUAGAUCAUUCUAGUUCACGUGAGAAGGAAAGAUAUAAACCUUCAAAAAUAUAUGAUUGACUAAAACUACUAAAAUUACUUAUUGUGGCUGACAAACGAGUGUUGUAUUUCUGACAAAAAGGGUCGUUCACCCAUUGUGUAAAAUCGGUUGUUAUUUCUUAAUAACAACUUUUAGAACCAAAAAUAAUAUAAAAUAGAAACAAUGUAGAGGAAAAAAGGAUUCAGCAUAGGACGUACACGUGGCAAUCAUCGACAAAGGAAAUGAGCUCUUAUAUAUCGACCUUCGUCAUGUGUCUGAAAUCGAAGCAUUUCACACCACAAAGAUCAGUAAUGGCUCUCGAGGUUAGCUAAUUCUUCUUCACUACACUAAAUUUGUUUUCUAUAUUUUGAUUGUUAGAGUUUACAUCGAUACUCUCCUACUUCGUCGUUAAAAUCUGCUAAGCAUUGAUGCAGGCAUGGUUUAUGGAUGAUAGCAAUGAAGACCAGAGACUUCCUCAUCAUCGCAACCCGAAAGAGUUCGUCACAUUGGAUUACUUAGCAGGUUUUUUUCCAAAUUUCUCGCUUGAACGUGAUUGCUUUGCAAUUUUUUCAUGAAAAAAUGACUUUGUAUAUGAUAUGUUGUAGUUUAGGUCUGGUUUGGAUAACUUAUUUGUGUUUUAUAUUUUAUUUACAAUAUAAAGCAGAUGAGCUAUUUUAUAGCUAACACCAAAGAAACCUAAAUUAGGAAAAUGAACAAAAAUAUACAUAAGAGAAGAUCUAAGAGAUUCACAAAGCUAUCAGAACAAUAGUUAUGCUCUGUUUGGCAGAUCUGGGAGUGGUGCACUGGAAGCUGAACCCUGAAAACUACGAGAAUGAUUCCAAGCUAAGCAAGAUUAGAGAAGAACGGGGUUACGAUUACAUGGUACAUACGUGCUCAUGCUCACAAUAAAUGGCUCAUGUAUCUGGUGGUUUGGCAUUGAAACCAAUGAGACAGAUACUAAUUCUCACAAGUUUUAUCUGUAAUCAAAUCUUUAUAUUAGGAUUUGCUGGAUCUAUGUCCUGAGAAAGUGAGCAACUACGAGGAGAAGCUGAAGAACUUUUUCACAGAACACAUUCACAAGGACGAAGAGAUUCGUUACUGCCUAAAGGGAAGUGGCUACUUUGAUGUUAGGGACAAGGAUGACCGUUGGAUCCGAAUCUUGAUGAAACCGGGCGAUCUCAUUGUCCUUCCUGCCGGAAUCUACCACCGGUUCACACUUGACACCAGCAACUACAUCAAGGUAUUAUAAAGCCCGCUUCAGUCUUUGUAACUAAAACAACGCAGACACAUCUGUUACAUCUUAUGUAAAAAGAUUUAAUUUUGUUAGAUUGUGAUGAAUUAGUGGUUGGUUUUGCAGCUAAUGAGGCUGUUCGUGGGAGAACCGGUUUGGACACCAUAUAACCGGCCCCAGGAAGAACAUCCGGUUAGGAAGGAAUAUAUAAAGAGCUUGACCAAGAAGUUUGGAGAAACCAUCCGAGCUUAUUAAGAAGUUUACUAUAUGCUUUGUGGUGUCGUAUGUAUUGUUUACUCUACCAGUAAAAGCAGAGACUCCUUCCUGCUUGUUUUGUGACAUACUUUAAUAUAUGCUUUUACAUCUAAAAAUAGAAAGUAUUAAAACUAUAUUUAUUAAUAUUUUACAGAAUAACCAUUCUAAAACAAAACAAUGUUUAUUUACUAUUUUUACAAAUCAAAUAUAUUAAAGAGUAUAUAAUAUAUUUUUAAUACAACUGUUAAUAUAAAAAAAUUGCGCUUUAUGAGCAGUUUCUGUAAACAUGCCAUCAUAUGUAUGGGCCAGUAUCUCACCAGCAACAAAAUUAUUAUUAUUGGAAAUCAGACAUAAGGUACAUUCAUGAUAUGAGGUCAAGGUGUGAGAGGAUCUUUGUAACCCGACAACACCAGCUACACCAGCACGGCCCUUGGCCCCAACGCUGAAUCUGAACAUGAGAGUCAGUGAUCUCAUUAACUAGGAUAGGAAUGAAUGAAAUAUUGGUCUACUGGAGAACUAUGUUGACCCUGCCGAUAUACCCUAUAUAAGAAGUCAGGCCAUAAGCACCACUUAUCGACGGGAUACUUUCUGCUGGAACCAUACUAAAAAUGGACAGUAUACAGUCAAAUCAGGAUAUUGGAUAACUCGGAACUUACUAAGGGCUGAAGAUGAGAAGGAGGUUCUGGAAACUAGUAUAACGAAGCUUCAAGCCUUUGCUUGGAAGAUAAAAACUCCUCAAAAGAUUUGUCAUCUUAUAUGGCAACUGUUAACCGGUUAUGUGGCAGUGACGAAGAAUUUGGUACGGCGUAAUAUGAGAUGUGAUAAUUACUGUCCAUGAUGUGGAGAGCCGGAAGAAUCUGUAACUCAUGCAAUUUUUGAAUGUCCACCAGCUUUACAAGCUUGGUCUCUGUUGGGGUCAAAAUCGGUCACGACGGAAUCAAUGUCUGAAAGUCCGUAAAUAUCGGCAUGAACGUUUUUACGAAAAAUAAAUCUUCAAAAAAGAUUUAUUUUUACGAAGAAUCUUGCGGAGAAAACACAUUCACGAGACAUCGGACAAGAGCUCGAAAAAGGUUGCUACGCAGCGACCGAGCGGGACGAACGCUCGUUCGCUACGUAGCGACCGAGCGUCCGUUCAGCUUGGUCGCUACGUAGCGACCGGGCUCUUCUGAAACGUCGAUACGACAUUAGUCCAUGCACUCUCGCCUACCCUUCGAUGCUAUCUUCCGAAGACCGUAGCGAACCCAUUUCAUGUUUCCCGCCAUUCUAAGUCAUCGAUCAAACUUUACGGUAACAACCGCGGAAAGUUCGUUCUUUAUCGAAAGAAGCCGUAAUAAACGCUUCGAGUCAGAAGACGACCAAAAGGGACCUAAGACAUGACUCGAGGCCCAAUUUACGAUUUCUUAACCAGCAGCCCGUAAGCCGCAUGACGGUUUACGCUUGGUUCGCAAGGAAAGAUAAAUGUCAAGUUUCCGCGGAUAAAUAUGAAAUUUUGAAGAUAAUUACGAAGAUCGGAAAAAAUGGAAUAUCUCCAUUUUUAUGCAAUGACGGCUUAAGGGCAGAAGAGGAAAAGCGUAAACCGACCUAGGAGCCAGUAUAUAAGGAGUUCUAGACGAGAGGCAUGGGGGGACAACUUUUUAGACCCAGAACUCUCGGCACUUAGAAACUCUGAGGCAUUAUUCUCGACAUGCUCUGCUUCCAUGACUGGCACCCGAUUACCAGACGAACGCGCACAAGCAGUUCAAUUUCUUAGUUCACUCUUGAACUACGUUCGGCUUGAUCCUCGAAAGGGGUACGUAGGCAGCCUUUCAUAAGGUUCAGUCCGAAAUCAAUCAAAAACAUUUUCUUUAUUUCUUCAUCUUUUGUAAUCGAGCUGCGACUCAACUAGGUUUGAGCUUUUAGGCCGCUAGAACUAGGUAACUAGCUGACAGCCUUUGCGGCCAAAGCUUUUAUGAUCUCUUGUAAUGAUCGCAACGCUCUUACGCGGACUCGAAAUAAGAUCUACUGUUUUCUCUAAACUCGUUUGUUAUCUUUUCACGAUUUCCGCAUAUAUUUGGUCACUUGCCGUUGGCUCUCGCAGAGAUCCGGGACCUCUGGGAAAUUAGGGUUUUCAUAGUUUCCUAAUUUAAACGUAAAUCGACAAUGCGAAUUUCGGUUCCCACAGUCUCUCUCAGCGACACCAACAAGUAAAGGGACCUUUCCUCUUUCGAGCAUAUAUGCUAAUAUGGAUUAUCUCUUUUGGAGAAAAAACAGUAUUGUUGAACCAUGAUUAGACAGAGACCCAUCCAUAUCACUGGAUAAUUUGGUACCUGUAGAGGCCAGAAAUGUUAAAUUCUUUAGGGGAAUUGAAAGGGAUCCUUUGGAGCUAGUCCGCUAUGCAGAGAGUGAGUGUCAAGCCUGGUUUAACGCAAGUGAGAUCGUACCAACAGUUCCACAAGCCCUUAAUAUUGAAGAACCUCAAGUCUUAAAGUUGAGUAAUAUCUGCAUGACAGAUGAGUCUUGGACAUCUACUGCACAGUUUAGUGGAUAUGGAUGGGUCUGACUUGAUAGUUUGAGGAAGGUUCAAUUUAUUGGGACAUGGAACCAAGUUCGGAGAGAGACUUCAUUAUAUUCAGAGGUGGAAGCACUGAGAUGGGCGAUCGAGUGUAUGCUUCAGUAUUCGACUUGUCAAAGUUUUGGAACGGACUGCAAGGAUUCGAUUGCGAUGAUCAACGAGCCUCAUGCUUGGCCGAGCUUUGCGACAGAAUUGGAGAGAAUAAAUACUCUCAAGAUAUGCUUUCCGGACUUCAAGAUCACUCAUAUUCCAAGAACGAAUAAUCAGAUUUCAGAUUUCUUAGCUAGGAUUGCGAGAUCUUUCCAUAGAGUACUCUAUUUCAUUGGUUGUUCUAUUCCGGUUUGGUUACCCAGACCACCUCAAGUUUGAGUAAUAGAAUAGUUUUUCGAUAAAAAAAAAAAAAACUGAAACAUGGAGAGUACUAAAAUAUCAGUUUUAGAAAAAAGUAAUUAAGAUAUCAUUUUAUAUGAAAUUUGUAUAUCUCUUGAUUCAUAUACAUCUUUGUUGGAUAUUAUAUUUUGAUGAAAUUAUAAAAUACACAAAUACAUUUAGCGUUACAUCGAUGAUAAAAUCAAUUUAGACGAUGGUGAAAAUCUGAAUCUUUUAUUUUCAUUAAAAAUUGAUAAUUCUGGUAAACUUUUAGGAGUGUUCAUUUAGAGGAUACAUUGAUUUUGUAUGACCAAAAGGAAAAAAAAUUGUAUCUUCGCAUACGGUGGUAGUAAAAGAAAAAAUCAUCUUCAGAUCAUGUACUUUUGGUUUUGGAUCCCAUUUGUGCUUGAAAUCCUCUUUGUAAUUUGGUGAGAUUAAUAUCAAGGUUACAAUUAUUUGUGAUGAAAUCAAUCCUUUUCAAAUGUGACGGAAACCAAUCCGAUCCUGAAUGGAAAUGGAAUGAAGCCAAUAAAACUAAAAUUUUUGGUUUCCCAUUGGAAACUAAUCAUUGCUUUUUGGCAAUCUUGAUAUGAGGCUCAAAAUAAGUGGUCAAUAUAGUAGAUUGUAACAGACGAUCGAUUAUGGUAUUUGUUGGUAAAAAUUCAAAAUUUGGGAUAAACACUAUGAUAACCAGUUUAUUCUAUAAUACCAAAUUCGUUUUCACCGGAACCGAUAGGAUAUAUAAAAAAAACCCAAAAUGAUUGUGCUAGUUUUAUUCGAGAAUGUUACAAACGUGAGGAAACACAACGUCAACAUUACAUGCACCGAAUUUAACAAAGUUACGUGAAUGUAAAUCAUGUGGAGUCCACCAUCACUAUGCACGCAUAGUAACUUUUACUUUUUACUUCUAUGUAAAUGAACGUUUGUGUUCGACGAAAGACACACCAUCUCUUCUUCCUUUCUAUCGUUAUUAUCUUGUAUCAGUAUUAUCUCUUUUCUACGGGUAUAAAAUUUCGCUCCAAUUUAAAUUUCUCUAUACUAUAAAAUUAUAAGUUAUUUUAUAACACGUUAUCAGCACGAUCACUGAUAGACCAUUGAUUUUACCCACAUUUGGCCAUGCUAUAUAAGUGUUUUAAUAUAUAUAUUUACUACUAUAUAGAGUUUAUUUAGAAUAUUUAUAGGUUCAGGUACGUUCUGGAGAAAUAUGGUGAUUUUGGAGUCUUUUGAGAUGAAGAACUGCACAGACGUGUCAGAUGUCUAGUUAUGUAUGGAGACCUUCCCACCGUUAGAUUGAGCCCAUCGUUUGGCACAAGAUAGAUCUUUGAGUUAUAUUUCUAAUGCCACCGGUUUGGGGUCAAUCAGCAUCCAGUAGCAGAAGUUAUGCCUGUUUUACUGAAGAGUGGUCAGUUUGCCUCGCGAGAAGAAGCGGUCGAGAAGAGGAACAUAUGUCAAUCGAUGCAGAACUCAUGAUAUCGAUCAAUAUGGAUGCCAGAAUGCGGGCCGAGCAUAUUUUAUGACCGACUGAAGCCCAGAAGCAAACAAAAAUUACCAGAAUACCCUUGGACGACCAGAAACCCUAUUUAUGUGUUUUCUAAGCCAUUGUUGACGGCUAAGCUUUAUUUUUCAUAGUUCUAGGUUAGGAGAGAAGAGAGGAACUCCUUCAGAGUCCUCUUGAAACUCCAAUGUUUUGGAUUUAUUUAUAUUUUAUGUUAUUUCUAUUCAUCUAUGAUUUCUGUGACAAACAUCAUGCAUGAGUAGAUCCACCUGCUAAGUUUAGGAAUUUCUAGGGUUUUGAAUGAAUUUCUGAAUUAUAUGAUUGUUAGGAUAUCUAAAGAUCUCCACAUCAGGAUAACUUGUAAUACUAGGAUCCAAAGUAGUUGGAAAAACACGAUAGUGUGACUAAUUUCUUAAACCUAGAAUAAUAGGACAAUUGAGAGGCACGAGAGUGCAAUCAAUUAAUGGAACCCGAAUCCUACUGGAUUAGAUACCUAGGCGCAUACGAGAGGUGGUCUAGGAAUCUAGUUGAACAUAAUCGAUCAGAUCGAUAACGCUUGCCUAAGGCAGUGUCGAUCGACGCUUAUACCAUAGCAUCGAUCAACACUCAAUCCGUAGAAUCGAUCGACGCUCAUACCAUAGCAUCGAUCGACGCUCAAUCUGUGUUAACAUGCGAGAGCUGAAACACUGAACUUAGUCAAUAGAUUAGACUCACAGCGAGAGCUGGUUGUCUUUUGCAUUAGAUAUCGAGUUCUAGAAUCAAUCCUUAGCAUCUAUAGUUUAGAGUUCUAAUAACCUAAAUGAAACCCUAAGUCUAGUAACCAUCCUUCCAUCAAACAAAUCUCUGCCAAGCUGAACAAUUGUCUUGUUCAACCUGUUUACUGCUUUAUUACUGCUUUGCAUUACUUAUUUACUGCUUUGCAUUACUUAUUUACUGCUUUAUAAACUAUUAGCCUAGCUUAAUCAUAAACUGUUUAGAUCUAAUUGGUUCCCUAGCACCUUGUGAAUUCGAUCUCUAAAUACUACAACUUGACCUCUUAUUUGAGAGAGUAUAAAUCACUCCUUAGGGUAAUUUCAGUGAUAUCAAAUUUGGCGCCAUUGCCGGGGAGCUUUGAUCGCCAUUAGAUCUUGUCUAGUUAGAUUUAGUCUAGAUUUUAAUACUGUUCAGAAAAAAAAACUAAUAAAUUUUUUUCUUGUGUUUCAGGUACAUCCAUAUGAGUACCAGAAGCAACAAGGGGAUAGGGAUCUUACUAGUAGAGCCACUGGAUUUGGAACGCGUGAUCCAUAAGUCUAAGAUCGACACUCCAAGCAGCAAUUGCCAGCGUAGAAAUCCAAGCGUCGAUCGACACUAUUCAUCCCGCGUUGAUUGAUAUUGUUCACCCGCUGUUCAACCUACGUCGAUCGACACUAUUCAACUUGUGUUAGAAAACACUGUUCAGCCCGGUACUGUUCAUUGAGGUACUGUUCACCUUGACACUAUUCACCCAAUGUCGAACGACACUGUUCAUCCGACGUCGAUCGACACUGUUCAUUCCCCGUCGAUCGACACUGUUCAGCACGACACUGUUCACCAUGACACUUUUCAAUCAGGCACUGUUCAUCCCGACACUGUUCAUCCGGUGAAAAAUGACACUACUUACGGGGAGACAGAGAAGAUCGAAGUGCUUAUACUUAAUGUCAAUGAGAAUGGGAUGUUAAGAGACGAAGAAGGUCGCACUCGCAACAGCGCAGGACAGUUGAUUAAUGCUUAGGGUGCUGUGAUCCCUGACAUGAUUGCUGUUGCUGAGAUUAAUGACUUUGACCUGAGCCGAGAGUGGUAUGAUUGGGUAGGUCAAGACCCCUUCCAGGGUCUUCCUCACCAAGAUCCCAGAAAGCACAUCGAAGAGUUGGAGGAUCUCGUGUCAAGGAGUGAGCGGAAUGAAGUGUCUGAAUACCACAUGCUCUGCAAGAUAUUCCCUUAUUCUAUCUAUGGGGAUGCAUUCAGCUGGUUUUGUCAACUACAGCCAGGAUCUCUAACCAGCUGGGAUGACAUUGAAAGAGCCUUCCUUUACAAAUUUCUGAUGAUGCUGAAGCAACUCGAGAAAUGGAGAAAAAUUAUAAAUGGGACAGGUUCUUGGUAUCGUUAGAUGAGGAGUAUAUGAUUCCAAUACAGCUGCUCGAUGACAUUAUGGCAAAAGGGAUGAACAACAUAUGUCUGGAGAGCUGAGCAGAGUGGAAGAAGCUGGUACUGAUGACGCGACCUCAACGUCGACCGACGGCACGACCUCAACGUCGAUCGACAUCAUGACCUCAACGUCGACCGACAUCAUGACCUCAACGUCGACCGACAUCACGACCUCAACGUCGAUCGACGAUGUAGACAGAGAAAUCACCAUGGAAGACUCCUUAGAGCUGGAGGAAUGGCUUGAAGAUAUGGAUCAAAAUUUGAAGAAGAAGCUUGAUUACGAUCAGCAUACUUCGAGAGAAGAUCUGGAAACUUCAUAGGCUGGCAUUGGUCGACACCAACCUGAUGAGAUCGAUCAACAACCACCCCCACAUCAUCGAUCUACACCCACCCGACAUCGAUCGACACCGCCAACCACUUAUCGAUCGGCACCACCCACCUAAUAUCCGAUCGGCACCACCCACCUAAUAUCGAUCGAUUCCCAUCGCUAGACGUUCCGCCAGGUUGCAUAAUUGAGAUGCAACCGAUUGCGGAGAGGAUGGACAUGUCUAAGGCCUCACACCUUGCUGUCCCUAAACAUCAGAGACCACCUAUCUGGACGGAAGAAGCUAUUGGGUUUCACAAAAGAGUUAAGAGGAUACAUGAUCCUGUGAAGAUUGUGGUUCCAUGCGCUGUAUUUGAAACUGAAUCUCCUACAGUGGGAUAUUGGAUGAUCAUCAGCACAUAGGAGCUUCUUAGAGAAGGUUGCGAUUUAGAGAUAAAAUCGAUAAGGACCCAGCAUAAGCAACAUCGAUUGACACCGACCGGAUACCAUCGAACGACACCAACAAACCAGCAUCGAUCGACGCUAUCACUUCUCCAUCGAUCGACAGUGGACGCGUAUCAGAGCAUAAGGAGUUCGAUGUGUGUGGAAAUCUUAGGGAUGGAGAUACCACUACGCAAUCAGACAAGCCUGGGGGAAAGAAGAGGAGGAAUUGGAAGAAGAGAAAAAGAAUCAAGAAUGGUCCUCAGGUAUCAUUGACCCCUCACUUCUCAGAUUAUGUCAAGAAAUCCAGAGUGCGCAGCAGAUGCUUCUCAAAACCAUUUGCAAAGGUUCGAGCACUCUUUAUUGUUGAGAUGAUAGACAAAGGAGAAGAGUCUAUUUCACACAAGAAUGAUAAAGCUUCAGAGAGCAGACAUUGAGACUUGUUUUGGAGCACGUUCUCAUUCUCAUCCGGAAUAAAUCAGAUCUCCAAAGUCAAGCUAAAUGACUAUAACAAAACACUGAGUGCGAGGCAACCCACUAUUAGGUAAUUUCUUUCAGUUUAGUUUAGAGUGUUAAUGAUUCAAGUUUUUAUUUAUUGCAGGUCAAAAAAAAAUGGAUGAACAAUAACGACGGUAAUGUAGCAGAGGCACUGUAGCAGAGGCACUGUAGCAUCGAUAGACACUGUAGCCAACAAAUCGAUCAACACUAUAGCAGAAAACCGGGAGUUACUCUAGCAGUGUUACUGUAGCAGAACUGUUCAUCGAAUUUUUUUUUUAAAUUAAUUAAUUAAUGUUUUAUUAGUUAUCUUUUACUGAUUUUUUUGUGUUUUGUUUAUGAUAGAUAAAAGGAAAAAGAUCCAAGGAAGAAGAGUUGAUAUACCAGAAGCGAUCGACGACAACAUGCCAUUGUCGGUCGACAGAGCAUCACGAGUAUCGAUCGAUCGCCACUUAACUGUGUCGAUCGACGCUCACCAUCAACGAUCAGGUAUAACGUUUCACCUUGUUAAAUAUUGUCCUUAUGGUUUAUUUCCCCACUAAUCUUAGACUGUAUAACAAUGGUCACAUUGUUGUUUAAGUUUGGGGGAGGUUCUACUAAUAUUGUGUUUGAGUUAGCUAUUUAGAAAAAAAAAAGGAACCGAGUAAACGAUUGCCAUCUGUAUCGACCGACGCGAACCUGUCGACAUUGAUCGACAUUGCUUUACCUGAAUCGACCGAUAUCAACAUCCUUACAUCGGUCGACAUUCAUUCCGGUCGGGUAUGUCAUUCUUACUUGUUACAUUGAGUCCUUAUGAUUUAUUUCUAACCAGAGCUCCAACUGAAUUUACACUGGGGACAGUGUAGUUUAAGUCUGGAGGGAGGUUUACUGAUAUUUAUUUACUUAUUAGUCUUAUUAAAAUGUUUUCAAAUUAAGUUAUUAUUGAGUCAAGAAGGGGAUUAUGAACUCAUAGAUUUUGCUAGAUAUCUAACCACUCUUUAGAAACAUUCUCGACUUACUAAUUGCAGAUAGUACUAAAGAUACUAAAGUGGAUCAACCUGUCAACUAUCCACACUUGCUGAGAUUGUUUGAAGGAACCAAAGCUGAUCUCCAACACUAAACCUGACACAAUUGCUCGUCUUGGGGCUUGGUAUACGUGGGAUCAGAUUCUUCAAACAAGUCUGGAAGGUAAAGCCUUGUGUAGAUUUAUCACAUUUUCUCUCUCUAUUUCGACCUUAGAUUUAUAGGUAGAGAUAUUUAUUUUAAAAAAAAAAAUGAAAAAGAAAGGAAAAUAUAGAAAAAAAAGAAAAAAUAUAUAUAUAUAUAUAGGUGUUAGUUAGGUGGAUACCGAACAAGACUUGGUGGCUACAACCAUUAAGGCUUGCUUCAUAAGGAUUCCAACAAAAAGAAUUCGAACGGGACUUGGUGGCGGCAAUCAUCAAGGUUCGAUUCAUAUGAAUUCUUGGAUAUAUGUCAAAAAGAAGUGAACAUGACUUGGUGGCAACCACCAUUAAGGCUUGAUUCAUGGAAGCAUGUCCAAUCUUGGUCAAUGAUCUUGCAAUAUAAGUAGACUUUGACUAAGAGAGAAAUUAGUAGAGAGAAAAUAUAUGAACUAACUUUUACCUGCAGAUCCAGAUACUUGUUUGAAAAUCCUUGCAUCCUGUGAUCGAUACUCCCAAGGUAAAGCCUGCACUUUUAUUUAUGUUAAGAAAUGAGGUUGCUAGAGAGGAAUUUCAGACAGAAUUUGCUAAGUUGUUGGCUAGGUGAAUUUGGUUGCUAAGCUAGGAUAUUGUGUAAUGUGCUUUUGUGAUUAGGACUUCUUAGGUGUGGAUUGAAAUAUUGUAGAGGUGAUGAUUCUAAGUUUUAAAUCAUGUGAGUCCCUGCUAUUUUCAAAUCUCUUUCAGAGAGACUGCCUCUUUGUUUUGCUUGAGGACAAGCAAUAGGGUAAGUCUGGGGGAGUUGAUAGACCAUGGAUUUUACCCACUUUUAACCAUGGUCUAUAAGUGUUUUAAUAUAUAUUUACUACUAUAUAGAGUCUAUUUGGAAUAUUUACAGGUUCAGGAAUGUUCUGGAGAAAUAUGGUGAUAGACCAUGGAUUUUACCCACUUUUGAGGUGCAAAACUGCACAGCCGUGUCAGAUGUCUAGCUAUGAAUGGAGACCUUCCCACCGUUUGAUUGAGCCCAUAUUUCGUCACAAGAUAUAUAUUUGAGUUAGCUUUGUAAUGCCACCAGUUUGAGGUCAAUCAGCAUCCAUUAGCAGAAGUUAUGCCCGUUUUACUGACCAGUAGUCAGUCUGCCUCGCGAGAAGAAGCUGUCGAGAAAAGGAAUGUAUGUCGAUGCAGAACUCAUGAUAUCGAUCGAUAUGGAUGCCAGAAUGCGGGCCGAGCAUAUUUUAUGACCGACUGAUGCCCAGAAGCAACCAUAAAUUACCAGAAUACCAUUGGACGACCAGAAACUCUAUUUAUGUGUUUUCUAAGCCAUUGUUGACGGCUAAGCUUUAUUUUUCAUAGUUCUAGGUUAGGAGAGAAGAGAGGAACUCUUUCAGAGUCCUCUUGGAACUCCAUUGUUUUGGUUUUAUUUAUAUUUUAUGUUAUUUCUAUUCAUCUAUGAUUUCUGUGAUAAACAUCAUGCAUGAGUAGAUCCACCUGCUAGGUUUAGGAAUUUCUAGGGUUUUGAAUGAAUUUCUGAAUUAUAUGAUUGUUAGGAUAUCUAAAGAUCUCUACAUCAGGAUAGCUUGUAAUACUAGGAUCUAGAGUAGUUGGAAAACCACGAGAGUGUGACUAAUUGCUUGAACCUAGAAUCAUAGGACAAUUGAGAAGUACUAUGGUGCAAUCAAUUAACGGAACCCGAAUCCUGCUGGAUUAGAUACCUAGGCGCAUACGAGAGGUGGUCUAGGAAUCUAGUUGAACAUAAUCUAUCAGAUCGAUAACGCUUGCCUAAGGCAGUGUCGAUCGACGCUUAUACCAUAGCAUCGAUCGACACUCAAUCCGUAGAAUCGAUCGACGCUCAUACCAUAGCAUCAAUCAACGCUCAAUCUGUGUUAACAUACGAGAGCUGAAGCACUGAACUUAGUCAAUAGAUUAGACUCACAGCGAGAGCUGGUUGUCUUUUGCAUUAGAUAUCAAGUUCUAGAAUUAAUCCUUAGCAUCUAUAGUUUAGAGUUCUAAUAACCUAAAUGAAACCCUAAGUCUAGUAACCAUCCUUCCAUCAAACAAAUUUCUGCCAAGCUGAACAAUUGUCUUGUUCAACUUGUUUACUACUUUAUUACUGCUUUGCAUUACUUAUUUAUUGCUUUAUAAACUAUUAGCCUAGCUUAAUCAUUAACUGUUUAGAUCUAAUUGGUUCCCUAGCUCCCUGUGAAUUCGAUCCCUAAGUACUACAACUCGACCUCUUAUUUGAGAGAGUAUAAAUCACUCCUUAUGGUAAUUUGAGUGAUAUCAAUCACUCUGCGAUUCGGUAAAAUUUAUAUGUAUCAUAUAUACCCUGCUAUAAUAGCCGGUAUGCCUCCUACAUUACUAUUUAUUAUUUUGUAGUAACUGUUUUAAUUUAUUGUCAUUUACCUAUAUUAAUGUGGGCGGUAUGUCGCCUUGUUAAAAAACUUUGAUUGUUAAAUGCACUAUAAUUACUGGCUUGGCUGUGCCGCCGCAUAAUUUAUUUAAUGUUAUAAUUUUCCUAUUACCAUAAUACGAUUGAUAUUUAUUUGUUUAUUAUAUUAUGGUUAUUAUAUAAAUGUUUGCUCACCUAGAUAAAAUAUUAUGAAUUUUAUGGGAAUACAAAUGACAAACAUCGAGAAACUUCAGUUUCCGGCUGUGAAAAUAACUCUCGAAAAUUACAUCGGAUGGGUCACAAAUGAGAAACCUUACCUUGUAAUUAAGAAGUUAACCGAAACGAUAAAAAUCUGUAACAAAUCACCCGAGCAUAUAGCCGAAGCGGUAAUCUUCCUGAAGAAGCAUUUAGAUGAGAAUCUAACGCACGACUAUGCAAACAUCGAGGACCCAGCGGAACUUUGGAAAGCUUUGAAGGAGAGGAUUGAUAACCAGAAGGAAAUCAAUCUCCCUCAUGCUCUUGAAGAGUGGAAAAACCUGAAGUUUCAGGAUUUUCAAAAGGUUAAGGAAUACAAUCCCGCUGUUUUGAGGAUAGUUGCACAACUAAAGUAUUGUAGUAUUCCCGUCUCUGAGGCAUAAAUGCUUGACAAGACAUACAACACUUUCCACAAAGAGCAUAAACUCAUACCCUGAAUUUACAGAAAAUGUGGGUACACUAGAUUUUCUAAAUUGAUGGUUACGCUCAUGUUGGCUGAAAAGAAUGAUGAGCUACUAAUCAAAAACCACAAUUCCCGACCUACGGGAGCCAAUGCAUUCCCUGAAGUGAAUGCUAUGGCGGUUGAAAAUUCGGAAAGGAGAAACCAUACCAACCGAGGUCGUGGUCGCCUUCAACAACAAAUGUGGAAAAACUUAGAAUCCUAAGUGGAAGAGAUCUAACAAAUGGGUUAGACCUGAACAACUUCCUAAGGGUAGAGAAACUCAAAAGGAUACCACCCAGAAACGUGAGACUGUAUGUUACAAAUGUAGAGGUAAAGGACAUUGUGAUACGCCCAAAAUCGAGCACCGUCCUGCUUGGAUCAUGGAUACGGCCCAAGGUGGCGAUUUUGUCAACCAGCUCGACCAAACCGAGGUUCUCAUGUCGGAUCAUACCAGUUCUACUGCCCCUGACAUACCAUCUGAUCAUUCCGUCUAUACUGAGCUGAUUUUCCCAUCAGAUCGUGCUGAUCAGACCGGCCGUAUCGUUCCAUCCGAUCACCCGGACUGUACUGAUGGACUGAUCCGACACAUCGAUCAGUUCAUGAACUUUGAUCAUCUGAAUUUCUCUAAGGCAAGGAUAUUAAAGCUUUCAGAUGACUUAGCCUCCAUUUGGUCCAGAUCAGUCCGUGAGAAUCAUCCAUCCGACCAUAUGGACCGUACCGGACGCAUACUGCUCCUUACCGUGGGACAUACUGCAGGAUACAAUGAAUCUGGACAGUGGCAGCCGAAGGGUUCAUUCGACCAGUCAACAUAAUUUUCUGUGCUUUGACUAGAUCUGGUCAAUCAUCUAUUUUCUAUGUCUCUUUUUCAUAUAUUUCUAUUGAUUUUCUUUGACUACAACUAGUAUAAGUAUGUAAUCUCAUUCCAUCAAUAAAGCAAUCGAUUUUUCCUUAUUAUUUCCUAGUUUCAAACUCUCUUUGUUCUCUGUUUAGAACACUCUUGUUCUCUUGGUGAGGUUAUCUCCGAGUGAAUCCCCUUUCGUUUUGCUGGACUUGUGCGUCACAUCAAGCAGUAGACGGAAUAUAUGGUAGUAUCAUUGGUCCAUCCGCAACCCUUUGUGUCACCAUCCAUCCCAUCAGUUCUCAAUCCUUCUGGAUCGAGUCCAUAUCACCCGCACCGGUCGAGUGUUCGUUCCUUAGGGUUCUUCACAUUGGUCUCAUACCUGUUGUACUCCUCCACAUCUCUGUAAGUUAUAUCAAGAGUCCACGAAAGGCAAAGCUAAAGAAGUGAAUCUCACUGAAACUUUGAAGGGACAUCGUACCUCGAAGCCUUCGAUUUCACAAAUGAGAUGGAGUAAAUUGCUCCCAAAGAUAACUGAAAUGAUCGUAAUAAAACAACUGAAUAUUCUUCAGUAUUGUCAUGUAUAAUUAUUAUAUUUCCUGUUUCAAAUGAAUAAUAAUGUUUUAAUUUCAACUUAAUGUAUAAUUAUUGUGUGGUUUCCUUAUAUGAUUAUUAUAUGAAUGAAUUUUAUGUUUUCUUUUAUUAAUAUUUUUGAAAAUUUCCGAAAUGGAUCAAAAUUCUAAUGGAGAGAAAUCCAAGAAAUGGAAUCGAGAAAUAUGUAUACCAUAUAGUGGAACAACGCACACUAUUCUGAAACAAAAUAGAUAUUUCUCUGAUAUAAAACCGACAAGAAUUGUCAUCAAUACAAUAUCAGGUCCUGCAGACGUGAUUGAAGGGACUGGUAAAGCAAACUUUACGUUGCCAAAUGGAACAAAGUUUUCAAUAAACAAUGCUCUAUAUUCUCCGAAUUCUAAAAGGAAUUUGUUGAGUUUCAAAAAUAUAUAUAUUCACGGAUAUGAUAAUCAGUCUGCAGCUGAGAAUGAAAAAAAGUACAUAUAUGCAACUUUUGAUAAAUGUGGAAAAAAGUACAUAUUGGAAAAGUUCCCAGAACUUCCUUCGGGAUUGCAUCAUACUUAUAUCGAUGAAAUCGAAUCAAAUCAUGUAGUGAAACGAAAUCCAGAAGAAUUCACAUUAUGGCAUGAUCGCCUUUGACACCCAUGCACUACAAUGAUGCGUAAAUCCAAGAGAUUUCUCAAGGGGAAUAAAAUGACAUGUGUUGCAUGUUCUCUUGGAAAAUUGAUUGUAAGGCCAUCGCCAACCAAAAUUGAUAAAGAAUCACCAAAGUUCCUUGAAAGAAUUCAAAGCAAUAUAUGUGGACCAAUACAUCCACCUUGUGGACCAUUCCACUAUUUGUUGGUAUUAAUUAACACAUCUAGUAGAUGGUCACACGUUUGUCUAUUAUCAUCUCGAAAUGUGUCAUUUGCGAGAUUUCUAGCUCAGAUAAUCAAACUGCAAGCACAGUUCCCUGAUUAUACUAUUAAAAGAGUUAGAUUAGACAACACUGGUGAAUUCACAUCCCAAGCAUUCAAUGAUUAAUGUAUGGUAACGGGAAUUGAAGUUGAACAUUAUGUUGCUCAUGUUCAUACCCAAAAUGGUUUGGCUGAAUCUUUAAUUAAGUGUCUGCAAUUGAUUGCAUGACCAUUGAUCAUGAGAUGAAAACUUCCAACCUCUGUAUGGGUACAUGCUAUUUUGCAUGCAGAAGCACUCAUUCGUAUCAGACCAAGUGCAUACCAUAGGUAUUCUCCAAGACAGUUAGUGUUUGGUCGAGAACCAAAUAUUUCCCAAUUAAGAAUCUUUGGUUGUGCGGUAUAUGUGCCUAUAGCACCACCACAACAUACAAAGAUGAGACCAUAAAGAAGAUUAGGAAUAUAUGUUGGUUGUGAUUCUCCAUCAAUUAUACGAUACCUAGAACCACAAACUGGUGAUGUCUUUACAGCACGGUUCACCGAUUGUCAUUUCGAUGAGAAAGUAUUCCCACUUCUAGGGGGAGAAAACAAAAGUGUAGGAAUGGAUAUCAUCUUGAUCCUCCUACUAAAGAGUCAAAACAAGAACUCGGCGAAUUAUGCAUUUACAGAGUAUAGCAAAUCAGCUACCUCAUGCAUUUGCGGAUACCAAGACAGUAACUAAAUCUCAUAUACCAGCUUCUAAUGCUCUUGCUUGUAUCAAAAUAUCAAAUGAGGAAGGAAAAGCAGAUAAUACACGUGAGUCUAAAACACGCUUGAAGCGUGGUAGACCUGCUGGUUCUAUGAAUAAAUAUCCUAGAAAACAAAAGAAUCUCAAGAUAAAUGACACACCCAAAAUAGCAUAAAAUAUUUUGGAAAAAACAAAUAAUGAGGAUACUGAGAAAGUUGAGCAUCGUUAUUCGGAAAAUAAUCAUGAAAUUUCUGUCAACUACAUCUGUAAUAAGAAGAUAUAAAAAAGAAAUGAAAAGGAUUAUGUUGAUGAUGCUUUCUCAUAUAUUGUGUCAAGUGAAAUAAAUGAAGAAAUCGAUGAUCCAUAACCAAAAUCUGUUUAUGAAUGUCAAAAGAGACAUGACUGGAACAAAUGGAAAGAUGCAAAACAAACCAAACUAAAUUCGCUUAAUAAGCGAGAAGUUGAUAUCACUCAAAUUACCCUAAAGAGUGAAUUACUCUCUCAAAUAAGAGGUUUAGAUGUAGUACUUAGGGAUCGAAUCCACAAGGAGCUAGGGAACCUAAUAAAUCUAAUCAGAUUUGUAAAGCUAGUUUGUUUAAUGUUUUUAAUGUAAAGUUGCAAGUUUUGUGAGCGAGUAAUUGCUCGAUAGACUGGUUGGGGUUUUGGUGCUUAAAAGGAAAUAGUUAGACUUAAGGUUUUUAUUCAGAAAAUUUGGAUAGAUGUUUAACAAGUUGCAUGCAUGAUAUCAUAGAGCUCAACACUUAAUAACAAACCCUUAGGCUUUCGCUUUCAAGGUUUGUCUAUUGACCAGUGUCGAUCGAUUAUUCUAUAGGAAUCGAUCGAUACAUUUGUUGAAACGUCGACCGAUUAUUCAAAAGGAAUAUCGAUCGACGUGAUUGGUCAAGCGUUAAUGCACAUGUUGAAUAUGCUCACUAAGGUUACUAGAUCAGCUCUCGCUUAUUCUAGCAAGUCUUAGCUCAGUUAGAAUGGUUUCAUUAUGAGAUGAAAGUUAUCACUUAAAUCUAACAAUCCUAUGACAAGUUUUAGGUAGCUAAUCUAGAAUAUGACAUUAAUGACAAUCCUAAAGAUUAAUAUCACAACUUAGCAAUCUAUAGUUGUGGCUAAUCCCUCAUAACCUAUUUAAACCCUAAAAUCUAACAAGAGAACUACUCAGACAUGGCAAAGCAAUUCAUAACAACAAUAAGGUAUAGAAACUGCAUUCGAAUAAUAGAUAGAUAUUAAUGGAGUUCCAAUCACAAAUCUCUUUGGAUCUUCUCUCCAAUCUACUAAAAAUCCUAGAAAACCUUUACUGUUAAAAACAGUAAAACAAGAACGCACACUUUGCCUCUAACAUGUUGGCAAAAGUUAUAUAAUUAUGUUAAAACUCGUUAGGGGUAAUCUUGUAAAUUGGUGAAGACUUGGGCUCUAAAUCAGCUGUGACCAAACUGGCAUUAUGCACGCUUCGUUGUGUAUCGAUGUCAAGAUGUGAACAUUGAUCGAUUAUUCCUCUUCAAUAUCGACCGAUGGUCGAGCUCGAUGGUCAUCUCGGGUACUUACUCCAAAUAUCUCCAAAAUGUUCCAAAAUCAUCAUUUUUCUCCAAAUCACUCAUGAUCUUAUAAAUAUUCAAAAUAUACUUUAUAAUAUAAUAAUUAAUAGUUAAAACAUUUAUAAACCAUGGGCAAAAGUGAGUCAAAUCCAUGGUCUAUCAACUCCCCCAGACUUACCCUUUUGCUUGUCCUCAAGCAAAACAAACAAGCAGUCUCUGUGAAAGAGGUUUGAAAACAGCAGAGACUCACAUGAUUUAAGAGUUAUAAUCAUCACCUCUACAAUAUUGCAAUUCACAUAUAAGAAGUUCUAAUCACAAAAGCACAUUAUACCAUAUCCUAGCUUAACAACCAAAUUCACCUAGCCAACAACUUAGCAAAUCAUGUCUGACAUUCUCCUCUACCAACCUCAUUUCUUAGCAUAAAUAAAAGUGCAGGCUUUACCUUGGGAGUAUCGAUCACAAGAUGCAAGGAUUUUCAAACAAGUAUCUGGACCUGCACGUAAACAUUAGUUCUUAUCCUCUCUCAACUAAUUUUGUCUCUCAGUCAAAGUCUGCUUAUAUUGCAAGAUAAUUGACCAAGAUUGGACAGACUUUCAUGAAUUAAGACUUAAUGGUGGUUGCCACCAAAUCCUGUUCAUUUCUUUUUGACCAAUAUCCUAGGAUUAUUUGUGAAGUAAGCCUUAAUGGUUGUACCCACCAAGUCAUGUUCUUAUCCUUUACCUAUAAAAUUCUUAUGAAGCAAGUUUUAAUGGUUGUAGCCACCAAGUCUUGUUCGAAUCCCUUCCUAAUAAAUCUCUAAUAGAUAAUAUAUAUAUAUAAUAGAUUUUUUUUUAUAAACUAUAUCUAUAAUUUUAAUAUAUAUUUCGAAAAUAGAGAGAGAGGGUGAUAAAUCUUAGGGGUGGGCAAAAAACCUAAACCGAACCAAUCCAAACCAAACCAACCGAAGUUAAACCGAUCCAAACCAAACCGUGCUCUUUACAUAACCCAAUUGGUUCAUGUUUUACUCAACCCGAAUGGUUUGGUUUAGGUUCAAACCGAACCAAACCGAACCAAACCAAUAAUCCAACAUAUUUUUAUCUAUAAAUAAAUAUAUAUAAAUAUAUAUAUGUAAACAUAUUGUAAAUUUUAGUUAAAGUUUUGUUUUCCAUUUUUUCUUAACUUCCAUAUAUUUUUAAAAAAAUCUAAAUAUGAUUCAAAUAAUCCUAAUACCUAAAGAUUGUACUGAAAACAAAACCUAAAAACUAUAAGCAUCCAAAUCGUAGCCAUCUCGUUUCGAUCAUCUUCUCCAAUUUUCAUUCUCUAAAUUAUGUAACAGUUAUUAUAGGAUCAAUAAAAACAAAAAGGUUGAUACAAAUAGUCUUUUAGUUAAUAGGUUUUGGAAUGUUUACAAGUCUUUGUUACGCUAAUUAGAUUACAAAUAGUCUGCUCUUUGCUUAUUAUGUAUUUCUUCCUUUGACGUAGUUAAGAGUUUUGUCAUCGAGCUUGUUUUUUGUUUCACAGAUUUUUUAAGAAAACCAAACUAAAUCUAAACCAAACCGAACUAAGCCGAACCAAACUAAACCCAAACCGAACCCAAACCAAAGCUACUUUGGUUUUAGUUGGGUUGAGUUUUAUAAAACCCAAAUUAACCAAACCAAACCGAACCCGAAACUAAACCGAUAUGCCCACCCCUAAAUCUAUAUACACAAGGCUUUACCUUCCAGAUUUGUUUGAAGAAUUUGAUCUCAUGUAUACCAAGCCCCAAGAUAAGCAGUUGUGUCAAGUUUAGUGUUGGAGAUCAGCUUUGGUUUCUUCAAACAAUCUCAGCAAGUGUGAAUAGUUGACAGGUUAAUCCACUUUAGUGUCUUUAGUACUAUCUGCAAUCAGUAAGUCUAGAAUGGUGCUAAAGAGUGGUUAGAUAACAAGCAAAAAUCUAAUAAGUUCAUUAUCCCCUUCUUGACUUGAUAAAACAUUUUAAAAACUUUUUAAUAAGACUUAUGAAUAAACUACUAUCAGUAAACCUCCCCCCAAACUUAAACUACACUGUCUCCAGUGUAAAUUCAGUCGGAGUUAUGGUGAUAACGAAAUCAUAAGGACUCAAUGUAACAAGUUAGAACAAUAUACCAGACCGGAAUGGAUAUCGACCGAUGUAAAGGUGUUGAUAUCGGUCGCGGCAGGUGAUCUUCUGCCGAUCGAUGUCGGCAGUGUUUUGUCGGUCGAUACUCACGACAAUCGUCUACUCGGAUCCUUUUUUUUAUGACCUGCAAUAAAUAAAAACCAACAUAAAUACUAGAUUAAUAAAAAAUAAUUAAAUAUUACCUAAUAGUGGGUUGCCUCCCACUCAGUGCUUUGUUAUAGUCAUUUAGCUUGACUUUGAAGGUGAUUUGGCUAGUAGUGUUGAAAGCUGGAAAUUGUUGGGAAACAAGUGUCCAUCUCUUCUCUGCGCUUGUUAAACCAUGUACCAGUGAGGUCUCGCAUUGCUUCAUCUCCUCGGCGCUAUUUUUCCUUCAUUGUUGCAGUUGUGUUUUCCAUCUUCUGCAAUUUAUCUCCAAGACUCUCAAGGUUGAACUGAAUUCUUCUGAGUAUGGGUAGGUGUCAGCUGAGAUCUCCUCUCCUUGGUUGUGUGUAUCAGACAUGUCUGAUGUCUCCUUUGGUACUAGCCUGCCUCGGUUUGUAGCUUCGUCGACCGAUGUCUGUCUAUGAAUGUCGGUCGAUUUGUUGUUGCGUAUGUCGAUCGAUGCUGAUGCUUCUGGUCGACGGGCAAUGUAACUCUGAAUCUGCACUAAUUCCCUCUGUAUUGUUUCUAUCUGAGAAGUCAAAGCACUCAUGGUAAGGUCCAUUGGGAAAUAGAUGUCAUCACAUCUCCUAUCAAGCCUCUCUUCUGUUGUUUCCAGAGUUUUUUAUAUCUCUUAUACCAACUGAUCAAUCUCUGCUCUUGUGUGAAAAUCUGGUUGAGAUUUCAUCGGGUGUGAGUUUUUUGGGUCAUCGUCGAUCGAUGUUGAGUGGUGUCUAUCGGUCAAUGCUGGUCGAUGUUUGUCGGCCGCAUGCUGAAUUUUGUCUAUGUCUUGCCUCAUCUCCUCCAUGCAUGUAGUCAACCAACUCAUGCUAUCAUUAAGUGGUUAGUAGACACCAUCAAGCUUCAUCUGGAAAUGACCUUCAUACUUCUCUUGGGCUCCAUAGACUCCAUAGAACAUCUCAUUGAUCUCGUCCUUAGUGUAGAUCUCUGGUACCAGCUUCGUCUGUGUGAAUGAGCUAGCAUGUUCUUGAAGACAUAUGUAGUUGUGCUCAUCUCUCGAAGAUCUUUCCAUUAGCUUUCUGAUAUCAUCCUUGGACACACUAAUGAUGUGACCAUUCAUAUCUCUUGCAUAUCCCUGAUCAUAUCUGUAGACUCCAUACUCAUCCUUCUCUUCCAGUCGAAUUUUCUGGUUCCAAAAAGGUCAAAGGCUCUUCUGCCGAAUUCUGGACGUCUGUCGAUCGAUGGUGGAAUGAGUAUGAUGUUGAUUCUUCUGCUUGAAGCGAUUGUCUAUGCCACCAGCUGUGUUAUAAAACUCUUUUGUAACCCUCUGCUGAUGUGCUAGGACAGUGCAUUGUUGCACGAAGAGAUUGUCUACUCCAUUAGCCAUCUGAAGAAUGUCUGCAAUGUCCUCUCUGGAUAUUUGCAGUGCAUGGCCAUCUAUUGCUCUUGCAUAGUCGGCUGGGUCCCUGAAAAUACCAAAUUCAUCAUGUGUAAAUACUGGUUAUCAAUUUUAGGGUUUUCGCUUACAGUGGAUUUCGGUUUUGGACGGGUGUCGAUCGACGGUGGAAGGCUGUUGUCGAUUAACAGACGGUUGGCUCUGUCGAUAGGAUGGGUCAAACUUGUCCUUUCCCCAGUAGCUUCUUCUCAUUGUUGAUCUGGUUUAUCACAUCUUUGCAUGUUGAAAAGUUCCUCAUAUGUGAAAACCUCAUGAAGUUCAUCUGCUCCUGGCUCAUGAAUUUCUGUUUCUACUGCAUAGCUUUCAUGAUGGUGAUCAUCUGCCCAAAUGCCAAUGGAGUAGUCUCCUUCUCGUACAUGGUCGACUCCAGUGUCGAUCGAUGGAUAGUAGGCAAUGUCGGCCGAUGCUCGUUUUUAGUUUAUCUGAUGAGGAUGAGUGUCGAUCGAUGUUGAAACUGUUCUGUCGAUCGACGACGCAUUCCUUUUCCAAGAAGAAUGGUGGAGAAGUCUAUCUUCCUCAUCAAGAACGGCUUUGUACUCUAUAGCUCGCUCCUCCUCAUAAUAUUCAUCAUACUCCUCUGAAUGCAUGGUGUGUCUGGUGUGUGCUGCCAUAGUGCGGUUUGGAUUACUGUCGACCGAUUCUUAAUCAGGAGUGUCGGUCGAUUUCUUGUGGGCACUGUCGAUCGAUGUUGAUGUGUGAGUUUCGAUCGACGCCGAGUAUUCUGUCUCGUAUUCAGCUCCAUAGUAGGAUGCUGCGAUGAGUACUGGAUCAUUAAUACUUCUGGAGGAUGUAUGUGGCUUCUUGACUGGAAUGGGGUUGUAGUGGACAUGAGGAUUUAUGAGCGUCAGACACAACUGGUUGGUUUGUAAGUUGCACACUGCUCCUACUCUUGACAAGAAAGCUCUCCCAAGUAAUAGAGAAGAGUUCCAGUUUAGCUUGAUAUCCACAAGGAAAUCAACUAGAACUAGGACAUUACCAAUCUGCACCUCUAGGUUUCUCACAACUCCUCCUGAGCUCCUCUGAGAACAAUCCACAAAAGUGAAUGAUUCUUUGGAAGGCUCCACCUGCAGACGCAGCUGGUCUGCCAUAACCCUAGGUAGGAAGCUGACUGAUGCUCCUGUGUCGCACAAGGCAUGUGGGAAUUCAAUACCCGUCACCGUACAUGGUAUUGCAAAUUGCCCAGGAUCACUCUUCUUCUUCAGUAUAAUCCUUUUCUUCAUCUUUUCUCUAGCUUCACAGAACAUUCUCCUAAUGUCUUCUUCGGUUUCUCUGGUCUCUCUGAAGAACAUCCACAAUUUGUGGGUAAAAUAAGCCUCCUCGAAUGGAUUUCUAAAGGAAUCCUGUAGACUCUCUUUUGGAAACUUUCCCUUUCCUUUUCAUUAGCUCCCCUCUUCAGAUGUUUCGCCACUUUUUCCUUUCUUUUCCUUAGGGUUCUUCCCAUAGGAAUCCUAUCAACUUCCAUAGGAUCUGCUGCAUCAUCUGAAGGUAUCAUGAUGGUCUCUGGUGGGUUAUUUGAAGGUUUGGGUUUGGGCCUGAGUGCAUUGAUACGUGCAACAUCUAUCUUUGGCAUCUGCACUCGGUAUGUAAGAGGUGCUCGUCGAUCGAUGGGUGCUGGAGGUUGUCGAUCGAUGGCGGUCUCUUUCUAUCGAACGAUGACGGGGUCAGAAUGUCGAUCGAUCUUGACGUAAACAGGGCUGGGCGGAUGUGGGUAUUUUGCUGCAAACUCCUCGUGAGUCAUGAUCCUCACGGCAUUGCAUGAUGCGGUCGAUUCUGUAGGUGUCAUUGAUCGAUGCUCUGGAGAGCAUGUCGAUCGAUUUUGAUUAAAGUCCGUCGAGCGAUGUUCGAAGUCCGGCGUCGAUCGUCACCAAUGCGAUCCGCUGAAACUCAUCAAAAUUUCUAUUUCGAAAUCUCUUUCUUGCAGGUUCUCAUGCUUCAUUACUUGCCAGAAAUCGUCAUCUAUGAUGGCAUUCACGUGGUGCUUCAUCACAUCAUCUUCUACCCUCUUGUUUAGACUUCUGCCUCUUAACAGCUUCUCCUGUUUGAACAACCUGAAUCUCCAGCUUCUUCACAUGAGUGCUAAAAGUCUCAAACUUUGUGUUCAGGUUGGUGUAGACAGAGUCAAUCUUCCCAUUGAAGUCCACCGUCAUGCGCUGCUAUCCCUCAAGAACCCAAUCAAGCAUCUCUUCAAUCUUGCUCUCUUAUAACCCAUGUUGUUGCUGCUGUAGUUGUUGCUGUAGCGUUUCUGGUGCUGUGAACCUUGGUUGAAAUUGCCCUUAUUUCCAUAGGAACUUUUGUUUCCACUCUGGUUUCCAGAUCCUUGGACUCCAGUUCCACUAAUGAAGUUCACAUCUUCUUCUACCUCUGUUGUACCCUAUGUGUCUACAGCUUUUGCAUCCUCAACCAAGCAGACCUGCUUUCUGAGAAGCUUGUGAACACUGUCCAGCUUUUCCCUCACUUCAUCCAUCUGAUCAUUCCCAAGAAUGGUGGUGGAUUUCUUCCUCUCAAAACCAGUGUUCUUGGUGUUGCUGUUGGAUGCUAAGUUCUCAAUAACUUUCUUGCCUCAUCUGGAUUCCUGGUGUUGAAGUUCCCAUUGCGGGAAGCAUCAAGAGCCAUCUGAUACUGCACCGCGAUGCCUUUGUAGAAAGUACUGAGCAGUUGUACUUCAUUGAAUCCAUGGUGUGGACAGUCUCUUGAUAAGACUUGAAUCUGAUCCAGGAGCUUCUGAAUGACUCUGCAGGCUCCUUAGUGAAUAUAGCAAUCUUGCUCCUCAAGUCUUCAGUAGGCGCCUUAUCAAAGAAGUUGCAUAAGAAUGCAUUCUUGAUGUCACUUCAGGAUGUAAGAGAUCCUGGUGGUAACUGUUUAAGCCAAUGCGAAGCAUCUCCAGCAAGUGAGUACUUGAAGAGCUUGCAUAAGAGGUAGUCUUCAAAGACUCCCUCGACUUUGAUAGCAGAUAUAAGAUCCUCGAACCUCUCCAGAUGGUCCAUAGGAUGCUCGUGAUAUAACCCAUAGUAGGGUGUCUGUCCCAUGAGUGUGUAGUACUGCAGCUUCAACUCGAAAUUCCUCCUCUGAAUAAUUGGAGGACGAAUGGCUGAUCAGUUGGUGUAGAACUGACCUGGACGGUUGUAGUCAGCCAACGUUAUGGGUCGAGCAGCCUCAUCUACAGGUAGAGUGUUUCCUGUAGCAUCAGUAUCAUACUCAGGGAUUGCAGCCCCCAGAGCAUCUAUCCUCUGACAUGCUGCAUUACGCAGAUGACCUUCCUAGUCAUGCAGGUCUCCCCUCUCAUCACAUACAAGAAUCAAGGUCGCAACCAUGUCUCGCGGCUCAGUAUCAAUCGAUGUUCGGACUGAAGUAUUGAUCGAUGUCGGAUGGAAGAUCUCGGUCGACGGAAGAUGAGUGUCUUCGAUCGAUGGUGAUGAGUGAGUGUCGGUCGACGAGACUAGUGUCUGGGUUGACGGUGGCUGACAAAAAUCGAGCGACGAACAGAUGUUGUUGUCGAUCGAUGAGGAACGUAUUUCCUUACGGAUUGAACGUUCCAAGCUUGCAAGAUCUGAUGAUAAUAACAUUUGAGUUUCCUUGUUGCUUCUGGUACUGCUGGGCAUGUACCUAAAAAGCCAAGAAUUUUUUUUUGUGUCAGAAAGUGGUUUUAAACUUAACAAGAUUAAAUCUAUAAGGCGAUUAAAGCUCUCCGGCAACGGCGCCAAAUUUGAUAUCACUCAAAUUACUCUAAUGAGUGAAUUACCCUCUCUCAAAUAAGAGGUUCAGAUGUAGUACUUAGGGAUCGAAUCCACAAGGAGCUAAGGAACCUAAUAAAUUUAAUCAGAUUUGUUAAGCUAGUUUGUUUAAUUUUUUUUAAUGUAAAGUUGCAAGUUUUGUGAGCGAGUAAUUGCUCGAUUGAUUGGUUGAGAUUUUGGUGCUUAAAAGGAAAUAGUUAGACUUAUGAUUUUUAUUCAGGAAAUUUGAAAUUAUAAUCCUAUAAAUGCUUAACAAGUUGCAUGCAUGAUAUCAUAGAGCUCAACACUUAAUAACAAACCCUUAGGCUUUCGCUUUCUAGGUUUGUCUAUUGACCAGUAUCGAUCGAUUAUUCUAUAGGAAUAUCGAUCGAUACACUUGUUGAAACGUCGACCGAUUAUUCGAUAGGAAUAUCGAUCGACGCGCUUGAUCAAGCGUUAAUGCACGGGUUGAAUAUGAUCACAAAGUUUACUAGAUCAGCUCUCUCUUAUUCUAGCAAUUCUUAUCUCAAUUAGAAUGGUUUCAGGAUGAGAUGAAAGUUAUCACUUAAAAUCUAACAAUCCUAUGACAAGUUCUAGGUAACUAAUCUAGAAUCAUGCAUUAAUGGCAAUCCUAAAGAUUAAUAUCACAACUCAGCAAUCUAUAGUUGGGGCUAGUCCCUCAUAACCUAUUUAAAUCCUAAAAUCUAACAAGAGAACUACUCAGACAUGGCCAUGCAAUUCCUAACAGCAAUAAGGUAUAAAAACUGCAUUAGAAUAAUAAAUAGAUAUUAGUGGAGUUCCAAUCACAAAUCUCUUUGGAUCUUCUCUCCAAUCUACUAAAAAUCCUAGAAAACCUUUGUUGUCUAAAACAAUAAAACAAGAAAGAACACUUUGCCUCUAACAUGUUGGCAAAGCUUAUAUAAUUAGGUUAAAACUCGUCAGGGGUAAUCUUGUAAAUUGGUGAAGACUUGAGCUCUAAGUCGGCUGUGAUCAAACGGGCUUUCUGCGCGCUUCGCUGUCGAUCGAUGUCAAGAUGUGAACAUCGAUCGAUUAUUCCUCUUCAAUAUCAACCGAUGGUCGAGCUCGAUGGUCAUCUCGGGUGCUUACUCCAAAUAUCUCCAAAAUGCUCCAAAAUCAUCACUUUUCUCCAAAUUACUCCUGAUCCUAUAUAUAUUUUAAAUAGACUUUAUAGUAUAAUAAUUAAUACUUAAAAUACUUAUAAACCAUGGGUAAAAGUGAGUCAAAUCCAUGGUCUAUCAGAAGUAUUUGGAUCUAUUACUCUCACACCUGCAGAUGUGAGAGCAGUUGGAUACAAAUGGGUUUUUGUGAGAAAGUGAAAUGAGAAAAAUGAGGUUACGAGAUACAAAGCUCGCCUUGUGGCCCAAGAUUUUUCUCAAAUACCUUGAAUUGAUUAUGAGGAAACGUAUUCUCCUGUUUUGGAUGCAAUCACAUUUAGAUUCCUGAUGAGUCUAGUAGCUGAUAAAAAUCUCGAGAUGCGUCUCAUGGAUGUUGUUACAGCCUAUCUAUAUGGAUCAUUAGAUACUGAUAUCUACAUGAAAGUUCCUGAUGGAUUUAAAAUGCCAGAAGCAUUAAGUUCCAAACCUAAAGAGUUAUGUGCAAUAAAAUUACAAAGAUCAUUAUAUAGGUUAAAGCAAUCUGGACGUAUGUGGUAUAAUCGUCUCAGUGAGCAUUUAACAAAAGAAGGAUAUGUGAAUGAUCAUAUAUGCCCAUGUGUUUUCAUCAAGAAAACAACAUCCGGAUUUGUGAUAAUCGCGGUAUAUGUUGAUGAUCUUAAUGUUAUCGGAACUCAAAAGGAAAUACAAAAGGCAUCAGACUAUCUCAAAGGAGAAUUUGAGAUGAAAGAUCUUGGAGAGAUACAGUAUUGUGUUCGCCUAUAAAUAGAACAUUCUCAAAAUGGUAUAUUUGUGCAUCAAUCCACAUACACUAAAAGAGUAUUGAAACAAUUUAACAUGGAUAAAUUUACUCCUCUUAUCACUCUGAUGGUCGUUAGAUCACUUAUUAUUGAAAGUGAUCCAUUUCGACCACCUGAGAAAAAUGAAAAGAUACUUGGUCUAGAAGUACCAUAUCUAAGUGCAGUUGGAGCGCUGAUGUAACUUGCAAAUUGUACACGGCCUGAUAUAUCAUUUGCAGUUAAUAUUUUGGCAAGAUUCAGAUCAUCUCCCACACGAAGAAAGUGGAAACUAUUGGAAUGAAAGACUAUAGACCCAUAUAUUUCUGUAAUGUGCUCUAUAAGGUGAUCUCGAAGAUUCUUGCUAAUAGGUUGAAAAGCUUGUUGCCGAAGUGUAUAUCUCUGAAUCAGUCUGCUUUUAUAAAGGAGAGACUUCUGAUUGAAAAUGUCCUAUUAGCAACAUAAUUGGUGAAUGAUUAUCAUAAAGAGAGUAUCUCAUCAAGGUGUGCAAUGAAGAUCGAUAUAUCAAAGGCUUUCAACUCAGUACAAUGGUCUUUUCUACUUAAUACUUUGAAAGCACUUGGUUUGCCGGAGAAGUUUAUCUACUGGAUAUCUCUCUGCAUCACAACAUCUUCUUUUUCAGUACAAAUAAAUGGGAAAUUGGCAGAGUAUUUUCAAAGCAAGAGAGGAUUGAGACAAGGAUGUUCUUUAUUUCCAUACAUAUUUGUGAUUUGUAUGAAUGUGUUGUCUAAGAUGCUAGAUAAAGCCGUGAAUGAAGGAAGGAUAGGAUAUCAUCCUAGAUGCAAAAGUAUUGAGCUUACGCAGCUGUGCUUCGCGGAUGAUUUGAUGUUAUUUGCAAACUGUACAAAAAGAUCAGUUGAGGGGAUUCUUGACGUCUUUGAGGAGUUUGAUAAAAUGACUGGGCUAAAAAUUAGCUUGGAGAAGUCGACUCUGUUUAUGGCAUGAAUUACUACUCAACGGCAAGAAGAGAUCUUAUACCAGUUUCCGUUUGAAUCAGGGAAGCUUCCAGUGCGGUACCUAGGCCUCCCUCUCCUUACAGAGAACAUGACGAUAUCUGAUUUUCUUCCUUUAAUUGAGAAAAUCAGAAAACGAAUCAGUUCAUAAGCGAGCAGAUUUCUAUCAUAUGCAAGAAGGUUGCAACUGAUAAAGUCAGUAAUCACGAGUCUAACUAACUUCUGGAGGGCAGCAUUUAGAUUACCAAGUGGUUGUCUGAAAAAGGUAGAGAAGUUGUGUUCUGCUUAUCUUUGGUUGGGACCGGAUUUAAAUGGUAAAAAAGCUAAGAUAGCUUGGAAGGUUGUUUGUAGAGAGAAGGAGGGGGGGAUUACGAUUGAGACCAUUGAAGGAGACAAACAUGGUAUGCUGUCUGAAACUAAUAUGGCGUAUUCUCUCAUCUGAUUCACUUUAGGUGAACAGGGUAAAGGCUUAUCUUAUUAGAAAAGGAUCAAUAUGGAUGAUAAAAAAAGUAAUCAGAAUGGUUCGUGGAUGUGGAAGAUGAUCCUUAAAUAUAGAGAGAUUGUUAAACAAUUAUAUCGAGUGGAGAUUAAGAAUGGAAGGAGAACUUCUUUGUGGUAUGAAUCUUGGUCAUCUCUAGGGUGUUUGAAGGAUAUUUUGAAUGGAGGUGGAUGCAUUGAUAUGGGUAUCCCAAUCAAUGCGACAGUGGAACAAAGUAGGAAGCAUCGAAGAAGAAAUCAUCGGGUCACUCUGUUAAAUAAGAUUGAGGAAGAGAUUGAGAAGUAUGAAGCCAAUUUGGUAUCAAAAGAAGAUGUAUCUCUAUGGAAGGAUGGGAAAGGUAAAUUCAAAAAAACUUUCUCAUCAGGUGAGACAUGGAAGAUCACCAGAGAGAAGCAUUAACCAUGUAACUGGUAUAAAGCAGUGUGGUUUCAAUAUGCUACACCAAAACACUCUUUCAUCUUAUGNNNNNNNNNNNNNNNNNNNNNNNNNNNNNNNNAGCAGUGUGGUUUCAAUAUGCUACACCAAAGCACUCUUUCAUCUUAUGGACUACAUUACAUGAUAUGCUUCAAACAAGUGACCGUAUGAGAUAUUGGAAUGGGAAUGUGGAUACAUCUUGUAUAUUGUGUCAUGAUCUGACGGAAACAAAUGAGCAUUUAUUCUUUGAAUGCUCUUUUUCAUCUCAUGUAUGGAGAAGCUGAUGAGAGGAGUAUUGAGAAAUGAAUUCACAUUAAGCUGGACAGAUUUGAUAAAGAUAUGUAACAAGAGAGGGAUGAGGAAAAUACGAAUAUUCAUUAUUAGAUAUGCUAUGCAAUUGACUGUAUACAACAUUUGGAGGGAAAUGAAUAGAAGGAGACAUGGAGAAACUGGUCUGCCUUAUGAACAUUUGACUAAGAUGAUUGAAAAGAAUAUGAGAAAUAGAUAUUCAAAGGAAAGGAGACACAGAUUUUGAAGGAGGAUUAAUAUAUUGGUUCAACACAAGAUAGAAAGAAGUGGUGGACUGAUGAAGCAUAAGAAUGAAAUAUAAAAGUUAGAAAUAUUUUAAUUUCAAAGAAACUUUAUUGUAAAGAUCUUUUUUGAGUUAAAUUUAACAUCCAAUUCAAAAAAAAAAUAUUAAAUUGAGGGAAUUGCACGACGAAUAUAAUUUUUAGAAAAAGAUAUUCAUUUCUCGAGGUCAUAAAAGCUUAGAGAGCUACUGGCUUCAUUAUGAAGACAAUUCUUUAUCGAGGAAGAUCAUAUGUAGAUAAACCUUGUUUACAAAAAAAAAAAAGAUCAUAUGUAGAUAUGGACUCAUAUUCGAAGUUGACUCAUUUUGGGUCAAACCAUAAAAUCUGACAAAAAUGACUAAUCAAAUUUGUGUGCACUUCAUAUUUUAAAACUAAUUUUGUCGUGUUAGUAACAAAAUUUGUUGAAUCAUUAUGAGUUUAUAACCUUUUUAGCGUUUACGUAUAGUAUAAAAGGAGAGGCAUACACUGAUUUUUGCUAUAUGAAUGUUGCAUAUAUAUAAGUUUAAUUUCUUGCAUUUUUGGAGUAUAAUAAAGGUACCCUGAACACAUAAAAAUACAUAUAUAUCAUGAUAUAGAAAGCAUAUGUACUUACAUAAAGUUGAUAAAAAAGUACUUUCAUAAAAAUAAAAAGAUGUAGACAUAGACAUUUAUAUCUCUGAUUUAAAUAUAAACGAACUUUUCUCAAAUCUGUUGUUCUUGUGGUCAGCUCGAGCAUCUCUAGGUUUUUCGUGAUUUUCGUUUGAUUGUCGUCGCUAUGGAGUUUAAUAUCAGUUUCUUCAGUUCCAUAAGCACUGCAAGUAAUCUCUUUUAUUUCAGUAUUUCAAUUUUUUAUAUUAUGCUUUUCCAUUAUGAGGCUUUAUCUUUUUAAUGUACAGUUUAUUAACUCCCGACUUUUGGCUCUGAAAGGAUUGCAUUCCUUGUCAGCUUUGUGUUGUAAAAUGGAUCAAAUAUUAUAAUAAAUUUAACGGAUGAACAAAAAAAUAUAAACGAACUUUUCCUUCUUUUCUAAAAUCUAUUUGAUGACCAUAUCACAUAAGCAAUAAAAGUAAAUAUAGUUUUCCCAGACCUAUCAAGUCUAACCGGCUUACACCCAACAUUAACAUUGGUGAAUCAGUGAAAUAAGGAGUUGUCUUGCCUGUAGUACCGAGAGAGUGUGUAGAAGAUGGUUUAUCCAUUCCGGUCGAGAUGACAAACCUUAGUAUCAAUCCGAUAGUAAGUUAGUAUUAUGGUUAGGUUAUGAAAAAUUGGGUUGAUUUAAAAUUCUUACGCUUAUGCAGUUGAUUGGAGUAUUGUUCCUACGUAGAAGAUCUUUGAAGACUUGUCCCAUGGUGGUUUCUAGAAACAAUCAAGAACAUGUGAAAGAAAACUUUGUGUGUGUUUUCUUGUGUUGGUUUCGGUUGGAUCUAUGUCUACAGCUGGUUUGAGGCAGUAAAAACAAACAAUGCGACAAUCUAAACAAUUUGUGUGAGUUGCAAAAAGUUUAUUUUUCCUACUAAAAAUUUCAGAUAGUUUAGUUGUCAUCAGUAUACGAAAUACCAAGUGCUAGGAACCUUGAAAUCAUUAUUCUAAGAAAAAUAAAUGUCUAACAAAUUAGUAAUCUGUGUUCAAAUAUUAAGCCAAAGCACCAGCGAUAGCUGAAAACCAAAUAAAGAAAAACUCAGUCAAAGCACAAACUUUAAAAAAAAAGAGAGUAACACUCCAACGUUCCCUUGUAAAACUAUCUAUAUUUGACUUUGACUACUUACAUCAAUGAAGAAGGAAAUAUAAUGAGUUCAUCAUAUUCCUUUAUUGAUUCAACUCAGAAUAUACAAAUGACAAAGAAAGAAAGAAACAUGUGAGGAGUAUGCUUCAAUUAAAACCUUGGCUGCUGAAAUUUCUUCAACGCAGGAUUGGUGAUGGCACUCGUGCAUCAUUUUAGUAUGAUUUAUGGACUGAUCUGGGGCCUGUAUAUGCUAUGUUUGGACCAUAUGGUCCAUGCCAAUUGCAGGUUUAGCUUCAUGCCAACGUUUCUGAUGCAGUACGUGAUGGUUCAUGGAAUUUUCUAGCAGCUCAGUCUGAUGAUAUGGAGACCUUGCAGAUUGUUCUAUCUACCAUGGAGGUUCCAUUACCAUAUAGAGGAUAGGAUCAAUAUCUUUGGCUCGCACCUAACGGAACUUAUCUACCAAAGUUCUCCUCAAAGGCAACUUGGGAAAGAAUCAGGAAUCGCUCUGCCUUGGUUUCAUGGUCAAAAGUAAUUUGGUUCAAGCAAAAAAUCCCAAGAUGGUCCUUUGCAGCUUGGAUGGCCAUUCUUGGGUGUAUACCCACUCGUGACAGAUUUCUUGUAUGGGGAUUAAAUGUUCCAAACAGUUGUGUGCUCUGUGCUUCAGGAAUUGAAACUCAUCAACACUUGUUCUUUCAAUGCAAUUUCACUGUUAACAUUUGGACACGGUUUUGUGGUAGAAUGAUUGCAUCCCCUCCUGCUAAUUUUAUGGCAUCCGUACCCCUCUCUCAGUUGCUGAUGGACUCUGAUCUCAGUGAUACUGCUGUGGUAUUUAACUCAUUUUCAGGUGAUUGUGUACACCUUUUGGAGAGAAGGAAACUCACGUAUCUUCAGGGGGCAAGCAUUAACCAGUGACUCUCUCUUUGCGUCAGUGGAUAGAAUGGUCCGUGACCGGUUACUCUCUUGCUCGAGUGGUGCUCAGGUUGGUCCAUCGUUGCUACAGCUCUACUUCUGCUUCAUCUCUCCUUACAGCUAGUUGUUCUUGCCUCUGUUUUGUGCUGUUCUUUUUGGAUUGCACCUCUGAGGUUUUAAAUUUCUAUCUUUGUCUAUGUCUUCUUCGUUAUCCUCCAUCUUCCUCCUUGUAAUAAGUUACUAAGCAACAUCAUUGUAAACUCUAAAAAAUGGUAUGCAAUUUUAACAUUUGUACCAAAAAAAAGAAAAGAAACAUGUUGACAUUGGUCCCAAACUUAGCAUUCCUAAUCGGAUGGUUUGAUAUAUAAGCAUUGCAACAGAGAGUGUCUUCUUUCAUAUUGACGUCAGUAGUCACUCCCAAGUACCUGACAGUCCAUUGCAUCAGAGUGUUCCAUUUGAAUUUCAGAUAGAAUCUCGAGCAAAGGAAGUCCUGCUCUAUUCAUAUCUACAUGCAUCAUAAGAGCAAACAAACAUUUAAAAAACCCAAUGGCUGUCUCAGAGUCAAAGUAAAUAUGUGUGCUAGUAAAUACAAUAUUGUGGAUCGUACUAACCUUGCUAACAUACCGUUUGGUCGAUCGAAGGUAUGUUUAAAUCAUCUAAUCUCAUCUCAAAGUUGAUAUUUGUAAUCUCUAACACUGAUUUCCACUGCAGGAGUUGGACUUGCUGCUUACUCAAAACAUGCUUAGACGUACUAUGAUAAACAUUCUCAUCGAGUUCAAAAGUUUAGACAAUCGGAAUGGAGUAAUCGUCUACAGAGUUAAUCGAAAAGAAAGAUGUUUACAUUCUCAUCGAUGAGGAGCAUGCCAGACUCAUUAGUUCACCGCCUUUCCUGACAUUUCUUGCCUCCCAAAAUCUCAGCAAACGAACAUCCGCAGUGUUGGAGCAUCGCCCAGCUUUCAAAUCUGCAAGGAGGAUGAAGGUAUUCGCCAUCGCAGUAAUCAGUAAGUAAAAAGACUAUUCUUCUGGAUCUCAUCGAACCUGUGAUGUUCAUCGCUCUGGGAGGGGAUGAGCUCAACUGAAUGAUGAAGAGUGGGGACAGUGGGUUAAUUACGUAGAAAAUGGGAGUAAAGAAUGUAUCAAUGCGACCUCGAGACAUUACGUUAAGAAUACGUUAAACACGUUAAACAUUCUGUAACAACAUUUUGUAAUUGGGCCAGUAAACCUGUUUAAAAAAUUCAACAGUUUCCUAUAUAAGCCCAAACCCGUUUAGAAAAUUCAGCCGAUGAACGUGACAAGUGUCCUAACACGCUCUAUGAAGAGAGAAAAAACCUACUUUAUAGUAUUAAAAAUAGAUGCUUGCAAUGAUAUGGGCCUUAUUAUAAAUAAUGUGCCAAAUCUCCAAUCCCAAUUUGCAUAAACAGAUUACAGAAAAUAACCAACAUUAACAUUAUAAACUCUGUGGGACUAAUUUGCUUUAACAGUUAUCGAAUGUUGGUUGGUACAUAAGUAUUGAGUAUUUUUCAUUAAUUUAUUUCCUAUGGUGAUUUUCUUCGUGGCACUAAACCAAUCCUUACUAAUAAAAUAGACCUUUUGAGCCUCCAUAGAACGUCUGCAUCAGCAAAAAAAAUUCUCUCGAAAGAUGACACGUGGCAUUAUUAUUUAAAAAAUAGAAAAUAAAUAAUACGUAAAUUUACAAUAUAAAGAAAAAUAACUAAUAAGUAAAUAAACAAUAUAAGAAAUAGAAACAUUGCAUUAAACAAUAAUAAGUAAAUAUACAAUAUAAGGAAAAUAAAUAAUAAGUAAAUAUAUAAUUAAGAAAUAAAAAAACUAAAUUAAACAUAUAUCUGAAAAUGUAUAGUAUAAUAAAUAAUAACUAAAUACACAAUACAAGAAAUAAAAAUAUUAUAUUAAAUAUUUAUCGUAAUAUUAGAAUAAAUAAAUAUAAAAUAAAAUAAAAAAUAAUUAGCAAAUAUAGUAUAUAAGAAAUAAAAAUAUUACAUUAGAUAUAUAUCGUAAUAUUAUCAAUGAUAUAAAAGCAAGAAAUUUAAAAUAAAUAAAUAUACAAAAUAAGAAAAGAUAAACAAUAAGUAAAUAUACAAUAUAAAAAAUGGAAAACCCUAAGUUAAACAUAUAUCUGAAAAAUGUAUAGUUAAAUAAAUAAUAAGUAAAUAUACAAUAUAAAAAUAUUACAUUAAACAUUAAUUAUAAUAUUACAAUAAGUAAAUAUAAAAAUAAGAAAAAUAAAGAAUAAGUAAAUAUACAAUAUAAGAAAUACAAAAAAUACAUUAAACAUCUAUCGAAAAGUAUAUAAUAAAAUAAAUAAUAAGUAAAUAUAUAAUCUAAGUAAUAGAAAUAUUACAUUAAACAUCUAUCGUAAUAUUACAAUUUGAUUUAAAAGCAAAACAGUUAGAUAAGUAAAUAAACAAUAAAAAAGUAAAUCUACAAUAUAAGAAAUGGAAAAACUACAUUAAACUUCUAUCGAAAAAUGUAUAGUUUUACUUUUUUAUUAUUUCCAGAUAUUUUAUAAGUAAAUAUACAAUAUAAGUCAAACAAGCAUACAAUAUAAGAAAUAUAAAUAUUACUUCAAACCUCUAUAAUAAUAUUAUCAUUUAAUAUAAAAGCAAGAAAAUUAAAAUAACUAAAUAAAAGAUAUAACAAAAAAAAAUGUAAAAUACAAUUACGAAAUUAAAAACUAAAUAAAACAUCUCUCGGAAGAAAAUGUUUAGAAAAAUAAAUAAUAAGUAAUAUACAAUUUCAAAAAAAUAUAAAUAUUAUAUUAAACAUCUAUCAUAAUAUUAGAAUAAGUAAAUAUACUAUAUAAGAAAAAAUACACAAUAAGUAAAUCUACAAUAGUAGAAAUAGAUACUAAUAAAAGAGAUAUUUUGAGGUUUCAUAGAAGGUUCACAUCAGCGAAAAAAACUUCUCCCAUGAGACGUGGCAUUAUUAUUUAAAAAAUAGAAAAUAAAUAAUAAGUAAAUAAACAAUAUAAGAAAUAGAAACAUUACAUUAAACAAUAAUAAUUAAAUAUACAAUAUAAGGAAAAAUAAAUAAUAAGUAAAUAUACGAUAUAAUAAAUAGAAAUAUUACAUUUAACAUUUAUCAUAAUAUUAUCAUUUGAUAUAAAAGCAAGAAAAUUAGAAUAAGUAGAUAUACAAUAUAUAAAAUGGAAAAAGCAAAUUAAACAUAUAUCUGAAAAUGUAUAGUUAAAUAAAUAAUAAGUGAAUAUACAAUAUAAAAAUAUUACACUAAACAUUUAUUAUAAUAUUACAAUAAGAAAUACAGAAAAUACAUUCAACAUCUAUUUGAAAAAUAUAUUAUAACUGAAAAAACUAAAUUAAACAUCAAUCUGAAAAAUAUAUAGUAAAAUAAAUAAUAAUUAAGUAUAUUUUUUUGAUAACAAUAAUUAAGUAUAAGAAAUAAAAAUAUUACAUUAAGCAUCUAUCAUAAUAUUAGAAUAAAAAAAGUAAAUAUACAAUAUAAGAAAAAAUAAAUAAUAAGUAAAUACACAAUAUAAAAAAUAAAAACUACCAUCAAACAUCUAUCUGAAAAAUGUAUUUUUUACAUUUUUAUUAUUUACAAAUACUUUUAUAAGUAAAUAUAUAUACAGUAUAGGAAGAAAUAAAUAGUAAGUAAAUAUACAAUAUAAGAGAUAGAAAUGUUACAUAUUAUAAUAAGUAAAAAUAUAAGAAAAAAUAAAUAAUUAGUAAAUAUUGUAUAUAAAAAAUAAAAAUAUUACAUUAAAUAUAUAUCAUAAUAUUAUCACUGAUAUAAAAUCAAGAAAUUUAGAAAAAGUAAAUAUACAAAAUAAUAAAAGAUAAAUAUUAAGUAAAUAUACAAUAUAUAAAAAAAAUACAUCUAUCUCCAAAAUGUAUAGUUAAAUGGAAAAUGUAUAGCUAAAUAAAUAAUAAUCAAAUAUAUAAUAUAAGACAUAGAAAUAUUACAUUAAAUAUCUAUUGUAAUUUUACCAUUUGAUAUAAAAGCAAGAAAAUUAGAAUAAAUAAAUAUACAAUAUAGAUAAAUUCUUUAAGAUGGUCAGUUUAACUUUUUGUCACAAAAUAGCCUUAAUGAGAAAAAUGACCAAAAGAAGUUUUAUUAAAGAGUAAAAAUACAUUUAUACCGUCGUAGGGUUAACUAAUCUUGAUCUAGGGUUUAGAGUUAAGGGUGGAGUUUUGAGGAUAGGAUUUCAAAUAAAAAAAAUUAAAAUUAAAAUUUUAAAAAUAAAAAGUGGCUAUUUUGGUCAUUUUACUUAUUCAAAGUUAUUUUUAUGACAACAACUUAAAAAAAUAUAUUAGAGAGAGUUGCCCUACAAUAUAAGAAAAACUAAAUAAUAAGUAAAUAUAAAAUAUAAGAAAUGAAAAACAAUAUUAAACAUCUAUUUGAAAAAUGUAUAGUUUUAUGUUUUUUCCAAAGAAAUAUAUAUUCACACAAACAUAUAAUUCAAAAUUUUGUUGUUGUUUAGAAUACAAUGUAAAAAAAAAAAUAUAUAGUUAACAUUUGAAAAUCAAAAUAGCUCCGGGCGUAGUGCGGUUUUACUCCUAGUCUUUAUAUUCAAAGAAGCGUUCUUUCUUUCCUGGUGAGGACACGUCGUCGUCCACGUCAGAAAGUCGUCGUCCAUGUCAGAAAGUCGGCUUCUGUCGAAGCCACACGUGUCCCACCCCAACACCCAGCACUUAGAUUGGACAGUUUAUCUGGCCCGUAAUCCUUUAUGUGUAGACCUAAUCUAUUUUCGCGAUGUUGUGUGUGUUCUUCUUCUUCCUUGUUCGACGGCUACGGUGACUCUUGCCCUUCCUCACGAAUCUGAAACUGAGAGCGUUAUGGUUUUUACGUGUUUAUCCCAUUAAUUCAGACGCCCACUACGAGUUCUUCAAUGUGUCUUUUAGAUCUGAAAGGCGGUUUGAUUCGGUAUAAAUAGAUGUGAGUAUUCUCCCCGGUGGAUUUGACAUAUGGUAGAUGUGCUCAGAACUCCAAGCUUUCCGACUCCUCUUUACUGAUUAGGUUCAAUGAUUCAACCGAUUUUGACGAGUUAACCGAACCGGUCUCUCCGUUACACAGCUUCCAGGUACGGACAUGAUUUGUAUAUAUAUAGAUGGUCUUAUUAUAUAUGUAUCUGGGCUUUGUGUUCUAUAUAUUGAUAUAUUGGUAUCGGUUUAUCCAUGUAACAUACUAAUAUCGAUCUUAAUUUCCGUAUCACUCUUUAUGUUUGAUAGGAAGGUGCUCAGAUAUUUUAGGAAAGAUGGGCACAACUGGAGGAAGAAGAAAGAUGGUGAAACAGUGAAAGAGGCGCACGAAAAGCUCAAGGUUAAUAAUAUAUUUACAUUCAUGUUUCCUCACUAUUGUUUUUAAUAAAUAUUUUAGAGUAACAUUGUUUAAUUAUAUAUAUAGGUUGGAAGCAUUGAUGUGUUACAUUGUUACUAUGCACAUGAGGAAGACAAUGAGAAUUUCCAGAGGCGUUGCUACUGGAUGCUUGAACAGUGAGUCCUAUGUUUUCCAUAUUUCACAUUUUUUACCGGUUUAGUGUACCGUAAAUGUUACUUUGAGAACAGAAGGAAAAUGAAAUGUGAUUUGUUACUUUUAGUGCUUAUGUCCUCUGUCUUUUGUGGGUACAGGGAACUGAUGCAUGUUGUUUUUGUUCAAUACUUGGAGGUUAAGGUAUAGCUUUUCUCUCGGUACUGUACUAAUAUAUUCUUUAGAAUAUAAACACCCAUUCACUCAACAUUAUAUUGUUCCUUUUUAAAGUGGGUUCUCUUUUUUUUAAUGGUGGUUUUGAUAAGUUCAUGCUAUUUAUACAUGGUAAUAGGAUAAGCUCCAUUGGAAUAAAAGAAAACAAUUCAAAUUCUCUGAGUGGCUCCACUUCUGUGAAAAUUGAUUCAACGCAAACACAUCCAGCACAUUGUCACCACUAUGUGAAGAUGCUGAUUCUGGUAUAUAUAGUUAUCUUUAGCUUUAUGUAUGUUUAGGGACAUAGUUCUAUUUACAGGCUACCUUGCUUUACUAAAAGAAGGUUUCCUUCCUUCCUCUUCCGCCACAUCGGAUUCCACGUAGAUAAGUUGAAUUCUGUGAGCGCGACACAUGUCCAGCUAAUUAAACUCACCGUUUCAUUUAAUUUUGUGUGCAAUUAGUACAGACAGGCUUUGCUAUGUGCGUUCUGUUUAAACUUAACAUUUAUUGGGCUAUUUGUUUAAUUCAAGAUUUCGUUAGCCCGUUACCGAUAGUCUCUUUCCACUUCAUCUAAUACACGCCAAAUUAGGGUUCAUCAUCCAUCGAUCUCCGACACUUAAAAUUUUUCUUCAGCAUUCUCUAACACCAUCAAUGGCGUCUUCACUUGCAUCGUUAUGCCUUCUCUUCUAAACAACCGAAAUGGUCAGAGUUAAAGAUUCAUCGCUUUUAAUUCCAUAGACCGACGUGAAUACGAUCUGACAUUGAUUGUGAGUUAUCCUAUGCAAGGCGGUCUAUUAUACACCUAUAAAAAAGAUUAGCUUUCUUCACUUGAGUAUCAUCCUCUCAAUCCGUGAAAAUACCAAAUUUAAUAAAUUCUCUUUGUGGCCGCUGCUCCUUUGCUCAGGUUCUGGGAACCCAAGAAUGGCGAACGUGGUGGGGAACUCAUGUCUCUUGAUAUGCUCUUACUGGAUUCAAAGGUAAAUAUGUUUUUAACUCAUGUUCAGAGUGCUUUUAUGUAUAUUGUUUUGGAAGCCAUGUUAAAAGUGUUCUUAAACUUACGUUCAUAGUCUUCUUAUGUUACUAAACUCAUGUUCGUAGUCGUCUUAGACUCAACAUUAUGAAACUGUUAUAUUCGGAUCUUAAUUAACCAUAUUCUGAAAGAUUUAUUCAGAAACCUUUUGUGAUUUUGCUCAUGUUCUUAGUCUCCUUCUUUUCUUAAACUCAUGUUUAUAGUGAUCUUAAGCACAUGUUCAUAGUGUUCUUAAAAACAUGUUCAUAAUGUAGUCACGUGGUUCAGGGAGAAUUGAGUUCACUCCCACGGAGGAUGCUCAUGUUAUUGCUGAUUGUCUUAAUGAUCUGUGCAGUCUUUUCUCUCAAUUAUCUCUAAUUGUAACCAUGAAUUUGCAGUAUUUUCUCAGAGAAGUUUCCUUCUUCUCCGGGCCUGCACUUUUGGGUGCGUAUCCUAGAUUUUGGUUCCUAAGGGAACUGGUAUUGCAUGACAAACACUCAAGUUAUGAUCCAUCAACCACUUGGUACUGCCGGAGCCAAAGUAUGAUCAAUUUUUAUGCUUCUAGAAUUUUCUUUUUCUCUUUUACUGACUGAUGUUCUGAUAACAGAAACAUUGAAUGUGUAGGCAACCAAAAUGAAUAUUGGCAUAAGAGAAUGAUGUCCCACAAAAUUUAACUAAACAAAACCUUCUCUAAAAUCACCGGAAACCUGAAUCACAGGCAUGACUGAAAGAAGGAGCCAUUCUUCUUAUUCUUCUUAUUCUUCCACAUGAUUCUUUUUUUUUCAGCCUAAUGAUAUUUUUUACAUAUUGAAGGUGAGACAGGCCGUGAUAACUUCUUGAAUCCAUGGGAGGCGAAAGAGUAUGGUUUAGUCAGCACUGUAAUUUUGAUGAUGGCAAACCAAGAUUAAUCGUAGAAGGAACAAAUAAAGAUUUGCCAUUAGAGUAAUCGCGGAGACACAUUGGCUACGGCACUUCUGUAUAGAGAAUGUUGUUCUCGCAUCUAGUUACUCUUAUUAUUUCCUUAUAUUAUAAUAGCAUGUAUUAGGUGCAAGCCUGUAACUAUAAACAUGGCGUUUCCUGACUUUGUAACAUUUCUCGAAUUAUUUGGUGUAAUUUGAAGGAAACAAAAAAAAAAGAUUAGUUGUUGUACGCAGACAAGGGCGCUAUGUUGAUGGCUUCAGAGAUAAAGUUUGUCUGAGACAAUUUAAUGUUUUCUUAAAAGUUCAAAAAAAUCCAAACAGUUUUGAGUAUUAGUACGGUUCCACUAUACGUCUAGAACCAUAUAAAACCAUGCAAAUAUUUUUAAAAUACAUGACUCAGAUAUGGUUGCAGUAAACUAAUUAAUAUUGAAUAAGCAAUUGUUUAAAAAUAUUAUAGUAUAAUUAUAUUUAAACUAUAAAAUUGAAAAUUUGAGUGCCAAUCUCACCUGCAACCUCGAUCAAUCUACCCAACAUAUGCCAUAAAUCUGUCCAGAACCGCACAAUCUGUCCACUAUGAAUUUUCGGACAGACAAACUGCUGCGCAAGAGGCCUCAGUUGUAGUAAUUUUCACCAAACCCAAGAGCCUAGACCAGUGUCUCUAAUAUCCCAAAAAGACUCUUAGCGAACAAGAUGCUUCCUCACCCAAUCAGCUCAUAAUGACAUCUUUCCAUUGAGCUGUCGCCAUAUGAGUUUAAGAGAAAACACUGUAGAGACAUCACUGAUUUUUCUAACCCCCCAGUCCUCCUUCCUCCAUUGGCCUACAACCUCCCUCCAAGACACUUUUACCUUUGUGGAAUCUUUUGGCGAGCCGCUCCAUAAGAAUGCAGAGAACAUGCUAUCAAUGAUGUCAAGACAAGCUUUAGGCAACCAAAAAGCUGAGCACCAAAAAUUUGUUGUGCUAUUAAUAACUGAUUUAACAAGCAUGAGACGUCUUGUGAACGAGCGAGAUUUGCUCGUCCUGCUCUGUAACCGCCCUCUGAUUUUGGCCAGUAGAGGCUCAUAGUUAUUCCUUGACAUAAUUUUGGUUGUGAGGGGCAGACCAAGAUACUUAACCGGUAAGCCUGAAGUUGAGAACCCAGCAGAGACAGCCACCUCUUGGAGCCUUUGCUUAUCUACUCCAGCCACAAACACCGUAGAAUCUGCAAUAUUAAUACAAAGCCCUGAGAUCCUGGCAAAUUCGUCAAACACUUCAAUAGUACCUUCCAAGGAGGAAGGAGAUCCAUUUAUCAUCGGCAAAGCUAAGAUGUGUCAAUUUGAUUGACAUACAAAGAUGAUUAUAUUAUAUCCUCGUGUUAAGCACCGCCGAGUUAAGCAACCUAGAGAGCACAUUGCUGACAAUGUCAAACAUAUACGGCGAAAGAGAGCAGCCUUGCCUGAUUUCUAGAGAACUAGAGAAGAAACCUUCCAACUCUCCAUUGACUGAGACCGAGCAUGCAUGAGUAUCUACACAUCUCAUAAUCCAGCUAACAAAGAGGUCCGAGUAGCCCAUAGGGCGGCGGAGAUUACCUCCAAUGAAAGACCAUUGCACAAUGUCAAAAGCCUUUGAUAUAUCAAACUUGAUGUCUGAACGAGAUGAAAUCUACAGUUUGUGAUAAUCUUUCACUAACUAUGUUGCCAAUAAGAAAUUUUCGAGAAGAAGGCGGCCUUUAACAAACGCACACUAAUUUAAAUCGACAGCUGAAGGUAGAGUGCCCUUGAGAAGUCUAGCAAGAAUUUUCGAUAUCACUUUGUAAACUAUAUUGCAACAUGCAAUAGGUCUAUAGUUGGUCAUACGUUCUGCCUCUAGCGAUUUGGGAAUCAGUGAGAGAAGCGUCGGGUUAGUGCUCUUAGGCAGGAAGCUAUAUAAGAAGAAGGACUGAACUGACAAAAUAAAAUCCAUUCCCACCACAUGCCAGACUGCCUUAUAAAACUCCCAAUGAAAACCAUCCAGGCUAGGAGCCUUAUUUGUUGGCAUAUAGAACAAGAUUUUUUUAAUUUCGUCAUCCUGAACUGGUUUAACAAGAUCAUCAACAGCCGCAGCAGGGCAUCUAUAGUUUACCACCUCCUGCAAAUAUUCCAGGGAAGCACCCUCGUAAUUAAUCGACUGGCCAUUCAGAAAGGUGUCGAAGUGCAGCGCUUCUUCAGCCUUAAUCUCUAUCAGGUCUGUGAGAACCCUUCCAUCUCCUGCUUUAAUUCUUCGGAUUGCAUAUUUAGAGUUUCUAGCUUGACAGACCUUGUGGUAGAAACAAUUUUUACGGUCUCUAAUUCCCAUCCAUUGGACCCUUGAUUUCUGGAAAUAAAAUUGCUCUUCAAUGCCUGAAAUAUGGUACCAGUGUUCCCAAGCAGCUGAGACUUCCUCAUAAGCUUCAGACGAGGGAGAUUUUGUAGCCACAUUUUGUUUCAAAUAGAGAUCUUCAUAAGCUUGUUUGACACGAGAUGGAAAGUCCCCAAACAUGUUUCUGUUCAGCUCUCUAAGAGGACUCUUUAAUCCUUUGAGCUUACCAUGAAAGAUCUUCAGAGCCGAUCUUGACUGAUAGAGCCUUGAUCUAGUACUUCUAGGAACCGUGGAUGACUUGUCAUGUGAUUGAAAAACUUAAAAGGCUUCCUGUUUGUUGGUUUAGUAGGUCUGAGCUGAGUCCAACAUCUCAUAUGGUCUGACACUCCUCCAGCUUCAAAUGUAGUGAAAGAAACAGGGAAUGCAGAGAGCCAUUUUCUGUUUACCGAGAUUCUAUCAAGUUUCUUACUAAUUGGAUUUUCAGGCGGGUGGUUAGUCUAGGUGCAUACUGAGCCCAGUUGCGCUAGAUCAGCUAACCGACAGUUCCUUACUGUAUCCUGGAAAUAUAUCGUUGCACUAGUACCCGCUCCCAGAUGCGUGCCACGUGAGUGUUCAUUAGAGGUGAAAAAUCACAUUGAAAUCACCUUGAACUAUCCAUGGAUACUCUAUUCCUACCGCUCUAGCAGCUACAUCUUCCAUCUUCUAUCUCCCUCCAUAAACCCAUCUCACUUGCUUGAUUAAAUGCAUAGACGAAAGAAGAUGGAUGAUAACGAAACGGUCGAUGACUUCGCAGGAAGAUAUUGGGCAUAUCAUCCAAAACAACCUCGUUUGAAGAAAACAUAGAAGAAUCCAAGAUGGUUAAGAAGUUCUUUAAGGGUCUUACGAGACACAAGUAUAUCCAGAUAGUAGCAUCGCUUUAGCAAGUCCUAGAUCUCAACUCAACGGGUUUUGAAGAUAUCGUUGGAAGGAUUAAGGUGUACGAGGAGCGUGUAGGAGAAGAAACUUAGAAAGAAGACCAAGGAAAGCUGAUGUUUUCGAACAAUGAACAGCAUAGUCAGAGGGGAUAUGAGAACUCUCGUGGUAGAGGAAGAGGACGGAAUGGUAGAGGUAGAGGUCGAGGUAGGUCACACAACCAAUCCGUGCGUCACACACCGAAGAUAAAAACUCGAAAAAGUAUUGUUCAAAGCUGAUAUGUUGGAGAUGUGACAAGCCUGGUCACUACGCAAUUCUCUGUCCCGAGAAGACAUUGAAGAAACAAGAAACCAACCUAAACAAGACAGAAGACGCCGAUGCACUCUAUGUACAUGAGGUGGUGUCCUUGAACGAAGAUAAGGUGAUUCAAAAGAAUCUUGAUAUCGACAAAGGCAAUGGAAGUGUUUGGUAUUUGGAUAAUGAAGCAAGUAAUCACAUGACGGGAAACAAGGACUUCUUUUCGAGUUUGAAUCUCAACACCAGAGAAAAUGUGAAGUUUGGUGAUGGAUCGUGUGUUGACAUUGUAGGAAAGGGUGUGUUUACCUUUGUGUGCAAGACUGGAGAGAAGAAGGCACUCAAAGACAUAUACUACAUACUGACCUGAAGCAACAUAUUGAAUCUUGGGCAAGCAACAGAGAACGGAUGUGAGGUUAACAUGAAAUACGUCUACUUAUCUCUCAUACAUUCGUGUGUAAGGUUGCUAGUACGUGUUACAAGAUCUCCAAAUCGCCUCUAGAAGACCCCUGUGGAGAUAAGCUACCCGGAGUGUUUACAUGUCAGGGAUGAAGAUGCUACAUGGAGGUGGCAUGCUCGACUAGGACAUAUAAGUUAUGGAGUGAUGAACAACAUGGUAAGGAAAAAAAAUGUUCGUAGGAAUUCUGUGUGUAACACACGAAGAAAGCUUGUGUGUCACAUGUCUCGCAGGGAAGCAGAUCAGACAGUCAUUCCCGACAAAGGCCAUGUUUCGUGCGACAAAGCCAUUAAAAUUAUUGUAUGGAGAUUUGUGUGGACCAAUCACACCACCAACGCCAUCAAAUAAUAAGUAUGUCUUUGUCUUGAUCGAUGACUUCUCUAAGUAUAUGUGGGUUAUACUAUUGAAGGAGAAGAGUGAGGUAUUCGAUCGAUUCAAAAGAUUUAAAGAGAGUGUAGAGAAGAAGACUUGGUCAACCAUUAAAACCUUUUGCACCGAUAGAGGAGGAGAGUUGAGCUCAGCUGAGUUCAAUCUAUUAUGUGAAGAGAAUGGAGUUAAAAGGCACCUAACCGCGCCUUACACCCCUCAGCAAAACGGUGUUGUGGAGAGGAGAAACCAAACUUUAAUGAGAAUGACAAGAAGUAUGCUGAAGGCAAUGAAGAUGCUGAACUACUUCUGGGGGAAGCUGUAUGAUAUUCACGUUACCUCAUCAACAGAGUUCCUACAAAAGCCUUGAAGGAUCAGACGCCAUACAAGUGCCUCACAUCGAGGAAACCAAAUAUCGAGCACUUGAGGAUAUUCGGUUGUGUAGCUCAUGUGAAAAUCAAUGGGCCUUAUCUGAAGAAGUUGGAUGAGAGAUCAAAGAAUGUGAUCAAUCUUGGAACUGAGCCGGGUUCGAAAGCCUACAGACUCUAUGAUCCAGUCGCAGGGAAGGUGAUGGUGAGUAGAGAUGCAAUUUUCGAUAAGAAGAAAGCUUGGGACUGGUCGUCUACAAAAAACCAAGCCGAUUGUGAACCGAGCAUACUUAAGUUUCCACAUGAAGGUGAUAUAGAAGAAGGUAAUGAUCAAGGUAAUGAUCAUGGACAGGAAACUAUAAACCAAGAUGAGGAAGAAAAAAAAUGCGGAUCACAAUGCAAACCAAGACAGUGGAGGUCAACCGUUGGUGACUAGACACGGCCGAACCAUAACAAAACCAAGAUAUCUCGAUGAUUAUGUGUUACUUCCAGAUCAAGAAAGUGCAAUGAUGUUGCUCACAGUGGAUGGCGAGCCAUAGAACUAUUUUGAGGCUGCACACGUAUGAGAAUGGGUUGAAGCGAUGGUGGCCAAGUUGGAGUCUAUCACACGAAACAAGACAUGGGAGCUUGUGGAUAGACCGGCUGGACUUAAACCUAUAGGGUUAAAGGGGAUCUACAAGAUAAAGAGAAAGGCGGAUGGUACAGUGAGAAAGUAUAAGGCGACACUUGUGGCAAAAGGCUAUGUAUAAAGAGAAGGAAUAUACUUCGAUGAAGUGUUUGGACCAGUGGCACGACUUGAAACUAUUCGGCUCUUAAUAGCCCUCGCAGCAACAAACGGUUGGGAGAUACAUCACAUGGACGUGAAGACCGCUUUCUUGAAUGGAGAUCUAAAAGAGUUAGUGUAUGUAACUCAACUCGAAGGUUUUGAAAAGGAAGGAGAAGAUGAUAGAUUUUAUGUGUUACACAAGGCUUUAUAUUGGUUAUGCCAAGCACCCAGGGCAUGGAAUGUGAAACUCGAUCAGGUUCUCAAGGAGAUGAGAUUUAAGAAGGGCACAAAGGAACCAUCAGUGUACCGCAAGAGUGAAGGAGGAGACGUCUUGAUUAUAGCCAUCUACGUUGAUGAUAUAUUUGUGACAGGAAAUUCGCUUAAGAUGAUUAAGCAAUUCAAGGAAGAAAUGUCUAAGAAGUUCGAGAUGUUAGAUCUAGGUAAGCUAGCGUACUACCUUAGCAUAGAGGUGAUUCAAGGAACAUACAGAGUCAUAAUAAAACAAGAAAGGUAUGCUCAAGGAGUCUUGUGUGACACAAAGAUGGAAGAGUGUAACGCAACUCAAGUUCCAAUGAAGGUGAACUUGAAGAUCUUAAAGAUGAACGAGAGAUAGAUGCUACGAAUUUCAGAAGAAUCAUAGGAUGUUUGAGAUAUCUGCUUCACACAAGACCCUGACCUGUUUUACGCAGUUGGUGUUCUUAGUAGAUACAUGCACAGUCUGAGAGACUCUCAUAGACAAGCCGUCAAACACAUAUUGCGGUAUGUGAAAGGAACAACAAACUACGGUAUGUUCUUCAAGAGAGAUGGGUCAAAGAGUGUCGUUGGUUAUAGUGACAGCAGACACAACAUUGAUGUCGAUGACGGUAGGAGCACGUCUGGAAAUGCAUUAUACUAGGGUUCAUCGUUGAUCACUUGGACGUCGCAGAAGCAGCAGACGGUUGCAUUGUCAUCAUGCGAAGCAGAGUUCAUAGCAGCAACAUAAGCAGUUGUUGGGGUCGAAAACGGUUACAACGAAGUUAACGUCCAAAUCCCCGAAGAAGAAAACGUAGAAACCUUCUUCGACAAAUACUUUUUCGAAAUAGAUUCUUCUUUACGAAAAGCUUUGCGGAGGAAACGCGAGUCAUCGGACAAGAGCUCGAAAAGGGUCGCUACACAGCAACCGAACACGUGUUCCGCUCGGUCGCUGCAUAGCAACCAAGCUCGAGCCAAAGCUCGGUCGCUACGUAGCGACCAAGCUCGAGUGAACGCUCGGUCGCUAUCUCUUCCGAAAUGUCGAUACGACAUUAGUCCAUGCAUUCUCUUCUACCCUUCGAUGCUAUCUCCUGAAGACCGUAGCGAACCCAUUUCACGUUCCCCGCCAUUCUAAGUUAUCAAUCGAACUUUACUGUAAAAACCGCGGAAAGUUCGUUCUUUAUCGAAAGAAGCCGUAAUAAACGCUUCGAGUCGGAAGUGGGCCAAAAGGGACCUAAGACAUGACUCGAGGCCCAACUUACGAUUUCUUAACCAACAUCCCGUAAGCCGCAUAAUGGUUACGCUUGGUUCGCAAGGAAAGAUAAAUGUCAAGUUUCCGCGGAUAAAUACGAAAUUUUGAAGAUAAUUACGAAGAUCGGAAAAAAUGGAAUAUCUCCAUUUUUAUGCUAUGGCGGCUAAGGGGCAGAAAGGGAAAAGCGUAAACCGACCUUGGAGCCAGUAUAUAAGGAGUCCUAGGCGAGAGGCAUGAGGGAGGAUUUGGACACAGCAAACUUAGCACUUAGAGCGAUUUUAGGCAAUUUUCCGUUUUUGUCAUUCGAGCUGCGACUCAAUUAGGUUUUUGCCGUCUUAGGGUUUUAGAACUAGGAAUCUCGCCGACAGCUCUCGUAGCCCAGGCACUUACCUUGUUGUAAACACUCAAACGCAGAUUCGGAAUAAGAACUAUCUUGCUCUCUUUUUCGAUUUCUAAUUUUAUUACUGUUCUCGUUUCAUGUUCUGAUUGCUUGGCGUGUGGUAUUAGCAGAUAUCCGGGACCUCUGGGAAAUUAGGGUUCUCCUACUUUAAUAAUUUAAUCGGAAAAUCGACAGUGCGAAUUUCAGUUCCCACAGUUUGGCGCUAGAAGGAGGGAGGAGUACGGAUCAAUCUAACCCGCAAAAGCCACCCGACGAUCAAGAACAAUAUGCAAGACUCAACGUGCGUGAACGUCAUCUUGUUCAAGGGGGAGCAACGGUCGAUCGAGCCAAACCUCGAAACGAUCUCCUUGUUAUCGAACUGACGAUCCGAGAUAUCGACGUCGCUAGGGUGCUAAUCGGCACCGGAAGUUCGGCCGAUAUCAUUUUCAAAGAUACUCUCGAGAAAAUGGGGAUCGAUCAAUCCGAAAUCGUGAAAUACCCUAGCCCACUACUGGGACUUUCGGGAGAAACGACCAUGGCCUACGGGUCGAUUAAUCUCGCAGUCACAGCCGGAACCGUGACAAGAGUCACAUAGUUUCUAGUCGUUGACCGUCCCACAUCUUACAACGUUAUCAUGGGAACACCAUGGUUGAACACCAUGCGUGUCAUCCCAUCAACGUACCAUCUUUGCCUCAAGUUUCCAACCCCUAACGGAGUCGAGGUAAUAUGGGGAAACCCAAGAGUAUCACAGGUGUGUUACGCCGUACAACAAAAACGAAAAAGACCAGACCUCAAAAUCACUCCUAGAAAAACGGAGAAAAAGGUCUCCGACCAGGGUUCGCGAAGUCAAGAUUCGGCUGAACUCUUCUGACAGUCUCGUAACGUCGCGGCCCUAAAGGAAAAAUGCAAAGCAACUUGCGAACCUGUGGUCACAGUCUGUCUCGACGAAGCAUCUCUGGAACGAUGCAUCGAGAUCGGAGCCAAUCUCCGCGAGCCUUUAAGGACAGAGCUCAUAACCUGUCUAAAAAAGAACCUCAAUACUUUCGCAUGGGCCGCAGAAGAUAUGCCAGGGAUUGACAUUAACAUAACGUGUCACGAAUUAAAUAUCGAUCCGACUUUCAAACCCGUCAAACAAAAAAGGCGGAAGCUAGGACCUGAACAGGCUUCCGCGGUCAACGACGAGGUCGAAAAAUUGCUUAAAGUCGGGUCAAUAACGGAAGUGAGGUAUCCAGACUGGCUCGCCAACCCUGUUGUAGUCAAAAAGAAAAACGGAAAAUGGCGAGUUUGCGUGGAUUUUACCGACCUAAACAAGGCCUGUCCAAAAGAUAGUUUCCCCCUGCCACACAUCGAUCGAUUAGUAGAAGCAACGGCAGGAAACAAACUUAUAUCUUUCAUGGACGCCUUCUCAGGUUACAACCAAAUUAGGAUGAACCCUGACGAUCGCGAGAAGACUGCGUUCAUUACCGAUCGUGGAACCUAUUGCUACAGGGUAAUGCCCUUCGGCCUCAAAAACGCUGGCGCAACUUACCAACGACUCAUGAACCGUAUGUUCUCUAAACAACUCGGUAAAACGAUGGAGGUUUAUAUAGACGACAUGCUCGUCAAAUCCCUCCAAGCAAAGGAUCAUGUAUCACAUCUCGAGGAAUGUUUCGCACAGUUAAAUUCCCAUAACAUGAAGCUCAACUCAACAAAAUGCAGGUUUGCCAUGGCAUCAGGGGAAUUCCUCGGCGACCUAGUCACAUUCGGCGGCAUCGAAGCUAAUCCAAAACAGAUCAACACACUGAUCGAGAUGGCUUCGCCGAAGAAUAAGCGGGAAGUCCAAAGGCUGACCGGUAGAGUCGCGGCACUUAACCGGUUUAUUUCACUAUCAACAGACAAGUGCCUGCCAAUCUAUGAUGUCUUGCUGGGAAAUAAAAAAUUCGAAUGGUCGGAAGAAUGCGAAAACGCAUUCCAACAGCUGAAGCGGUAUUUAGCUUCCCCUCCAGUCCUCGCAAAACCAGUGGAGGGGGAACCUUUGUUCUUGUACACCGCUGUAUCAGCAACAGCUGUGAGCGGCGUGCUGAUCAGGGAAGACCAUAUUUCCAAUCCCACACGAUCGUCGUACUCACGACUUUUUCCUUACAAACGAUUCUGCAUAGCCCGAGUCAAUCGGGCCGGUUGGCCAAAUGAGCGGUGGAACUGAGCGAGUACAAUAUCGAGUACCGACCGAGAACAAGCGCAAAGUCACAAGUGCUUGCGGACUUCUUGGUCGAAUUACCGACAUAGACCAUAACCAACGAGGAACCAAAUUCCACUUGCCUCCUUCACGUCGACGGAUCCUCGUCCAAGCGGGGAUCAGGCAUCGGAAUUCGUCUCACAUCUCCGACGGGCGAGAUCUUAGAGCAAUCAUUCAGGCUGGAAUUCCACGCCUCAAACAACGAAGCUGAAUACGAAGCACUCGUCGCAGGACUGCGUUUGGCUCACGGCUUGAAAAUACGAAACAUUCAUGCUUACUGCGAUUCCCAGUUAGUGCCAAGUCAGUUCAGCGGAGAGUACGAAACCAGGGGCGAACGGAUGGACACGUACCUCAAACUGGCCCAAAAACUAGCGCAAAAGUUUGACUAUUUUGCCCUUACGCGAAUUCCCUGUUCCGAAAAUGUCUAGGCAGAUGCUCUCGCGGCCUUAGCAUCAAGUUCUGACCCAGGACUUAAAAGGGUAAUUCCGGUCGAGUUCAUCGAACAUCCGAGCAUCGGACCACCAAUCGUCGUCAAUGUCAUAGAAGGCCAAAAUGACGAAGAAGAAGAAGUAACGAUACGACCGCAAUCAGAGCAAUCUGAUUACGGCUGUGAUACCCCAUGGCUGCAGACAAUUCGAGACUACAUUAUCAACGGACACCUGCCCAUCGAGAAAUGGGUAGCCCGCAAUGUCCAAACACAGGUUGUGUGCUACGUAACAAUAGACGGUGAAAUUUACAAAUGGAGAUUCUCUGGACCACUCAUGACGUGCCUGGGAGGGGAAAAAGCGAAAAAAGUGAUGGAAGAAGUACAUUCUGGGUCUUGCGGCAAUCAUUCCAGCGGAAGAUCACUGGCAGUGAAAAUCAAGCGCCAUGGAUACUACUGGCCAACGAUGAUCGGAGAUUGCGAGAAGUUUGCACGAAAAUGCGAAAAAUGCCAGAGGCAUGCUCCAACCAUCCGACAACCAGCCGAUGUUCUCUCCUCCAUCACAUCGCCCUAUCCUUUUAUGCGCUGGGCCAUGGACAUCGUCGGUCCCCUUCAUAAUUCAAAGCAAAAGCGUUUCCUUUUAGUCCUCACCGAUUUCUUUUCAAAAUGGGUAGAAGCAGAUUCGUACGCAAGUAUAAAAGAUGUCCAAGUCGAAAGUUUCGUAUGAAGAAACAUCAUUUGUAGGGAUGGAGUUCCUUACGAAAUCGUAACCGAUAACGGAUCUCAGUUUAUCUCGACCCGGUUCGAGGUUUUCUGCGAAAAAUGGAAGAUACAGCUUAACAAAUCAACGCCCAGGCACCCGCAGUUUAACAGACAAGCUGAAACGAUUAAUAAAACCAUUCUCGACGGACUGAAGAAACGCUUUGAGGCCAAAAAAGGUAGGUGGGCCGACGAACUCGAGGGAGUCCUCUGGUCCCACCGUACCACCCCGAGGCGAGCAACAUGAGAAACCCCUUUCGCUCUGGUGUACGGAACGGAAUGCAUGAUUCCCGCAAAAGUAGAGUUCCCAGAUGUUCGAAGAAGAUUACUUCCCGAACGUGAGGAGCUCAACAACGCAAUGCUCCUCGACGAUCUCGAUCUCAUUAACGAGCGCCGAGAUCGAGCGCUCAUUCGAAUCUAAAAUUACCAACACGCAGCCGCAAAGUACUACAAUUGCAACGUACGGAAUCGCAGAUUUAAUCAGGGAGAUCUACUCCUUCGCAAAGUCUUCCAAAACACCGCUGAACGAAACGCGGGAAAACUCGGAGCAAACUGGGAAGGACCCUAUAAAAUCGAAAAAGUCAUCCGACCGGGCUCCUACGAAAUAGCCAACAUGCAAGGCAUAAAAAUUCCAAGGACCUGGAACGCGAAGCAUCUCAAAAAAUACUAUCACUAAACAAACCAACUCACAAUGACCGAACUACGAGACGGCUUGAUCUCCAUAAGGAGUACGUAGGCAGUUUGUCGAAAGGCAAAUUCAGCUGUCCCCCCUCAUUAAAAAGGGGGAGGGGUGGAUACGUAUACUCGUAUACUCUCAAACUCGAAAACAUCCGACCGCGCCUUCGAUGUUUCCGACAUAUCUUAACCAAGCAAAUUAUCUUUUAUCCGCAAAAAAUUUUCGAUAUUUGAAAAUAAAUCAGCCGUUAGGGAGAAGCAGCCUUUGGCAUCGCGAGACAUCGCGAGACGUCGCGAGAGAUGCCUCGAGGGUUACUUCUUCCGAACGACGAAAACGGACACUCCGUCAAAAAAUGAUGAACGUUUUAACACAUAUCUUGCGCAAAAACUAUAAAUGACGGCAUCUGCAGCCAAGUUCGGUGCUGAUCACAUCGAACUCUUGAACACAUUAAACAGACAUAGCCAUCUCACGAAGAUGACUCUCGUACAUCGGACACAAGGAUAAUAGCGCUAUAAAAGAAACCCGAAAUUUUGGUCCAGCACUUCCGGUUGGCUUAAAAAUUGUCUCCGGAGAGAUGCUCGAUUCAUAUCUAACAAGUCAUAUAAGCCGAGAACCUAUCGCGGACUUUAAAUCGGUACGAAUCAGGUUAAAAUCGCGACAGAUAAAUCGAUAGCCGGCUAGUCACCGCAUAAAAUCUUAAAACCGAAAGUAAACCUAGGUCUUGCCCUAAACCCAACGCACUGGUCUCUAACAUCUCAAGGCAUGAUAUCCAAAAGAUACGAGAUCCCAAAACCAUGCCUCUAUGUUUAUAUUCGACAUCUUCAGAUAUCCCGCGAAGUCGAUAUCUCGCGGAAAAACUCUCGAAACAGAUCUCGAACAAAACAUUUCACAUCGAAGAAGGAUAUGAGACGACAACUCAUCACCCUUCUUCCACGCCAUACGAAAGUUUAUGAAAAAUGCAACUCGAUCAUCUUGUCAUAAAAAAGCCGCAGAGCGGCAGGGAUUCAAAGCCACAUACGUCCAGUCCCGAAACACGAAAUAAAGCCAUUUAAGGCCGAAACAUCAAACAUAAAAAAAAUCUCCCGCAAUAGAUCUAAUUAAAGUCAUCCUCAGAGCACACGCUCCCUCUUCACCCGUCACGUCGUUCAAGCCUGGAGCCGCAUCACCUCCGGGCCUUCUGAACACGCCGGAAGAAAGCACGCGGAUUUCAGGUCAGCUAGGAUGAGAUCGAAAUCUCCAUCCACGACUGCCAAAUCUCCCUUGCAGCCGGACAGUCGGGCCUCUUCGGCCUCUAAGGUUGGAGGAGUCUCGCUUUGGAACGACUGAACCACGGCCAUCCCGUCCUGAAUCGUCGCCAAGGCUAAAUCCCUGUUCCGAAUGCAUUCGAGAGAGCCCCGAAAGGCGGAAAUCUUCGACAAGCGAGCUUGAAACUCAGAACGAAGAGCAUCCUUGGCCUCUCGAAUCCCGUGGCUCGCUAAUCCUGCAUCGCCCUCGAUCUGACGCUGAAGACGACGCACCUCCGAAGAUUUGGCCUUCCUGUUUUUCUUCUCCUUAAGCAAUGAACUCGCCGUCUUCCCGAGGUCCCUCUCGAGCUCCCCUAUCGCGACCUCAAGUUUCGACACUUUCACGGAGUGAGAAUCCUUGACAGCCGUCAGCAUGGCCUCGGUUUCAGGCCAUCUACCCUGCAGAUCCAACAACUCCCCGGCAAGACGACUGGUCUCAGAACCGCACUUGCUGAUCAUCCCGUCGAUCAACGACAUGAACUGAAAAACAAGAAGAAAGUUAGGGAUUCUUUGUCUUUUAGAGAAAUAUGUAGCAAUCAAGAAAGUAAGUGAGCGACAAACCUUUCCGCGAAUCCCCGACGCUAUGCUCGAGUCUCCUUGCUGCGAAGAUUCCCCGUCACCGCCCUUGGUAAACUUCCUCUUCCGGCCCUUAGGCUGAGCAACCGGAACAACACUAGGAAUGCGCAGCGCUAUAACGAUCUCCUUCCUGGCCGGAGGAGGAGGCAUAGAGUCAGCAGCCUUCUCCUUAUCUUCGACGAGAAUCGGAGUUGUGGACGAUCCAGCAGGUAAAGCCGAAGCAUCCGGAAUGACCGAGCCUGCGAGAGUUCCCGUAUCUCGCGGAGUUACGCCCUUGGUCCCAUGACCCGGAGCAACGGCCAGUGCAGAAGAGGACGGUAACUCGGCACCGGCUCGAACCUGUUCUUUCUCGGCUUGGCGACAAACUAAUUUCUCUCGAAAGGAGAGAUGGUCGGCAACGCAAGCCGGCGCUUCGACCAGAAAAGUCAGAAUCGGCGCCGGAGAGGUGGCCUCGCCCAUCUCCACAUCGGAACUCCGCUUGUCACCAUGGGAAGAAGACAUGUUAAAAACAAGAGAUUUGGAGCUAGAGAGGUUUUGGAGGUUUGAAGAAAGGAAGGUGUGGAGCAAGUGAAUGACAAGAGCUCUCUACUUAUAGAAGUACAGGCUCGGAAUUUUAUAAACACUUUAUCGAGAAUUCUCUUCCGCGGAGUUUGAAGUAAACUUCGUUCAAUACGCCUAGCUUUACCAAAAUCAUCAAACCGCCCGCUAGAGUCUCGACUCUAACGAGCUAGGGGCUAUCUGUUGGGGUCGAAAACGGUUACGACGAUGUUAACGUCCAAAUCCCCGAAGAAGAAAACGUAGAAACCUUCUUCGACAAAUACUUUUUCAAAAUAGAUUCUUCUUUACGAAAAGCUUUGCGGAGGAAACGCGAGUCAUCGGACAAGAGCUCGAAAAGGGUCGCUACGCAGCAACCGAACGUGUGUUCCGCUAGGUCGCUGCAUAGCAACCGAGCUUGAGCCAAAGCUCGGUCGCUACGUAGCGACCGAGCUCGAGCCAAAGCUCGGUCGCUACGUAGCGACCGAGCUCUUCUGAAACGUCGAUACGACAUUAGUCCAUGCAUUCUCGUCUACCCUUCGAUGCUAUCUCCCGAAGACCGUAGAGAACCCAUUUCACGUUCCCCGCCAUUCUAAUUUAUCAAUCAAACUUUACCGUAAAAACCGCGGAAAGCUCGUUCUUUAUCGAAAGAAGCCGUAAUAAACGCUUCGAGUCGGAAGACGGCCAAAAGGGACCAAAGACAUGACUCGAGGCCCAACUUACGAUUUCUUAGCCAACAGCCCGUAAGUCGCAUGACGGUUACGCUUGGUUCGCAAGGAAAGAUAAAUGUCAAGUUUCCGCGGAUAAAUAUGAAAUUUUGAAGAUAAUUACGAAGAUCGGAAAAAAUGGAAUAUCUCCAUUUUUAUGCUAUGGCGGCUAAGGGGCAGAAAGGGAAAAGCGUAAACCGACCUUGGAGCCAGUAUAUAAGGAGUCCUAGGCGAGAGGCAUGAGGGAGGAUUUGGACACAGCAAACUUAGCACUUAGAGCGAUUUUAGGCAAUUUUCCGUUUUUGUCAUUCGAGCUGCGACUCAAUUAGGUUUUUGCCAUCUUAGGGUUUUAAAACUAGGAAUCUCGCCGACAGCUCUCGUAGCCCAGGAACUUACCUUGUUGUAAACGCCCAAACUCAGAUUCGGAAUAAGAACUAUCUUGCUCUCUUUUUCGAUUUCUUAUUUUAUUACUGUUCUCGUUUCGUGUUGUGAUUGUUUGGCGUGCGGUAUUAGCAGAUAUCCGGGACCUCUAGGAAAUUAGGGUUCUCCUACUUUCCUAAUUUAAACGGAAAAUCGACAGUGCUAAUUUCGGUUCCCACAGCAGCAAAGCAAGCUAUAUGAAUCAAGGAAUUAUUGAGUGAGAUACUAAGUAGAGAAGGCGACAAGGUCAAGCUUAGGAUCGACAACAAAUCAGACAUUGCUCUAACAAUGAAUCCAGUUUUCCAUGGAAGGAGUAAACAUGUACUCAAGAAGUAUCACUUCAUUCGUGAGUGUGUGGAGAAUGGGGCAAAUCAACGUGGAGAAUGUGCCGGGUGUUGUGCAUAAGGUCGACAUACUUACCAAGCCAUUAGCAAGAAUUAAGUUCAAGCAAAUGAGGAGGUUACUCGGAGUUCAAGAAAUUGAUCUCCCUAAUUCAAGUUGAAAUUAAGGGGGGGUAAAUGUUGGAUAAUUUCAUGUUUGUGUAAACUUAACAUAUUAUUAGAUGUUUAAUAUGCUAAGAUAAACACAAUAAAGAAAUCUAGAAAUAAGAAAAGUUUUCUAUUUAUGUUAGGUUUGUGUUUUCCACAUCCCACGUGUUAAAAAAAAUAGUCUGUCAUAUAAAUAUAGUUCUUAUGGAGAGGUGUUUCGUAUGAUAUAAGAAAAACAUAUAGAAAGCUUUAGUUUUGAGAAGUUUGUAAAGCUAAUAAGGAAAUUUGUUCUUAUAAUUCUUGUGUUUCUAGAUAUUUAAUAUUUUUGCAUCAAAAUGUCCAUUUGUUGCCAGCUGCUUCGAUUUUUCUCUGUUCUGUUGAACCACAGGUUCUCGUACGGUACAGUGAGCGAAGGACUAUAGCCUCUAUAACACUAUAUUCGUGUGAUCUGCCUUUAAGCUUUGAUAAAGGAGAUAAAGAGUGUACUGGUAGUCUUAGUUGUAAAGACUAUAUACAUUAAUUUCUUCGUUGUGACUAGUUCAUAACAUCGAAAUGAAUGUUUAAUGAGGGAGGCUAUAUUUCUUCGUUGGUCUGGUGAAAUUUGUAAAAAAGGUAGUGAACAAAAAUAAUAUAUGUAACUAGUCCAUAACAUCAAUAAUAGAAUAUUCCAAAUGAUGUACAUAAGAGUUAUAUAACAUAUAUAAAAAUGUGACAUAACAUAUAUGGGAUAAAUUUGAAAAUUUAAUUGACAUAUUCAAAUAUCAAAACCAAAAAGAGAAAUAUACACAAAAAGUUACAGUAAUAGUUUGUUGGGGUCAAAAUCGGUCACGACGGAAUCAAUGUCUGAAAGUCCGUAGAAAUCGGCAUGAACGUUUUUACGAAAAAUAAAUCUUCGAAAAAGAUUUAUUUUUACGAAGAAUCUUGCGGAAAAAACACAUUCACGAGACAUCGGACAAGAGCUUGAAAAAGGUUGCUACGCAACGACCGAACGCGUCCGUUCCGCUCGGUCACUACGUAGCGACCGAGCGUCCAUUCCGCUCGGUCGCUAUGUAGCGACCGAGCGUCCGUUCCGUUUGGUCGCUACGUAGCGACCGAUCUCUUCCGAAACGUCGAUACGACAUUAGUCCAUGCACUCUCGUCUACCCUUCGAUGCUAUCUCCCAAAGACCGUAGCGAACCCAUUUCAUGUUUGCCGCCAUUCUAAGUCAUCGAUCAAACUUUACAGUAAAAACCGCGGAAAGUUCGUUCUUUAUAAAAAGAAGCCGUAAUAAACGUUUCGAGUCAGAAGACCGCCCAAAGGGACCUAAGACAUGACUCGAGGCCCAACUUACAAUUUCUUAACCAACAGCCCGUAAGCCGCAUGACGGUUUACGCUUGGUUCGCAAGGAAAGAUAAAUGUCAAGUUUCCACGGAUAAAUACGAAAUUUUGAAGAUAAUUACGAAGAUCGGAAAAUAUGGAAUAUCUCCAUUUUUAUGCAAUGAAGGCUUAAGGGCAGAAGAGGAAAAGCGUAAACCGACCUAGGAGCCAGUAUAUAAGGAGUCCUAGACGAGAGGCAUGGGAGGACAACUUUUUAGACUCAGAACUCUCGGCACUUAUUCUCGACAUGCUCUGCUUCCAUGGCUGGCACCCGAUUACCAGACGAACUCUCACAAGCACUUCGAUCUCUUGGUUCACUCUUGAACUACGUUCGGCUUGAUCCUCGAAAGGGGUACGUAGGCAGCCUUUCAUAAGGUUCAGUCCGAAAUCAAUCAAAAACCUUUUCUGUAUUUUCUUCGUCUUUUGUUAUCGAGCCACGACUCAACUAGGUUUGAGCUUUUAGGCCGCUAGAACUAGGUAACUCGCUGACAGCCUUUGCGGCCAAAGCUUUUUUGAUCUCUUGUAAUGAUCUCAACGCUCUUACGCGCACUAGAAAUAAGAUCUACUGUUUUCUCUAAACUUGUUUGUUAUCUUUUCACGAUUUUCGCAUAUAUUUGGUCACUUGCCGUUGGCUCUCGCAGAGAUCCGUGACCUCUGGAAAAUUAGGGUUUCCCUAAUUUCCUAAUUUAAACGUAAAUCGACAGUGCGAAUUUCGGUUCCCACAUAGUUCUUAGUUAAAGAUUUUAAGAUCUAAUUAGACUACAUGUGAGAGUUGAAUCAAUAUACUAAAAUAAUAAAACAUGUAUUUAUUUUUCAUUUACGCUUUAGUCUUAUAGGUUGCAUGGAAAUUCGGAUGAAAGUCCGUUUCACGUUUAGUUUCAUAAACGUUUUGGAAUCGGAAUCUUUCAGAAACUCGUGGAAACUCAUUAGAAACGUGUUUCUUGAAAAUUUCAUUUUUGAAACUAGAUGAAACUGUAUUUCCACUUUAGAAAUUUGUGAUUAUGUUUUGGAAACGUGAAAAAAAACUUCUUAAAACAAGUUUUGUAACUUAUACUUUUAUUUUGAGUUAAGCCACCCAAUAUUUAAGUAUUGGAUAUCUUCUAUUUUAAAAUUUUAAUAUGAUUUAGAUGUUUAACUAUUGCUUGUUACAUUUUCGUGUACUUAACAUAAAAUUAUUAUUCAUUGAUUUAUAUUAUUAGAUAGAUCACCAAACAGAAGAAAGUAAUUGUAUACACACAUAUAUAUAUAUAUAUAUUUAUAAACGUUUCCAUUUCUUAUAACUUUAAAAUCAUGUUUCCACGUUUUAAAACGUUUCGUUUCCGCGUAUCUUUUUCCGAUUCCAUGCAAUCUAGCUCUGGGCUUUUCCAUUUUAAAUAGAUGGAGAAUUUCAUUUUUACCACUUUCAUGGUACCACUUUUCAUCUUUACCACCACUAAAAGGACAUUUUCAAAAAUAUAUUUUUUAUUAAGUGGCAAAAGACUCUUAUACCCUUGUUUUCUAUAUAUAUAAUAAAUCAUUAUUUAAAUAAAAAAAAAUAUAUAUAUAUAUAUAUAAUUAAAUUUUCGAAUUAUACGUUUUCAAAUUCGAAUUUUUUUAUAUAUUUUUUUUUUGAAUUUGUUUUUCAAAUUUUCUUUUUGAAAAUCGAAAAUUAUGUUUGAAACUAUUUUAAAAAAUAAUUAUAUUUUUUAAGUAUUUAUUUAUAUAUUUAUUAGAAUCCUAAAUUUUAUAUUCCAAAAACUCUACACCACUCCUCAACUAUAAAACUUAAAUCUAGAUUAGUUAACCUUAUGGGUAUAAGUGUCUUUUAAUAAACAUGUAAAGUAAUAAUAUGAAUGUGGUAUUUGUGGCAAUUUCUCUAAAUAGAUUUGUUCAAAGGUUUUAAUACCAAAUAAAAAAUAUUCUUAUUUCAUUUGAAAUAUAUUUUCUUAUCAAUAUUUAUUUUAUCAAAACAUGAUAUUAAAAUCUUAAAAAUGAAAACAAAGAAAAGUUCCCGCGCUACCUAGUAUUUUCAAUUUGAUUUAGUCAAAAGAAUAAUAAAUUGUUUUUGUAACGUGACGUUAAUUUGGUCAUGGAGAAUUACUCUCCUCAAGGCUAAUUAAUUUGUCAAGAAUGCUCUAUCAAUUAGGCCCUACCAUCAAUACACAUUAUACAUUCUGUUUCUUGUUUUGAACAUACGAUCAACAAAGAAUUUUUUUUUUAGCAACAAUUCAUUAAUAGAAAACCAGAGUUUUACGUGACCAUAGUUGUAGCUAGAGCUCUCUUGGCGAGAGUGUUAGCAGCAAUAUUGUCUAAACGAGGAAUGAAACAAAAGCGAGAAACAGAGAGAUAACAAGAUAGAUUGUGAAUAUCCUGGAGGAUACCAAAAAGCUCCUUGAUAGAGUCUCUCCCAUUGAUAGCUCGGAUGAUGGUCUGAGCGUCGGAUUUGAUGAGUAGUUUGCUGUACCCGAAAGCUUGUGCUUGUAGUAGCGCUUCCCUUAUCGCCAUGCCCUCUGCCACCAGUGGGGAGGGGACGAAGUGUUCUGUUGCAGCUCCUUUGGCCAAAACUUUCCCGGUAUGGUCCGAGAAAAUCCAAGCCAGCCCCGCUUUCUUAUCUGUUUCCUUCCAGGCUGCAUCUGUAUGAACGUUGAUGACGAUCAACAAAGAAACCAAAAGAUUUUCCCACUUUAAUAUUUUUAUUUUUCAAUGUAAAUGAAUGUUGUUUCUUGCUUUGAACAUGUAGGUGCUUGAGGAUGGGGUUCUGGAUCUGGAGACUACUUUAGUCUCCAUCUUGCCAUCUCCAAUGCACUAUGCUGGUCCAACCGAGGUUCAGUGGCACGCCAAAGCUAGGAUCAAUGCGGGAGCUAAUUUCUACACAGUUACUCUUCAUAUCAGGAACCAAGGUACAAUCUGAAAUUACGUUCUAUUUCCAUAUCCAAGGUUCGUAGUUUGUGACUGAAAAGCAAUAUAUUUGGAUGAUGAUUUUGUUCUAGAUGCGUGGCUUGGCUAAGAAGAAAGAGAACCCACCAGACGGUUUCAUGUGUCCUUCUGGUUGGAAAGUGCUGGUUGAUUACUACGACAGUGGCAACGCAGAGUCUGGUAAUGGAAGGGUUUCAGAAGCUGUCGUUUCUGCUUGAAUGCAGAGAGUACGUGUCCCAUAAAGGUUUCACAUCUCAUGUAUGAUAGGUACCACUUCACACAGAAGUUCUGUUUAUAAAAACGCUUUCCAAUAGAACCAAUGUGUGUUUGUAUAAAACAUCUGUGUGUUCUUUGUGUCUCUGGUGUCGACGUCACAUCGACUUGCAUCGAUUUGUACCAUAUUUUCGUAUUGUUGUAAUAGAGAAACAUUUGUGAUUGUGCGAUUAAACUGUUCUCUUCUAAAACACAUCUGUAAACUACAUAGAACUAAUCUAGACAAGAUUGGAGAAACAAAGAAGAGUUUUAUGUACGUUUGCUAUAUAUGAUGGUGGGUCGAUUCCUGGCGGUGGAAACACUGCUGGGACGAGGCGGUUCUCAAUUUGGAAUUGGAGGCACCACAUCGAGACGUGUUUCCGGCGUUACGCUAUCAUCAUGCACACCACUAAUUGCGUAUGGGAUAAAAAAUACAAUCAGAUAUGUAAAAGAUAAGUCACAUCAUUACAUUAAAAGACAACCAUAACAUAUAAAUCUCCAAAAGAAUUAUUAUUUAAAAAAAACUAGGACGACGUAACGGGAGUGAUCCUAGGAACUGCAACAGGAAACUCAUGAAUCUCAUCACUCCAUGGAUUAGAAUUUUCAACCGGAUCAACCGUUCUCAAAGCUUUCCAAACCGCACUAUUACACUUGAAACCCGAUCCAAAAGCAAUUUGCCAAGUCCUGUCUCCUCUCUUGAUCCUUCCUUUAGCUUCACUAUACGCAAGCUCAUACCAAAGCGAGCUACUUGAGGUAUUACCAAACCGGUUCAACGUCAUCCUCGAUGGCUCCAUAUGCCAUUCGGACAAAUCAAGAUUCUUUUCUAUCUCAUCAAGAACGGCUCUACCUCCAGCAUGAAUGCAGAAAUGCUCGAACGCUAGCUUGAAAUCAGGAAUGUAAGGUUUGAUCUUCUUGACUUUGAAUACUUUGCGUGUCACGAGGGUUGCGAAAAAGAGAAGUUGUUCGGACAUUGGCAGGACGAGUGGUCCGAGAGUUGUGAUGUUUGUUUUGAGAGCUUCUCCAGCUAUUGCCAUUAGGUUUUUGGAUAGAGAGACUCCGACUUUGCCGGUUUCUUCUGCGUUGUUGUCUUCUCGUUGGUAAACGCACCCAAAUGCGUUGUCAUCAGCUCCUUUGUGGGUACGGACAGUGUGGAUGAGCUGAUAUUUUGAACGGCUGCGAUCGGAAGAGCGGUUCGAGAGAAGUACGGCGGCUCCACCCAAACGGAAGAUGCAGUUAGAGAGAAGCAUUGAUCGGUCAUUGCCUAAGUACCAGUUUUGAGUUAUGUUCUCUGUGCUCACCACUAGUGCGUAUGAGUUUGGCUGGACCUGCAUUAUUAGCAUGAUUCGAUAAGAACAAGAUUCUUGAAUCUAAAAGACAAACUAUGAACAUGGCUUUUUAAGUUAUGCUUUGAUAUUAUUAUUACUACAUGGUUAGUGCUGUAGUGUGUAUGCACCUAAUAUUGUUGUAACUAUUUGAGAACUUUUAUUCAAUUUGCCAACUAGCUUAGAGAUUUAAGGAACUUGCAAGCAUGUGCUACCACGUUGGUUUCUCAACUGUCAUAGACUCUUACAUAAAUAUAUAUAUAUAUAUAUAUAUAUAUAUAGGGACUGUAAAUAAUUACGCAUCAAUCCUACAUGCACUGUUCCUUUUUUGUUCAAUAGUGGAUGCUUCUUUGAAAUGAAAAAAAUGUCAUUAACUUUUAUAUUAUAUAUAAAUAAAUAAAAUACAACUUUGGUCAUUAACUCAAGACAUUAUGAUUUUUCCAAUUUCUCAACCACCACCUACCCAAAUACUAAAAGACCUGUCACUGUCAGAAUUUUCAUAGACACGUGACUUGUUUGAUCUUUAUGCUUUCAUACAACUCAUUUUAUAAAAAGUUCGACAAUAUAAAUGAAAUAGUAUCUCAAAUAAUUCGAUUUCAAAUAAUUUAGUCAUAAUAACAUGCUUAUAGCACGCAAUAGUGACAAGAAAGCGAGUUAUUCCAAAAAAAAACACAUAUUAAAUGCUUAUUAAGUUGGACAUAGCACAAAAUAAUUAAAACUUUUACUGUUUUUAAUAACAUAAAAUUCAUGAGCUGUCGUUAGCCUUUUCAAACAUUUAAAGGCUGAAUAAGAAAAGUCACGACGGCUCUUAAAAAGCAAACCGGACUAAACCAAACCAAAUAAUUAAUUAAAACAUAAUCUGAAGUAGUACUAAAACAAAUUAAAGAAUACAAUAUUUACCUGGAGAAGCUGUUUAGCGAGAUCAAUGGAGAUAAGGCCAGCACUACAACCCAUUCCACCGAGAUUAUAGCUCAGAAUAUUCCCUCUAAGCUUAUACUUAUUCACAAUCAUCGCAGAAAGUGACGGAGUUGGAUUAAACAAGCUACAGUUAACCACAAGAAUACCAAUAUCUUUCGGUUUAAUACCGGUUUUCUCAAGAACUGCCUCAAUAGCUCCGAACAUAACCGUCUCUGCUUCUUUCCUCGCUUCCUCCAUACAAGGGUUCGGAGGAACGCGAAGAAGAGCUUCAGGGAAGUAAGUCUUCUGACCAAGACCGGACCUCUCGAGGAUCUUUUGUUGAAAUGCGAGAUUAUCUUCAGUGAAGAUACCUACUCGUUGAGAACGGUCCAUGAAUGUUUCUCGAGUGCAGAUCAAAGAAGGGUCUGGUUUGUAACAUGAGAAGUCGAGGAGGAAGACACGGCGAGGACGGGUGGUGAAGUAAGCGGUGGAGAGAGAGAUCAAGAGCGCGGUGGCGAUAGUGGCGGAGAGGAAAUGGAAACGGAGGUGAUUGUAGAGAAGAGUAAGGUCGUUGAGGGAGAAAGAAGAGAGGUUUGCGAGUGUGGCGGCGAGGAGAGGGAGGAGGAGGAUGUAAAGCGCGUUGGAGAUUAGGUAAUGGUAACCAAGUUUGACGUAUUUGAGACGAACGGACAAGAGGAAGUUGGGGAGGUUGUUUGGGUUUUGGUCGGAGUUUGUAACGUGGACGGGGACAGGACGGUGAGGUUGGUGGUCUUGAUUCUGGGUCAUGGUGAGAACGAUGAAAGGGUUAAGCUUUGUUUUUACUGUCGUUAGGAUGAAUAAGAAGAGAAAGGAGGAAAUAUGUAGAGAAGAGAACUAGAGAAGUGUCAAGUUUAAGUUGAGCGCCUGAAAAGUUGGAGGAGCUUUGAGAAUUUAAUGGCAAAUUUUCUUUGCAAGAGAGAGAGAGAAGCUUGGUUAUAAUGUAGUUAGGAAAAAUGGGAACUAUUUAAGGAAAAUAAUAAUUUUUUCUAUAGACUUUACAAAAAGAAUAAUUCUAGCAAGUUCAAACUAAUACAUGAAUAAUAACGAAAUUCGUUUCUGCAAAUAAAGAAAAAUAGAUUAUUUUAGGAUAUAAUAAAAUGAUAGCAUAUACAGUAACCAUUACGUAUUAAUAUUAUAUAUUUUUUAAAAUUAUAUGAAAAUAGUAAUUUGAUGUGAAUAGUGAAUUAUGUAUAUUUUUAGGUAUAUAUUGAAAAAAUAUAUAAAGGGUUUCAGCCAAAAGCGGAUAUUGUUAGUUUUAUGUAUACAUGUGUUUCAACUUGUGAGUUUACAAAUCAACAAGUGAAACAUAAGUUAAAUCCACAAUUUUAUUACAUGCAUCCUGUUUCUUAUGUACAUAGUAAGUUAUAUAGUCUUUAUAAUAAAAACUAAACCAUAAAUAUAACUUGGAAGCUUUUGUUUUCAUAAAAGUAGAUAUAUUUUUGUUUGUCAACUCAUAAAAAUGGAUAAAUAAAAGUUAUGUGGGGAGGGAAGAUGCAACUACCCUAUUCACAGUCGAGAUUGACACCUAAGAGACGGCGAUGACUUUUAUCCUAGAAAAUCCAAUUGGUGGCUAAAAUUGGCCGGGUACGAUCAAAUUACCCUUAUGCCCGUUCUUUGACCCGUUAUCUCCGAGACUACCUUCUUUUGCGAACAACUUGCAUACAGUGAAUAUGUGGGGCCUACUUUGUUUCCGUGUCAUGUUAUGUUGUGUAACGUUCGUGUGAACUGGUGUAUAAUGGUAGCUGCAGUUUUGAUAAUAUAAGAGGCGUAGAAUUAAAGUGCAGCACAAUUUAACUGUGAGGCUAUUGUUCGGUUGAUCUCGGGUAGCAUGGAGAAGAAGAGGCGUUCCUGUAUUAGCUAUGCUCUUCAAGUUGCCAUUUACUCUCUGUGGACAGAACGGGACAAGCAGCGUCAUGGAGAUCAACCUAUGCCACUGAAUGUCUUGAUCAAGUUCAUUGACAAAACUAUCCGAAAUAAGCUCAGUUUGGUGCAGAGAAAAGAGUUAAAGGGACUUGAAGAACUGUUCCAGCUCUGGUUCGGUACAAGACUAUAAAUAUAUUAGGCAGUUUAGGAGUUUUGGAAGCCGUAAAAUUAUAGGAGUAGUCACUCUUCAAAAACAAGGUUUCACUUGAUGUACAAAAUUUUUUUUGAUGAAUAAAUAUAGCAUUCAUUCAAAAAAAAAAUUGUGGUUCAUGUGGAUUACAGAAUAAAUAUGGAUUUGAUAAAAAAAAAAUAGUGCACUUUUGAUAACAAAAAUUAAUGCGGUUUUGAUAUAAAAUAAUAUAAAAUAUAUAUAUAUAUAUAUAUAUAUAUAUAUUAAUAAAAGUAGAAAUUAAAUUUGUUCAAUUAGCGAUAAUGUCACAAUUCUUUUUAUACUGUUAAAAUAUUUAAAUUAAUAUGAAAAAAUUAUAAUAUAUAUAUAUUCUUGUUAAAAUAAAUUUAAAUACUAAAAUUCUUUUGAAAAAGUUAAAAAAAUAUUGUUAUGUUUUUAAUAUUUUUACUUAAAUUAAAUAUAUUGAUAUAGCUAAAUAUUUGAUUAAAAUUAAAAACAUGUAUAAAUAUAUCAAACUCAGAUAUUAAUUAUGUAAAGCCACAGCUAUUUGGUUGGUGAACUAUGUAGUGCGUUUUUCAAAAGAAUUGCAUGUAUAAAAAUGGAGUGCGUUACCUUUUUUUUUUUUGUAAACUGCGUUUUUCAACUAAUAUGCAUAAUUGGUGACACUUGCUCAAUUAAGCACUUCCUAAUGCAAUUACGUCCCGCACCACGGUUAUCAAUCAUUACCACAGUAUUUGUAUAUUAGAGGAUUUCAUUAGUAUAAUGGAAAAAUAAGUGGUCAGAAAAUAAAGUUUGUGGAACUAAGAGCACUCUUAUUGGAGAUAAUUUCAAAUAGAUUUCUAAGCAAACAAAAUAUAUAAUAGAAUUAAAGAUUAUACGAUGAUGUAAUGUGUUAUCAAGUGUCAGAAAAAAAAACAAAAUAUUAUUAUUCUAACGUAAAUUAAUUAAAUCAUUUGAUUUUCUUUUUCUUUUUAAAAAUAAUUUAUAUAAAAGAGACAAGGGACUAAUGGAGUUUUAAUGAGAAUCUAUGAACUUUUUAUUUGAAAACUUUAGUGCAUUCUCUCUUUUAUUUUAUUUUAAUUUUAGGAAGAUAUGUAAUGGAAUUAUUCUUUUGUAAAUUCUAUAAAAAUCUGUAAUGGUAUGUGGCUGUGUGACAAUUAAAAUAAAAAAAAAUUGCUGAAGAGUUAUUAGUGCUUGGAAGCGGAAACCAUGCUUCAAUUCCAAGGACAUGAUUAACUUACUGACUUGGAUGGUUUCAAUCAAAAUCUUAUCCGUUCUGAUUCGUUAUUAACAACAUUGAUAUCACUAAAAUUACUCUAACUAAUAAUUUUUUCUCUCAAAUAAAAAAUUCAAUUAUAGUACUUAGGGCUCGAAUUCACAGGGAGUUAGAGUACACAAUAGAUGCUAAUCAGCAGUGAUUAAGUUAGGUAAAUUAUGAAAUCAGUAAAUAAGCAAACAAGGCAGUUGUUUAGUUGAUUGGUUUGAGGUUUGUAAACAAUUAUUAGAAAGCGCUAGAUCUAAUGUUUCUAUUCAGGUAAUCAAGAUUAUAGAUGUAUAGAAUACUUAGGUUGUCAAUCCUAGAACUCGAAUUCUAGUGUAAGGAUAUCCAACUUUCACAUGUGAGUAUUAUGUUUUGACUAAGUCCAAUAUCUCUGCUUCUGCUUGUUGAUACGGAUCGAAUGUCGAUUGAUGCUAUGAGAUUAGCGUCGAUCGAUGUUUCCUUAGACGGGCUUUAACGAGUUGAUCGAUAGGUUCGCUAGUAAUGUAUAUAUCAGCUUUCGCUUGUUUCUAAACAAUCCUAGCCAAACAGAAUUAAUUCUGAUGCAGAACCUACCGUCGUAGUUGUCCACAAUCCUAAGUUCAAGGUUCUAGUUAGCUAUUCUAGAACACAAGCAUUAACAACAAUUCCUUUAAGGAUAUUUAUCACCUAAGUAAUUCUAUAUUUUGGGCUAAUCACUCAGAACCUAUUUGACCCUAAAUCUAACAGAUGAAUUACUCAGACAUAGCAAGGUAAAUCAUAAUAGAUAACUGAAUAAAUUGCAUAAAUAUAAUAGAAUUAGAAAUACUGGAGUUCCAAUACAAAUCUCUGAAUGAGUCUUGGAUCUUCUAUCCAAACUACUAAAAACCCUAAGUAUUGUUUGCUGUGAAAAGUAGAAAGUAUGAAAAGCGUGUGUUGCCUAGAACAAUGGCAGAGCACAUAAAUAUUAGGUUAAAAUCGGCCAGGGGUAUUUCUGUAAAUGUGUGUGACUUGAGAUUUAAGUCGGCUGGAAACCUAGUCGGGUCUUUCGCGCUUCGCUGUCGAUCGACGGCACAUGAUGUACAUCGAUCGAUGUUUGUCUCUGAAUGUUGACCUCUGGACUGAUUCGAUGGUGAGCUACGGGCUUCCUCUCAUUUUAUCUCUAAAAUGCACCAAAAUCACCACUUUUCUCCAAAACACGCAUGAACCUGUAAAUAUGCUAAAAAGACUACAAAACAAAAUAAUUAUAUCAUAACACUUAUAUACCAUGGCUAAAAGUGAGUAAAAUCCAUGAUAUAUCAACUCUCUCAGACUUACCAUUUUGUUUGUCCUCAAGCAAAACACAGAGCAGUUUUUAUGAAAGAGGUUUGAAAACAGCAGAGCUUCACACAAUUUAAGAACUCACUAUCAUCACCUCUACUAUGUUGCAAGCCAAAUCAAAUCAAUUCUAACUUUAGAGAUAUUCUCUAUAUUAUAUCCUAGCUUAGCAACCAAAUUCAUAUAACCAACAAAUUAGCUAAUAUUGUCUGACUAACCCCUCUACUGACCUCUUUUAUUACAUAUAUAAAAGUGUAGGCUUUACCUUGGAAGUACACAAAAGACACAUGGACUCUUACUCAAGCAAGUUUCUAAACACACAUGUAGUCUUAUUUGAUCCCUUUCUUCCCUCUUUCUCUCUUCUCUAAAUCUCAAUUCCAAUGAACAAUGAUGCUGAUACAGUUCAUCUUUAUUCAUCAUAUAUCUCCCCUUUCCCUCUUCUCUAAAUCUCAAUUCCAAUGAACAAUGAUGCUGAUACAGUCCAUCUUAUUCAUCUUCUUUUCGAUUUUUCUCUUCUUUUUUUUUUCUUUGAAAAGUGUAAGCGAAUAAUGGGGUCACAAGAGAUACUCCUAGCCCUCACUUCCAACUAUGUGUGAUAAUUCCAUUAGAGAGAAUAAUGGGGACACAUGAGACACUCCUACCCUUCCGAACCGCAUGAAAUCAUUUCAAUCUUUUAUUCUUAUGGAUGCCAAAGAGAGAUAGAGACAAGGGAAUCAGAAACACACAGACUUUGACCUUCCUGGCUUGCAGGAGGAAUCUGAUCUAUUGUAUACCAAACCCCAAGAUAAGAAGAUUAGGCUCAAUUAGGUUUGAGGUCAGCUUUGGUUCCUUCAAACAUUCUCAGCAAGUGUGAAUAUUUGGCAGGUCACUUUAGUAUCUAUAAUACACUAUGCAGUCAAUAAAUCUAAGAGUGGUGCUAGACAGUGAUUAGAUAAUAAGUGAAAUUGAAAAAGUUCAUUGUCCCCUUAUUGACUCAAUGAAAAAUAUAUAUAUUUAACCUGCGAUAAAUUAAAUACGAAAAAUCAGUAAUAUAUUCAAAAUAAAACUAAGUAAAUCUUAUCAAUGGGUUGCCUCCCAUUAAGCGAUUUGUUAUAGUCAUUUAGCUUGACUCUUUGGAGGUUGUUUGGCUAGUAUAGAGGUAAGUGACUAAUUGUUGGAAAACAAGGGUCAUAUCUUCUCUGCUCAUCUGAAACCAUGUAUCAACGAAGAUUCUUAUGGCUUCAUCUCUCUUGUCACUGGUUUUUCAUUAUCUCCUUAGCAACCUCAUUAGCAUGCAUCCUUUUCUGAAGAUGUCCAAUACAGCCCUGGUGCAUUCUAAGUCCGGCAUGUGUUGUUUCUAAGAUGUUCUGAAAUCUCUGGGAAAUAUCCUCCUUGAGAAAGUUUUGAAAAAAACCAAUCUCAUCAAGCUUGUCUUCUAACAACUUCACUGUUACCAGCCUUCCUUUGAAAGAUGUGUGGUUGGCGUCGAUCGAUGGUCGAGUGUGAUCGUCGAUCGAUGGAUAUUCUUUUGCUCGGAUCUCACUCUGUCUCCGAAUUAUGUCUAUCUCCUCUUUCAGCUCAUUCAUGCGUGCAGUCAACAUGGUAAUAUUGUUGUCGAUUGGGUAGUAGACAUCAUUGAGCCUCUUGUAGUAGUCAUUCAUUGACAUCUCUUGGGCUCUGUAGUUCCCAUGUACCAUGUCAUCAAUCUCUGCUCUGUUGUAAGUGUCUGGCUUUGGCAUGGUUCUGGUGAAUUUCUCUGCAUAUUCUGGUAGACAUAUAUGAGUGUUUCCAUCCAUUCUAGCUCUUUCUAAAAUCUCCCUGAUGUCUUCCCUUGACACAUGAAUGAUUCUGCCUUCUACAAAUCGGGCAUUUCCAUGCUCGUCUCUGUAUAUUCCGUAUUCAUCUCUUUCUUCCCAUUGGAAUCUUCUGUUGCCUCUAUGAUUAUAAGCUCUAUUUCCAUACUCGUAAAGACUGUCGAUUGAUGGUUGACAUGUCCUAUCGAUCGAUGUUGGAUCCUCUCUUUUGUCUUGCUGGCUGAAAAGGUUUCCUGUUCCACUAGCCUUUGCAAGAAUUUAUGCGACGUCUUUAGAGAUGUGUAUAGCUCGUCCAUGCAGAGCACGUGCUUGUCCUUCUGAAUCUCUGAAUAUACCAAACUCAUUUGGUCUAAGGUAACCAAAAUCUGCAUCAUCUUUUGCUCUUGCAUCUGACUCUGUCUCGUGAUAUGUAUCGAUUAAUGGUUUGUGGUUUCCAUCGAUUGAUAUCUCUACCCUGGUCUCAUAAGAAGUCUUGAGAACUCUUGUCUCUUCCAUGUUAAGGCCAGGGUACUCAAUGAUCUCCUCUUCUCUGUAGUCCUCAUCGUACUAAUCAUGCUCCUUUUCACCGAUCUUCCUUUGGAAGGUGUAGCUGUCUGAAUUGCGUAGCUAGGUUGGUAGUAAUCAUUCGCCCAACUGUUGAUAGAACCUUCUGGGAAGUCGCCUAUCUCAUUCGCAGAGUGACUAUCGAUCGGCUCUUCCAAGGCUUUGUCGAUCGUCGCUUCAGUCUUCUUGUCGAGCGACGCUUCAGGUUGAUUGUCGAUCGAUGAUUCAUGGUCCGAUUCCACUUCAGCUUCUGGGUCGCAGUAACAAACUGCAAUGAAUCCUGGAUCAUCUCCAAUCUCUAUGUAUCCCGUCUGUGUCUUGACACUAGUUCAUAAUAGAUAGUAGGGUCUAUGAGUGUCAGGCACAACUUGUUGGUCUGCAUGUCGCAUACUGGUCCUACAGUAGCCAUGAAGGCUCUCCCAAGUAGUAGAGAAGAAUUCCAGUUGAGCUUGAUGUCCAGGACAUGAAAGUCUACUGGAACUAGGACAUUACCAAUAUGCACCUCAAGGUUUCUGAUGAUUCCUCCUGAGUUCCUCUGAAAACAGUUCACAAAAGUGAAUGAAUACUCUGAAGGCUCUAUCUUCAGACCUAGAUGGUCUGCCAUCACCUUUGGUAGAAUGCUAACUGAAGAACCUGUGUUGCAGAGCGCACUAGGGUAAUCAAUGCCUCCUAUCAAGCAUGCUACUACAAACUUUCCUGGAUCACUCUUCUUCUUCAGUGUAAUCCCCUGCCUCAUCUACUCUCUGACCUGGUGGAACAUUCUCCUAAUGUUUUUUUCAGUCUGUUAGUCUCUCUGAAGAACAUCCACAACUUAUGGGUAAAGUAAGCCUCCUCAAAUGGCUUGUCCAUUGGGAUCCUUAAAAUCCUCUUUGUAAAACUAUUCAUGUCUUUCUCAUUGCCGCCUCUCUUAAGAUGCUUAGAAACCUUUUGCUUCCUUCUCCUUAAUGUCCUUCUUUCAGUAGCCUUAUCAACUUGCAUAGGCUCUGGUGCAGAACCUAUCAUCGUAGUUGUCCACAAUCCUAAAUUCAAGGUUCUAGUUAGCUACUGUAGAACACAAGCAUUAACAACAAUUCCUUGAAGGAUAUUUAUCACCUUAGCAAUUCUAUAUUUUGGGCUAAUCUCUCAUAACCUAUUUGAACCCUAAAUCUAACAGAUGAAUUACUCAGACAUAGCAAAGUAAAUCAUAAUAGAUAACUGAAUAAAUUACAUAAACAUAAUAAAAUUAGAAUACUAGAGUUCCAAUACAAAUCUCUGAAGGAGUCUUGAAUCUUCUCUCCAAACUACUAAAAACCCUAAGUAUUGUUUGCUGUGAAAAUUAGAAAUUAUGAAAAGCUUGUGUUGCCUAGAACAGGCAUAGCACAUAAAUAUUAAGUUAAAAUCGGCCAGGGGUAUUUCUGUAAAUGUGUGUGACUUGGGAUUUAAGUCGGCUAGAAACCUAGUCGGGUCUUGCGCGCUUUGCUGUCGAUCGAUGGCACAAGAUGUGAAUCGAUCGAUGUUUGUCUCUGAAUAUUGACCUCCAGACUGGUUCGAUGGUCAGCUACAGGCUUCCUCUCAUUUUAUCUCUAAAUGCACCAAAAUCAGCAUUUUCCUCCAAAACACUCCUGAACCUGUAAAUAUGCUAAAAGGACUCUAAAACAGAAUAAUUAUAUCCUAAAACACUUAUAUACCAUAGCUAAAAGUGGGUAAAAUCCAUAGUAUAUCAAGCAUAAAAGAGCUGAUUACAAGGAAUAGGAGAUGUUUAGGAGGCAAAAAUGUAGAGAGAAAUGGCUCAAGUUUAGUGAUAAAAAUUGUAAAACUUUUCAAUCCUCAGUCGAGGCAAACAGAUCAAGACUCCAUUUAAACUCAAAGAUAAGAAUGGCCAUAACAAAUGGUCGGCUGCUGCGAAGGCGGAAGUGGCCAUUGAGUAUUUCUAGGAGUUCUUCGCAACCUCGAACAUUCCUUAUGAACCUAUAUUUCAGGGUACGAAACUGAAGUUUUGGGUUAUGAAUAAGCGUCUAACGUGUAAGGUCUCUAAGGAAGAAGUAAAAGAUGCUAUCUUUUCCAUUAAAGAAGAGAGCGCUCCAGGCCGAGGCGGCAUGGCAAGGCUUUUCUUUUAAAAGUUUUGUCCCACCAUUGGAAAGACAGUAACAAAAGAGAUUCAAAAUGUUUUUGAAAAGGCGACUUUACCAGAUGAGUGGAACUUUACUUACUUGUACUUGCUUCCCAAGAUACAAAACCCAGAAAACAUGACAAACUUAAGACCUAUUAGUCUAUGCUAGGUGUUGUAUAAAACAGUGUCGAAGUUUGUUUAAGCGACUGCAACCAUUCUUAAAUGAGUUUUUCUCAGUUAAUCAAUCGGCCUUCAUCAGUGAAAGGUUGAGUCAGGAUAACAUCUUAAUAUCCAACAAGGCAGUUCAUGCUCUUAAAACCCAUUCACUGGUGGCAUAGGAGUUUAUGGCGGUGAAAAUUGAUAUGUCUAAGGCAUAUGACCAGGUGGAAUGGAGUUAUUUGAGAGCCUUGAUGAAGGCUUUGGGAUUCGAUUAGCAGACGAUUACUUGGAUAAUGAUGUGUGUGUCUUCAGCCUCCUUUACUUUUCUAAUUAAUGACCAGCCGUUUGGUCUAAUAUCGCCAAGAAGAGGUAUUCGCCAAGGACACCCUUUAUCUCUGUUCCUCUUCUUUUUCUGCAGAGAAGGCCUAUCAUACAUGUUGAACAUGGCUGAAAGAACUAAUAUUUUGAGUGGAAUGAGUUUUUCGAAAUCAGGAUCCUUCUGUUCAAAAUUUAUUCUUCUCUAAUAACAGCAUGUGUCUCUGCAAAUAUUCAGUAGCGCAAUGCAAGAAUGUUCAAAGGAUUCUGAAUUUUUAUGGAGAAGCAACAUGGCAGUGCAUUAACUUACGGAAAUCUUCUAUAACUUCAGAGAAUUGAUUCUUGCAAAAGAGCAAGCUGAACUCCAUGCCAUUAUAGGUAUUUAUAAUGAAGGUGUGGAACCAGUAAAUACCUAGGACUCCAUGAAUGGUUCUCAGAAUCAAAAGUGGAACUUCUAUCGUACCUUAAAUAUCAUACUCAAUGUCGUUUGGAUAGCUUGUUUACACAAGUUAUCGCAGGGAGGUAAGGAGAUUCUCUUGAAAAAACGGCAUCAGCUCUCCCUGUCUUCGCCAUGUCCUGUUUCAGAUUUCCCAAAACUAUCAUUGCCAAACUCUCUAGCUUGAUAGAAAACUACUGGUGGAGUUCAAAAUCUCACCACAAAAAGAUAUACAGGGUCUCAUGGGAAAUAUUGUGUCUACCAAAGAAUUUAGGAGGAGCGGGAUUCAAAGAUCUUUAAAGAUUCAACUAAUCUUUAUUGGAAAAGCAAGGGUUGAAACUCAUUGACCAACUUGAGUGUCUCUUGGCAAUAUUUACAAAGAGUAGACACUACCUUCAUUCUGAGUUAUAGACAGCUUCAGAAGGUGAAAGACCGUCCUUCGCAUGGAGAAGCCUCAUCUUCGAUAGAUAAUUACUCCAAAAAGGCUAAAAUUGUAGGUAGGGAAUAGUCAAACACGAGUGUGUAGAAUGAUAAGAGGGUGGAGGACCCUGAUCUAGGCAUGAGAGAGCCUUGGAUUCAGAAUUAUCUAUUUGAUGUCAAUAUGAUGGCUAGUUCACUCAUUGACUUUACUAUAAGAAUAUGUAAUAUUCAGGUGCUUCAGGAAUUUGUUUUUCCAGGUGACAUCAAAAUGAUCAUAGCCAAGCAGCCGGUUCUUUCUCGAGUGGAUUCCUUGUCUUGGAAACAUAAUAGAAGUGGUAAUCUGUCAGUGAAAUCCGCUUGCUGGCUGGCUCGUGACUCGAAGAUUUAAACUUAUUAGCCUGAAGUUCUUGUUCUUCCUUCUCUGAACAUUAUAAAUGAGAAGGUGUGGAAGAUAUAGACGGCUCCCAGUAUCAGAAUUUUCCUAUGGAAAAUGUUGAGUGAUGCACUUCCUGUUUCGGACUUAAUUAGUGCUAAAGGAAUGAAGGUGGAUGAAAGAUGUCAGUUGUGUGGACCGGAUGGAGAAUCAAUUAAUCACACGCUUUUUCAAUGCUCAGGAGAAAGACAGGUUUGGACUCUCUCUGGAAUUCCUUAACCAGAAUAUGGUUUUCAGGAAGCCAAUGUCUUCACUAACAUCAACUACCUUUUAAAUUUAAAAUAUGUCGUCGUUGAGAAAUGGACGACAAAAGAGCUUGGCUGUGGCUGUUGUGGUUUAUAUGGAAGAGUAAAAAUGAUUUCUUGUUUAAUGGCAAAAUAUGGUCACCAGUGGAGAUUCCAAUUAAGGCCAAAACUGAGUCAGUAGAAUGGUUCUUAGCUCAAUUAGUGGAGGGAGAAGUGUCAAACAAAGGUCAUUGGAGACCUCCACAUCAAGGGUGGUUGAUGUGUAAUGUGGCAUUUUAUUGGGACAAGGAUAAGAGACUACUGGGUGAAGCUUGGGUGGUUCGGAAUCAUAGAGGUGUUGUUCUAAUCCAUGGUAGGCGGGCUUUCUCAAAUGUUCUCAGAAAGUAUGAGGCUAGCUAGGUAAAAAACAGUUCUAUGGCCAAUGAAGAGCAUGAUCAGCUUGCAUCUUAAUAAAAUUAUUUUUGCUGGUGAUUUUAAAGAGAUGUUUUGUGCAAUAGGAAAACCUCAUGAUUAGCCUGCGUUUAGGCAUCAUGGUGAGGAUAUUAAGCUGAAGCUAAACUUGAUGGGGGAGUAUCAGUUCAUGGCGGUUAAUUCGAAGAGAAUAGAUGGGCGUCUUUCAUUGCUCAAAGUGUAACAAGACAAAGAUUGGUUCAAUCUUAUGUGAAUAAUGGACAUUAUUCAUGGAUCAUUGAACUCUUUGUCAAUGAAACCCGGUUCUUCUAACGGUUCCUUCGGUGGGAAGGUUCUUAGGGAGCUUUUGGACAUACAAUUUUAAUGAAAUUCAGAAGGAAAAAAAAAGAUAUUUAUGUUACUGCUGCUAAAUUUGUUUCUACAAUUUAUUAUAGAUAGAGAAAAUAGUAAAAAAAAAAUGAAUUUUAGAGUUUUCCCAAAACAACCACAAAACACUUCAUUAAUCUGAAAUUUUAAUAAACUUGUGUUGAUCGAGCCAAAAAAUAUAUAUAUAUUCCCAAAACAACCACAAAACACUUCAUUAAUCUGAAAUUUUAAUAAACUUGUGUUGAUCGAGCCAAAAAAUAUAUAUAUAUUCCCAAAACAACCACAAAACACUUCAUUAAUCUGAAAUUUUAAUAAACUUGUGUUGAUCGAGCCAAAAAAUAUAUAUAUAUUCCCAAAACAACCACAAAACACUUCAUUAAUCUGAAAUUUUAAUAAACUUGUGUUGAUAGCCAAAAUAUAUAUAUAUAUAUAAAUGUAGUCAAUAUGAAUUUUCAUUUAAACGUUAAACUUUAAAAUAAAAUAAAAAUUCAUCGUUUAAAGAAAAAAGAAAAACCAACAAAAUUUACAUUAAAAAGAAAAGAAAAAACAAACCAAACUAAAAGAAAUGAAUUUGUACCUGAUCCAAGAUGUAAAAAUACCUGAAAGAAUCUUGUAGGAUGAUAUAAAACAUAUUUGAAAAUCGAAGUAUUAUUAACAGAAUCCAUAUAGGUUAUAGAAUUGAAACCUGAUUUUUUUUUUUGAAAUAACCUGAUAUGAAAAUCCAAAUUAUUUUUCGAAAUAAGCAUUUGAAAUCUAAAUGAGUAUACUCAAAUACUUAAUUUCAUAUUAUCUAAAAAUUAGUAUGGUUACACUAUGAUUUUUGGAAUGAGUUACAUUAUGAUUUUUGGAAUGAGUAAAAAUUAUAUAUGAACCCCAAGUGUUAUUAAUCAAACCUAACAUGUACUGAAUACUAUCCAAAUGGAGCUUAAGACGUUGAACUUGGAAAACUCGCCCCAAUAUAAAUGUCGCUAAGAUUUCUAAUCACGUUAAAAUAAUUGACAAUUAAGUUAAAAUCGAUGUCGACUAAAUUUAUAUAUAACAUUAUAACCCUGAAAACCUGGAAAAUUUUAUCCGAACCAAUCACUGUCUCAUCCAAAACAAGAAUAUAUAUUUUUGGAUCAAUGAUGUGUUUGUGCUUUCUUAUGGCUACAUUGUGUAAGUUCAAUAUUUUUACUGUCAUUUUUGUUGCUUUUUCUUAUUUUAUUGAAACUACAUCGAUUUGAUUUCUAUUAAAAAUAAAUGCUUGUUAAGUAAAAAAAUAAUAUUCACUAAAUUUAUAUCUAAUUUGGCUCGAUCUCAUAAGUUUACAUAUUUUGGAUUAAUAGAGUAUUGUGCUUUUCUCAGAGAAACUGUAUAAACUGAAUAUUUGUUUGAUCUUUUUCCCAUUUUAGAUAUGAUUUAGACAAUGUUUUCAAACUGAACCUCCAUCCUACCUUGACUGUUAAAUAAACUAAAUCCGAGUUGGUUUAAGACCGAAAUUUGAAUAAAACCAGCAAAAUCAACCAAAACUGGUUAUUUGGGUCAGUAUAAAAGCUGGGUUCAUCAAGUUCAACAUAUAGUUUGAUGAAAGUUUAUUUUAUCAGUUAGCUAUAUUUUUUAACUGGAAUAGUAAAAAAAUUAAAUAUGACUUUUUAAUUUUAAAAGUUAACUUAAAUUAAAAGAUAUUUUUGAAAAUCAAAUAUAAUGUGAAUCGGUUGAACUAAUCUGAUCAUCUAAUCAACAACUAUACCAAGUUAAAAUUUAGGGUGUCUCUUAUAUUACUAUAAUUUUCUUUAAACGUUAUUUAUAUAGCAAAAUCAUUUAUAAUGGUACGCCAAAUUUUACACUAAAAACAGAAUACUGUAAAAACAGAAUUUUUUUAUUCCUAUAGUUAACUCUAUUUUUAAUUCCUAGAUUGGUGGUGGGUUGCCAGAUCUAUCGACGAUGAUGAGAGUUCUGUUCCUCCACAAAAUCUAUUACUACAUGGUAGUUUGGAGAACAAGCAAUUUUGGCAAAUCUUAUUUAGUACAUUCUCCGUAAUGAUUGAUGUUUUUAGAUUUUGUUUUUAUAUUUCAAAAAUUGAUAUUUUAGACUAUAAUUAAUAUAUUUGUUUUUAAAUCUAAAAUAUAAAUUAAAAUAUAAAAUUAUUAGUGGUGGGACUUUAUAGGUAAAACAAGAAGUAACAAAGAAAAUGUAUUUUGAAUUAUGUAUGAAGUGUAAAACAUCAAUAAAAUACUAUACUCUCUUUGUUUCACAAAAAUAUCAUUCUACCAUUAUUUUCUUGUUUUAAAAAGCGAGUCAUUCUAUUUACAUUGCAACUUUCCAUAUAUAUGUAUUUCUAACCAUUUUAAAUAAUCAUUAAAUAAGGUUAUUUUGUGUAUUUUAUCAUUUUUAAUUCAUAAAAACAAUCUUUGUGAAAUGGAAAGAGUAUUUGUAGACAUUUUAUAACCAUUAAUAGCAUUCUAGCAUAUAGUCUUUGCUAUAUUACGAGGAUUCAAAAACUAAGUUCGUAAUACUCCCUCUGUUUUUUAAUAUUACUUCGAUAUAUUUUAUGGAAAUAAAAAAACUGUAUAAUAGACUAAUAUUAUAUUAUUUAAUAUACGAUUAAUUACAUAUAAAUGAUUAAAAAAGUUAUUAGUUAUUCAAAAGGGUAAACAAUUUAUUUAGUAUAUAAAGCUGUAUUGGAAAUGUAGAAUGACAUUCUUUAUUUUUUAUGAAACAGAAAGAGCAUAAGCAACAUGUAUUAAAUUGAUUUUCUGAAGGUUGGUUGUAUCCGAUGCAUUAGAUUGGAUCAAAUCAAAAUGGUACAAUAACUAAGAGAAUUUAAUGGGGUAUAUAAAGUAAGGUGGAGAGAGUUGGGGAGACAUCUUGAAAUGUAAGUGUUACGGAGUAAGCACAUGACAUGACGUCAAGAGGUACUCUCUCUCUCUCUCUCCAUUUAUUCCCCUUUAACAUUCCAUUAUCGUCAAUAGCUUGCCUCUUUUGUAAAAGGUUUUUCUGUGUGUUUUAGGGUGUUUUUGUUUAAUAUACUCUUUCUGUUUCAACCAAAAUUAAAUUUUAUCUAAAUAGUGAAAAUAUCAUUUAUUUUGCAACAAAAAUAUUUUCUCUAAACACCACUUAUACCGAAAUAGAGAGAGUAUCUCAUAAGUUACUCAUUCUACAUUGUUUAAGUGAAUUUAGACCUAGAAAAAUAAUAAUAUAUCGAAUAAUCAGUAAGGAUCAACGAGUCACCUGAUUUUGAUUUUUAAUGUGUACAUUUCAAACAUAUAUUAUAAUCUGUUUUAUUAGGAAUUCUUUAGAUAUUAUGAAUUAAUAUUUUUUUAAAUAGUGAAUCUUAUCAGAAACAAAUCCAUACUUGAUUUUCUUGAACGAACGAAUCAAGUCAAACUAUAAAAAAAAUCAUAUUGAACGUCAAAACAAAAACUAAUGCAAACUUGAUUUUCUUAACCGAGAACGAAUGUCUUAUAAAUUCAUUAUAAAAAUCUUCUGUUUACGAGGUACUGACUUAGAUAGUUUCACUAGUUUGAUCUUAUAAAAGAAAAACUGAUUGACUUUGCGAAUACCAACUCAUAGAUCAUUCACUGCGUCCUGAUCGAAAAGAAGAUCACUGUUUAACAAAUUAAGACUGAAAGGGUUCUAUAUAUACUACUAGGUUCGGUCUGCCCUACGGAGGUGAUAUAUAUUUUACCUGCGAUCUAAAUUAUUAUUUUUGUAAGAUUUUAUGGUUUAUGUUUUAGGUUUGUAUUUGUAAGUGAUAUAUAUGAUAAUGAUUUGUGUCUGUUAGAAAAUUUUACGUGAGGAAAGAUUAAAUAUGAUAAGAUAUAUUUUGAUUGUUUACAAUAGUUGUUUAAGAGUUGUGACAUUGGUAUGCUGUGAGGGCUUCAAAUGGUUUUUAUGUUGUUUUCUUUUACAAAAAUUUAAUCUCAUAUUUGGUGCAUUGUGCUUUGUAAUAUUUCGGGUUCGGAAUGAUUGGGUUGUGGAUAACUAUUUUGUGUAUGUUAUAAGAAUAAUUAGUCUUUAUGUUGAAAUCUUAAUCUUUCGACACGCUAAUGGAGUGGAAGUGGUGAUUAUUUGAAGCUGCAUUUUUUAUUAAACUUAGAAUGUUAUAUUGAAUGCGAAGAAGGUAGUAAAGCAAAGUUAAUCAAAUAAGAAAACAUUGACACUCAAAAUUAUAAAUAUCAUAUUAGUUCUAGAACAUUUCUUUUAAUAUAGAGACGCCAUUUAAGGAACAUUUGAUCUAUCUCCAGCAUUUGUCAGCUCGAGACAUGUCGGUUUGCCGUUCAUGACUAUACAUAAAUUUCAUGCAUUCUUCAUAUUCUCAUGUUCAUAGCAAAAUUAUGGCAUAGAUAUAGUUAUCUUUACCAUAAUUGUUGUUUGCAUAUGUGAAGAUGUAUUAUUCCUUAUUGCGGUUUUGUUUCAAUGUCAAAUUUGUUUGUUUGUUUUCCUAAUAUUAAUUCUUGUAUAGAAUAAGUAAAGAUUUUCUUAUUUAAUCUCCUAUACACUGACUUUUACAGUCAUCGAUCUGAAAUGAAUUGAACGGUUUUAGGAUAUUUUAAAUUCUCUAUGUUACAAUUAAAAAAAGUAAAGAAAAAGGCAUUGGUUAAAAUUUAAUCGUAUGUUUAAAGAGAAUCCUGGACAGCGUCCGUCUUGGAACUUCUAUGUGUGCAGAGCCAAAGUUAAUUAUUAAGUUCUUUGUGAACUUUUAUAUACUAUCAUCUCUGUAUAUUUUAUAACAUAAAACUUCUCCAAUUACCUCUUUAAAUAUUUAGCAUGCACAUUUGGCUACUUUACUAUGAAGAUUCCAUUUCUGACCUAAGUUUUUGUUUAAAAAUAAUAAUAAUAUAGUUAUAUCAUCACAACUACAUCAUUCACAAUUUACAUUCGCAUCCAGAAUGUUCUUGAUGACGUGGCACCCUCAGUUUAUAAUUAAUAUCUGAUUAUAUUAUAAAAUUACUUACAAAAGAUGAAAAUUAUUUAAUUUCUACAAAUUGUUUCUAAUUUAACUUAAUAGUACAAAUAUUAUGAUAUUUAUUUAACAUAUAUUAUACUUCCUUAUGUUUCGAAAAUCCACAUUAUAGAAAGAAAAAAAAAUUGUUUUAUAUAUAUAUAUAUUUCUUUACAUUUUCAAUUCAUUAGUAAAUGGUUAAUUAUAAAUUUCAAAAAAUAUAAAUGUUUUUCAUUAAAAUUUUAUUGGCUAAAAAUUACGAAGAAUAGUUGGUUUAGAAAUUAAUCUAUCCAUAAUCAAAAUUUCAUAUGUUUUCUUAAUACUUGUAAAAGUUCUAAACCAUAUAUAUUUUCGAAAUGGAAAGAAUAUUAGAUUAGAUGGUUAACUAACGUGGGUUAUUAAAUCUUUAAAUAUAUUGGGAUUUAUGUUUGUUAUCAAUUUUUUUUUUUGCUCGUGAUUUGUCACCAACAUGUUUUUCGUUUUUGAUGUUCAAUAAUAUGUGAAAGUAGGUGUUUUUUUCUUCACAUAUUUCAACCACCACAAAUGUGGAUCUGUUUCAUUUUUGUUAUAUUUUUUUUUUCUCUAUUGUAUAAUUGCUUGUAUAAGGGUUAUGUUCACCUUACCAAAUUAUAAUAUUUCUCUGGUGUAUUUGAUAAACAUCGACAAAACCAUAAGUUCUCAUAACAGCCUCUGUACCCAGUAAAACCUUUAAAACACAUCCAAAGCCAGGUAAAUAACCGAAACAGGAAGCAUUAACUUAUUUUACAGUAAAACUUAGAAGAGUCGGAUCAAGACAGAAAUUAAAGAGUUAACGAAAGUCCAAAACCAUCAAAAUCCAAAACGUCUACGAAAUCAGCUGAAGAACAAAUAACAGGCUAAAGUCAUUGAGUAUCACUGUAAAUUUUGGAGGCAAAAACCUACACAGUACAGGUUUAACGCCUUUUUGUUUUUCAAUCUUCAUCUGAUCCCGUCUUUUUUACUCUCUUUGACCCUUUCUUCUUAUCUUCCUCUUCCUCACUAUAUUUGCUUUCAUAAUUCUCUUCAUUCUCAUUUUCUUCUUCCUCCUCCAUGCCUUCUUCUGUAACCUCAGCCUCCAAAUCACUGGUUCUUUUCAAAACCUCAACUUUAAGUAAUGUCUUUUGAUCACAAAUGAUCCAAGCAUCUCUUACGCCAAACUCAUAAGCAAGUCAACUUAUUAGUAUCCUCUGCAGGUUUUUAGAGUUUCCCCAUUUUCAAUCUUGAUCGGCUUUUAACCUUCUCUAACUUCAUUGUUCUCUGUCUCGACGCUUGCUCCUAAACUUUUCAAUGUCUAACAAACAUCACUUGAAGAAGAGUAUAGCUUCAGCUCCAUCCAUGAAACUAACCUUUUGAAAGAGCCAUACAUUGUUUGAAUCCGCAAGAAGAGCCCAUAAGCCUUUCUCUUUGUGGUAAGGAGAGCGAGGAAUAGCGCCUAAGAGUCGAUUGAAAAGUUUUAGAGUGAUCCAAGCUUGAACUAUCACCUUCUGUUUUGCACGUGACUCCUACUUUCAAAGAAGGUAUCAUUUCUAUACACCUUCUCAAUGUCUACAACAUUGCUCUCCGACAAACCAGCAACCCCUGGAGGAGUUGAAGAUGUUCUUCCAAGUGAAGCUCUUGAAAUUCUUGGAAUGAUCUAACCUGCAACGCAAUCUUUUGAGCGAUGAAUUUACUGAAAUAAGGGAGCCUACAAUAAAAAAACAACAUUAAUAAACCUGAAAAUUGUAAACGUUCUGGAAAGUUAACUUAAAAAAAAUCUUGAUACCUUAACAAUGCACUCAUUUAAUCUUAAAGCUUUAUUCCCUUGCCAACACUGCUCUGUUUGCAAGUACCAUCGAUUAGUAUCGUGUUAAUAAUCACAUAUGAUCGUAUUGUAAGUGGCAACAUCAGGCAAAACAAUCAUUAUAUCAAGAAUAAUCAUAAGUUUAUUGGUCUCCUCGGAUUACCAGUAGCCACUUACCAUAACAAUUAGAAGUUAUCACAUCAGGAUGACAGGAACAACACCAUAAACUUUAGGAAACCAAAUCUUGUUGACCUGACCAGUCCAGAAAACAAUUAAUCUGUGAGAAAACAUUUCCUACAAUAUGAUAUGAAAAUUCUUGCCAUCAUUAAACCCUGUUAGCCCAUUAAUCAAUCUGAUAUAGCAUCUAUAAACAAUCCAUCACCGACAUUUCCUACAGGUUAGUUUUGAAUCUAUAAGCAAUUAAAUUGAAAAUAAGGCUAACUUUCUCUAUAAUUGACGCUUUACAUUUCCAGUGGUUUUUUUGUAGUGGAUAAUAAGUUGGGAAGAAGGUAAUUUCGAGGCCAAAGUGGUUUGUUCUGCCUUGCAUGUUUGAACUUGUUCACCUUCUUUUAAUUCAAUUCCUUCCUAAGACUCUGUUAAUUUCUCAAAACCUUGUAAGUGAUAACAUCGGAUUUUCAUAAAAUGGUCAGAGAAGAAGGCUUAAAACAAAACCUCAAAAACAAAAUUUGUUCAAAGAAUUAACGUUAGUUUCCUUUUGAAGAACUUCAUCAGAUUUCAUAAAGUAGUCAGAGUAGUAUGAAAGCAAAACCUAGAAACGUGAUCUACCCAGACUUUAGGUACUGCCGCUUCCAGUCAACCGAUUCUUAAACGGUAUUAGGGAUUGAAACUGGGACCCUCAAAAUCAUUGUACGGAGCCUUCUUAGAUCUGCAGGAAGCAAAUUGUCAUUGUAUAUCAAAUCAAUAAAAAAAUUGCAGAUGAGAGAUGAGGACGAAAGAGUUACUCAUGUUUUGAUACAGCCACGAAGACCUGGUUUAAAGCUUGAGUUGAUUGCAUCUCAAAAUAUCAUGAACGCAUGGAAGCUUGAUCGCCCUUAUGUUCACAUAUUUAUACCUAACACUCACCGUCUCGCAGAACUCAUCGUGAGCGACUGAAUCAAUGAGAUUUAAUACGAAAGCCUUAAUUCUGACUGUUUCAGAUAAUAAGAAACUCAGGCGUCAACGCCGUCGAAUGAAGGGGAGAGAAUGUGUUUUGUCUUCCUGAGACACGUGUCACUUUUUUAGAACAUAACUUUAACUUUUUGAUGUGACAUGGCGCUCUAAGGAGUGAAUAAAACACUUCUUUAUAAUAAUACUAGGCAGGUCCGCGCUACGCGCGGAAUUCAAUGUAUCGGUUUUCAUGAAAUAUAUAAUUUUGUAUAAAUUUUCUUCUAUGUUCAGUUGGUUGUAAGUGUGUUUAUGUUAAGAGAAUGAGAUUGAGUUUUCAUUUACCAGAAUUCUUUUUUUUUAUGUCAGAGUAUCUAUUACUGUGGAAAAUAAAAUUUUAACUUUGAGGUAAUCUUAGUCACUAAAAAUAUAUUUUGUAUUUGUUUAGGACAAUGUCAUUGCUACUAUUAGUACUUGUGGUUGUUUUUUUAUAUUUAUGUUAUAUUUGAGAAGUUAUUUUUGCUUUAUGUUAUGUCAGUAAUUUGCUAGGGAUAAACUAAAACACACCAAAUAAACGGAGGAAUAGUAUGCUUUGAUGAUUAUAUAUUUAUACUUACAUAAAUUUUUAAACUGGCUAUAGAAUAUUAUUCACAAACAUAAAUUAUACGACCAUAUAUUAUUCUGUACAAAAAUAUUAUAAAUCAGCAAAAUACAUAUUAAACUAACUAUUAUUUUAAAAUUAUUUUAUUACGCUAUAGUACAGGUUAGUUAAUAGAAUAACUAUAUAUACUUUUCGAUAUUUGUAUUAAAAUUCUUUGUAAAUCUAAAAUAUGAAUAUAUUAACAUCUCAAAUUGAUAGUAAAAGAAGACCUUUCUUAUAAAUUAUUUCAUCUAAACUUUAAAUAUUAAAAUUAAGAAUAUAUUUAUAAAAUAGUGAUAAUAAUAUUUCUGAAGUUCAAAACAUAACUUUUAAAAAAUUAAGUAAAAUAAUUAAUGUACACAAAUUUAAAUUUUUUUAUAAAACUAAAAUUAUCUAGUUUGUGGAUAUAAAUAUAAUUUCUAUAUAAAUAUUUUUUUGAGGAUAAUAUUGCACUCUAAACUAAACCCGGUUAAUAUGAAUUGCACUCGCAUCCAAAAUGUGCAAUUUUUCUAUAUAUUUGUUUAGUUUCAAAAUCAUAAUAAUCCCCGUAUAAUACACUACAUCUAUUUAUUAUUAUUAUUUUUCUUUCCCUCAAACUAAAAACUAAAACAUAUUAUAAGCACAUUUUUUUUUCCUUUUUAGUCUAAUCCACUAUUACAAUAUGUAACAUAAAUCGAGUACUAUUUUGUAUCUGUAAACAUACAUGUUUAAUAUAUAUGCCUAAACAUCCUAUACAAUCCAUACUAACAAACAUAUAAUCUCUGAAUAAGAAUACUUUUCAAUGAUACAAAAAAAACAACUUUUGGAUGUUUUAAAAAUACAUAAGCAGAACGAACCCGAUGUCAAACGGUGUCAGUAAUGUUAGAUGCGCUCAUGACUGAGCAAAGAUGACGACAUCUUAUGUUACUCCACUAUCUGCCUGCAAGUCUAGUCUUUCCUCUGUUUUAUCUCUUGACCAUAACUAAAAGUUGUUUUAAAAAGAUCUUAGAGUAUUGUCAGGAUAUGUAGUGGCUGCGAUGGAUCUCUCUAUAUACAUAUAAACGCUUAUUGAUGCGCAUUAAAGUGUCAGUUACAUACUACUUGUAUGUAUGGAAAUGCGAAGAGAUAUAUUCAUUUAAAAAAGUGAUGUGUUUUGAAUGCAGGGACACGUGGCGCGACGAUAGCCUUCGAUUUUCUGACGUGGCAUCCUAUGUGGAUGACCUAGGAGUGAAGAAAAACUCUUCUUUAUAUAUAUAGAUAUUUUUUUCUAUAUAUACUAUAUGCUUAAUAGUAAUUAAUGAUUACGCAAUAUCGAAAGCAUUACCUUAACUGUAACUCACGCCUAUCGUUUCAUGUGUACUUAAUUAGGAUCUUAGAUUUUUUAUUAUUACCAGAUUUUCAAUUUUGACAGAAAUACAGAGAAAACAAGAAGCAGAUGAAUUGAAAUGCAUUUAAAAAGAAACUCUACCUAGUCAAAAACAGGGACAUACACCACAAGAGAACAGCUAACCAAACGACUUGACAAAAUCAGAACAUACCAGUUGCCGCAAAAGGAGGAACCCAGUGAAUUCGAGAGUCAGAAGAACCCGGUAGAAUUUGGGAUACCCGAUGAUCCGCUCUUGAGGAUAUGGUUCAACCAAGAACAGCUCGUAGACGACCUCCUAAGCUGCAGCCAACCCAGCCAGACAUAGAAAUCCGAGGCGAAUAACACCCGCAAGACAAGGCCGAGACAUUAUUCAGGAAGGAAGAACCGCUGAGAAGCCACACCACCGCACCUGAAACAAAGCAAACAGAUACCAACCACACCACUCCACGAAUAGAGCAGUCAGGAGUAAGCCCUAGAUUGAGCCUCUGAAGCAGGCUGGAACCGCACGCGCCGCCACUAAAACCGAGGACCCAAGAUGACAAAGCCGCAGAUCUAUAGCCUCACGCGCCUCCUCGUCGGAGAACCCGAAGUAGAUCUGCUCUGCCGGAGACGAUGUCUUCUCCAGACGAAACCACCGUGAUAACCACUGACGGAUCUAAAAGAACCAGAAGAGAACGGAAGAGGCGACCUCGAAGAAAUACUCCCACGGAUCGGAACCUCUUAGCUUCACACCGGAAUAGAUCCACGAGCUUAGCACACCCUAGCCGAGAAGAAGGAUGAAGGGCGUAUAAGAGAGAGAGACUCGCCUUCGACACAGAGAUCUGGACUCCAGAUCUACACUUCCACCUCUACACCCGACCGAGGAACCUCAAACCCCACCGAAUCACCAAGCCUCGCCGCGAUUCCAAGACUGGCCACGCCUCAGAAGAACGAGCAUAUCAUAAGAGAGAGACAGAGAUGUUUGAGGUGAGAAGAAGAAGAGUAAGGGAAAUGGGGGCGGAGCCGACGGUGAAGCACAACCGCCGGCCGCCUAGCUUAGAUCUAGGGUUUUGCCUUCAAGAGAGAGAGGGGAGAGGGGAGAGGAGAGAGCACAGUUGACUUCUAAAGUUUUGCUUGACGUCUUAAACCAAUUAGGAUCUUAGUUAAUAUUAUAAACCGAUAUAGAGUCCCAUCGAUGCACGUAUAAAAGUAUACAUUGAUUCACGUAUCUAAUUAUAUAAAGUACAGUUCUUUCUUUCCAGGUGAAAACACGUCGGAUGACAGGUCAUUAAGUCGUUCGCUGCAGAGACGACACGUGUAUCACGAACAGAACGCAACGCUUAUUCGUUUGUUGCCGUUUGUCGUUUGGGCUGUUUCUUCGUUAUGUGUACGUACAAUCCUAUUGGGCUUAGGUUAAGGGAGCGAUUCGGCCCAGUCAACUAUAGUCUGUGCUAACCCUAAUAUUGUUUUUGUAAAAAAAAUCAAAUAUGUUCAUCCCUUCUCUCCCUUAUUCGGCGACGAUGACGGUAGAACUUCCUCAACUGUCAUGAAACGGAUCUGUGAUUAAUCCCAUCAAUUGAGAGGUCGGGUAUAAAUAGGUCAGUAUUUUUCUUCUGGAAAUCACAAUCUCUUCCUCACUCUUCUACUCGACUCUCUUAUAUUGUUCUAAAGAUUCACUGCUUAAUGGCUAACUCAGAGGUUGUUUUUCGAUCUGAAGUCCGGCAAGUGUUCUCCUGCGAUUCUGGGAGGCCAGGAAUGUCAAGCGCUCAUGUGGCUUGAUAUGCUGAUGGUGGACGUUUUAUUGUAAGUAUUCUUUCCAGAUCCUAACUUAUUAUUUCCGGUGAACCUUAUUUAUUAUUAGCAGGUUUCCGGUGAAACUCAUCCUGAUAAUCAUCAUUCAUAAUGGAUUACUCAUCUGUUCUACUUGCUGAUUUGAACAGAUUUAGAUGUAUCACUUGGAAAGAUAUUCUCUUCCCUGAAACAAAGAAUAUCACCAUUAUUUGUUUCCAGAGGCUGAUAAGAUCAAAGACUGAAACCAACGGUUAUCAACCACGCUGAUACAUUUAGAUCGGUUUCAGACAAUGAAACCAAACUUCAGGAAGAGAAAGUUUGAAAGUUGAUCCCAGCUGGAGUCUCCAGCGUUGUUGUCUCCUACAACGUUCAAAGGUUUUUUUAGUUUCACAAUCUCUCUCUCUUGCCUCUGACUAUAAGAAAGUGUUCUUCUUUAUGGAUUCAUGAACCGUAUGUAUAACAAUAUGAGCUAUAGUUUAGUGCAAGAUAUUCUCUUGAGAUGUUAAUUUGGUGUUUGUGAUCAGGUUUCAGGAGAGAUUGUUGGAUCCAAGAGAAGCAAGCAGGAUUAAGCUGAACUUAAUAUAGAAGUGUAAGUGGGAUAUUAUAUUGUUGAAGAUGAUUCUUAAAUGUAUCAGUGUGGUUGUCUCCAACCGAUCUUAAGCCAGUUGAUUGGUAGCCUUGAGGUGUCAAUCGAUACAAAGCUUCAAUAUUUAUUUAAGCCACUAUGUCUCUCUUACAAUCAUGGUUUAGUUGUUUGUCAAUAAUAUAUGUUUAUGCUGUGUUGGUUGUUGUAAAAGAUCUGUUGCUCUAAACUCAUCAUUAACAUUGCUGAUUUUGGACUGGCAGGUGUGGUUAAUCAGGGUUCACAUUUAUAGAGUAUGUUGUUAUACGCCGGUAAAGAUUUGAUUCCCUUUUUGUGUUGCAAUGUCUCUUUUAGAAUAUCAAUACAUGUGUAUAUAUGUACUUCAGUUACCCAUAUGUCGAUUAGUUGACACACCAUUGCUGCCUUACUGGCUCUAAAAGCUUUGUUAUGAAGGUAAUCGGCACCUGAAGUACUUCUACAGUCCUAUGUAUACACAUUAAAAGUUGGUUAGUAUCAGUUUAUGUGGUACUCCAUCAGGUUCAUUUAUUCUCGGACACUAAUCUUUUGCCUUUUACAUGAUCUUUCAGUGGCUCUGCUCUGGGAUCCAUGCAACAGACCGACUGAUGCAGAGGCUCUGUACGUUCCGUCCUUUCAGGUACACCAGAGAGUAUGUGCUUCAGACGCUAUGGCUGUUACCGUUCCUGUCUUGAUCAGUUGAUUUAACUUUUGUAUAUGAUGUUAAAUGUUGCUUUGCAAUCUUUGUAGCUGCAGAGGCUUUGUACGUUCCGUCCUUUCUUUUACUGGACAUAUUUUUUUUUAAAGAUAAUAUUAACAGUUUAUAUAUUUUGCCAAGCAGAAACUAUUUAAAUUUUAGUUAACAUUUAGAAAUGUAUAUUUUGCCCUCAAUUGAAUACAACACGAACUUCCACUAUUUUCAUUUUAUUAUUUUGAAUAGAUUAUAUGGUUAAUUCUAUUUAUAUAUAUAUUUUACUUUUGAAAAUUUUAAUUUUCAUUCUAAUUUAGUUAUAAUAGAAAGAGUCAGUUAGAAACUUAUAUAUACAUAGUCUAAACCAAUACGAAUAGGAAGAUAGAAUGUGAUAGGUACCAUGCAUUUUCAAAGAAAGACAUACAAUAGCCUUACACUAAUCACUAUGAUUUUUUUUUUCAUUAAAUCACUAAUUGCUAUGUUAUUUCUAUAGAAAAAGAGAAAUUGUCUAAAAUACCACAAGUUGAGUACUCAUUUUCAAAAAUACUAUCAAUCAAAAUAUAAUAACAUUUGGGUUUAGUAUUUGGUGAUUAUUGUUUAGAGUUUAAUAUUUAAGGGUCUGGUUUGGGUUUAUAAAUGUUUUAUAAAUAUUUAGAAAACUUAACUUAGUGUUGUUAUUUAUCACAAAUUUAGGUUAUUUUUGAAAAUAGUCAUUCAUUAGUGGUAAAUUUGAAAAUUGGUAUUAAACUUGUGGUAUAAUUAAAAUUUCUCCCUAGAAAAAGGUCUAAAUAAUUAAGUAUGUUUUUGACCAAAAGAUAAAUAAUUAGAUAUGUAGGCAUACAUAUAUACACACAGUUAAAAAACCAGAUAAAUGCUUUGGUUUAAAUGUUAACUAAUUCAUUAACUAAACCAAUUGGUUAAGCAAACCAGGUCAUUACAGUUUCAUAAAAACGGAGAAUGCUUAUGUGCCAAUUUUUUUUUCUUUGAAAAAGCUUCGGUUCAAAAUUUAAAAAAUCCAUUAACUAAAUCAAUUAGUUAAGAAAAUUGGAUUAAGUAAAUUUUGUUGGUGUUAUAUAAACAUAAAUUUUUGAAAAAUUUAAACAUUUUUCUUAAAACAUAUUACACUAUUAGUUUAUUGACUCGUCCGGACGGGCGGGUUUGCCCUAGUAAAAUAUACACAUGCGUGUGAACGUAAGAAGUUUUGAAUUGAUCAUUUAAUCUGAUUGCCAACGAAAAUUACUACCAAACGAAGAAAUUCUGGUGAGAAAUUAUUCUCGGAAGAAACCAUUUUCUAUAUCUUUUUUCGUAUACUUCUUCAUAAACCAGUUUUACAAACAUUACUUGUUAAAGUCAUUCCUAAAAUAAAAAAAAAAAAGUCAUUCCUACACCAACUAUUAUAUAUAGGUAGAAAAUGACGUUUUGAAAAUGAGUUGAUUAGUACACAAAAAAAACGACGAAAAUGAGUUGAUUUUCUGUACCUUAUAAGAACCUAACUACUAUGGUUGAAAAUUUCUUAGAAAUAAUAUUGUUGACUUCAAAUUUCAACAAUCAAAAUUAUAUAUAUACACUAGUAACACUAUUUUGGACGUGUUUUAUGAUGAAUUAUAUAUGUAUACUAGAUUUUGAUUUUUGAUUUAUUUUAUUUUAUAAAUAUAAAUUUUAGAUUAAAUUUUAUUUAAAACCCAUUUUAUAUUUAAUUAAUUGUAAUAGAAUGGGCUAGUAUGUUUCUUUUGUUUUGUACUUUGUAAAUAAGAUGCAUGUUUGAUCAAAUUACCCAAACAAAACAUAAAAAGUAAUAAGUUCAACUAAAUAAAUAAUUGAAAUAUUGGUUAACUACAAAUUUAACAACUAUUUAUUUUACUAAUUAAGGAUUAUUUUCUAAUUUAUUCAGUCAUCAUAUAAUCAGAUCUUAAUAUAACAUUUUAUAAGUAUCAUUAUAUUAUCUCGUCCUAAAAAAAAUACAAAUCUUUAAAUAUCAUUCCCGUAUUUAGCAAUAGGCAUCAUUUUUAAAAAUAUCUAAGAGAACUCUUUGUUAAUUUAUAUUUUUGUAUUUGUUAUGUAUAGUUAAUUUCCAUAGAUUUGGAAACAAUAAAAUAUGGUUGAUUUUGUAUGAAUAAUAAUAUAUUACUUUCGUAUACUUUAGAAAGUUGCUAGUUUAUAGGGAUAUUUGUUUGAGCUUUUGUCGAGUUUAUUUUGUUUAGAUUUCAUAUAAUUAGAUACUAAUUAUUUACCACUUUCAUGCUACCAUUUUUCAUUUUUACCAUCACUAAGGACUUUUUCAAAAAUAUCUUCUUAAUUAUGUGCCAAAAAACUCUUAUGCUCUUGUUCUUUAUAAAAAUAAAUAUUUAAAUAAAUAAAAAUCUAAAAAAAUAAAAAAUAAUUUCUUCAAUUUUUUUCGAAUUAUACUAUUUCGAAAUUUAAACCCUAAACCCUAAAACUCAACUCUAAACCCUAAACAUUAAUCCUAAACAUUUUUUUUUAAAUACGAACCCUAAACCCUAAACCAUCAAUCCUAAACCUUUUUUUUAUUGAAGUACGAACCCUAAACCCCGAAACAUCAACUCUAAACCCUAAACCCCGAAACAUCAACUCUAAACCCUAAACCUUCAAUUUUAAACCCUAAACCCCGAAACAUCAACUCUAAACCCUAAACCUUCAAUUUUAAACCCUAAACCCCGAAACAUCAACUCUAAACCCUAAAUCUUCAAUUUUAAACCCUAAACCCCGAAACAUCAACUCUAAACCCUAAACCCUAAACUUCAACUCUAAACCCUAAACCAUCAACACUAAACCCUAAACUAUCAACACUAAACCCUAAACCCUAAAAAGUAAACUCUAAACCCUAAACCCUAAAAAAUUAACCAUAAACCCUAAAACAUCAACUCUAAACCCUAAACCCUAAACCCUAGGGUUUAGGGUUUAGAGUUGAUGUUUCGGGGUUCAAGGUUUAGAGUUGAUGUUUCAUGGUUCAGGGUUUAGAGUUGAUGAUUUAGGGUUUAAAGUUGAUGUUUUAAGUUUAGAUUUAGGGUUUAGGGUUUACGUUUAGGGUUUAGAGUUGAUGUUUCAGGGUUUAGGUUUUAGAGUUGAUCUUUCUUGGUUUAGGGUUUAGAGUUGAUGAUUUAAUGUUUAGAGUUAAUGUUUUAACUUUAGAUUAGUUAACCAUAUGUUUUUUGUCAAAGUUACUGAAAAAGUUAUAAAUGUCUUUUAUCCUUCAUUAAAGAUGAGGUAAAAGUGGUUAUUGUAAACAUGAAAAGUGGUACUUUGAAAAUUGUAUUUUUGGUCAUUUGCCUAUAAAAUAUGGGAAAUUGCCAAAAAUACCAUUUUCAAAGUACAACUUUUCAUAUUUACACCAAUCACUUUUACUCUCAUCUUUAAUGAAGGGUAAAAGACAUUUAUAACCCUUUGAUUAGCUUUCACAAAAAAAAAACAUAUGAUUAACUAAUCUAAACUUAAAACAUCAACUAUAAACCCUAAAUCAUCAACUCUAAACCCAAAACCAUGAAACAUCAACUCUAAACCCUAAACCCUGAAACAUCAACUCCAAACCCUAAACCUUCAACUCUUAACCCUAAAACAUCAACUCUAAACCUUAAACGUAAACCCUAAACCCUAAACCCUAAAUCUAAACUUAAAACAUCAAGUCUAAACACUAAAUCAUCAACUCUAAACCCUAAACCAUGAAACAUCGACACUAAAUCCUAAACCCCGAAACAUCAACUCUAAGCCCUAAACCCUAAACCUUCAAAUCUAAACCCUAAAACAUUAACUCUAAACACUAAACGUAAACCCUAAACCCUAUAUGUUUCUGAAAUUCUAUUACUAAACCCUAAAACCCUAAACCUUCAUAUCUAAACCCUAAACAUCAACUCUAAACUCUAAACAUAAACCCUAAACCCUAAAAUCCUAAAUUUUCAAAUCUAAACCCGAAAACAUCAACUCUAAGGUUUUAGGGUUUAGGGUUUACGUGUAGGGUUUAGGGUUUAGAGUUGAAGGUUUAGGGCUUAGGGUUUAGAGUUGAUGUUUCUGGGUUUAGGGUUAAUUUUUAGGGUUUAGAGUUUACUUUUUAGGGUUUAAGGUUUAGUGUUGAUAGUUUAGAGUUGAUGUUUUGGGGUUUAGAGUUGAAGGUUUAGAGUUGAAGGUUUAGGGUUUAGGGUUUAGAGUUGAUGUUUCGGGGUUUAGGGUUUAGAGUUGAUGUUUCGGGGUUUAGGGUUCGUAUUAAAAAAAAAGGGUUUUGGAUUGAUGAUUUAGGGUUUAGUGUUCGUAUUUAAGAAAAUAGGGUUUAGCAUUGAUGGUUUAGGGUUCGUAUUUAAAAAAAAAUAGGGAUUAGGAUUAAUGGUUCUGGGUUUAGAGUUGAGUUUUAGGGUUUAGGGUUUGAAUUUCGAAAAAGUGUAAUUCAAGAAAAAUUAAAAAAAAAAUAUUUUUUAAAUUUUUUGAUUUUGAUUUAUUUAAAUAUUUAUUUAAAAUAUAUAAAGAACGAGGGCAUAAGAGUUUUUUGCUACUUUAUGAAUAAGAUAUUGGGUAAAUUACAUGUUUACCACUUUCAUGCUACCACUUUUCAUUUUUACCACCACUAAAAGGACAUUUUCAAAAAUACCUUGUUCACUAAACGGUAAAAGACUCUUAUGCCCUUGUUCUUUUUAUAUAUAAUAAAUAAAAAAAUCCAAAAAAAUAAAAAAUAAUUUUUUUACUUUUUCUCGAAUUAUACUAUUUCGAAAUUUAAACCCUAAACCCUAAAACUCAACUCUAAACCCUAAACCAUCAAUCCUAAACCCUUUUUUUUUUAAACAUGAACCCUAAACCCUGAAACAUGAACUCUAAACCCUAAACCCCGAGACAUCAACUCUAAGCCCUAAACCCUAAACCCUGAAACAUGAACUCUAAACCCUACACCCCGAGACAUCAACUCUAAGCCCUAAACCCUAAACCUUCAACUCUAAACCCUAAAACAUCAACUCUAAACCCUGAACCCUAAACUUCAACUCUAAACCCUAAACCAUCAACACUAAACCCUAAACUAUCAACACUAAACCCUAAAAGUAAACUCUAAACCCUAAACCUUAAAAAAUUAACCCUAAACCCUAAAACAUCAACUCUAAACCCUAAACCUUCAACUCUAAACCCUAAACCCUAAAUCCUAAAUCAUAAACCCUAAACACUAAAACUUGAUGUUUUAGGGUUUAGAUUUGAAGGUUUAGGGUUAUAGGUUUUACGUCUAGGGUUUAGAGUUGAUGUUUUAGGGUUUAGAUUUGAAUGUUUAGGGUUUUACGGUUUAGAGUUGAUGUUUUAGGGUUUAGAUUUGAAAGUUUAUAGUUUAGGGUUUAGAGUUGAUGUUUCGGGGUUUAGGGUUUAGAGUUUAUGUUUCAUGGUUUAGGGUUUAGAGUUGAUGAUAUAGGGUUUAAAGUUGACGUUUUAAGUUCAGAUUUAGGGUUUAGGGUUUACGUUUAAGGUUUAGAGUUGAUGUUUUAGGGUUUAGAUUUGAAGGUUUACGGUUUAGGGUUUAGGGUUAGAGUUGAUGUUUCAGGGUUUAGGGUUUAGAGUUGAUGUUUCAUAGUUUAGGGUUUAGAGUUGAUGAUUUAGGGUUUAGAAUUGAUAUUGUGUAAACAUGAAAAGUGGUACUUUCAAAAUGGUAUUUUUGGCAAUUUCCCUAAGAUAUUUUUGAAAAGUGGUACCUUGAAAUUGGUAAAAAUAAAAUUUCUCCUUGCUAGAAAUACUAUUUUCAAAGUACCACUUUUCAUCUUUACAUCAACUCUAAACCCUAAACCAUGAAACAUAAACUCUAAACCUAAACCCCGAAACAUCAACUCUAAACCCUAAACCUUCAAAUCUAAACCCUAAAAGAUCAACUCUAAACCCUAAACGUAAACCCUAAACCCUAAAUCUAAAUUUAAAACAUCAACUCUAAACCCUAAAUCAUCAAUUCUAACCCUAAACCAUGAAACAUCAGCUCUAAACCCUAAACCGCGAAACAUCAACUCUAAACCCUAAACCUAAACCUUCAAAUCUAAACCCUAAAACAUUAAUUCUAAACCCUAAACGUAAACCCUAAACCCUAAAUCUAAAUUUAAAACAUUAACUCUAAACCCUAAAUCAUCAAUUCUAACCCUAAACCAUGAAACAUCAGCUCUAAACCCUAAACCCCGAAACAUCAACUCUAAACCCUAAACCUAAACCUUCAAAUCUAAACCCUAAAACAUCAACUUUAGGGUUUUAGGGUUUAGGGUUUAGGGUUUAGGGUUUAGAGUUAAAAGUUUAGGGUUUAGGGUUUAUAGUUUAGGGUUUAGAGUUAAAUGCUUAGGGUUUAGAGUUUAUGUUUUAGGGUUUAGAGUUGAUGUUUUAAGGUUUAG
rnacentral:lncRNA from 1 species